UCGGACCCCAAAUCUAAUGGCAAAAUCAAUAGGGGAUUUCUUCGGACCCCAAAUCAAAUUGCAAAUCAAGUCUAUACACGAACUUAAACUGCAAAUUAAGUUCAUAUGCGAACCCAAAUUGCAAAACCCAAAAUCAAAAUAAACCCAAAACCAAAAUAAACCGAAACCAAACCAAGUCCACAAAUAAAAUCCAAACCCAUUCCCCAAAUAAAACCAAAACCCAAACCCAAAUCAAACGCAAACCCAACCCAAAUCAAGUCCACAAAUAAAAUCCAAACCCAUUCCCCAAAUAAAACCAAAAACCCAAACCCAAAUCAAACGCAAACCCAACCCAAAUCAAGUCCACAAAUAAAAUCCAAACCCAUUCCCCAAAUAAACCUAAACCCAAACUCAAAUCAAACCAAAACCCAAACCCAAAUAAAAUCCAAACCCACUCCACACAUAAAACUAAAACCCAAACCCAAAUCAAAUCCAAACCAAACCAAACCUAGCCCACAAAUAAACCCACAAAUAAACUCAAACUCGAACCCAAAUAAAUCCAAACCCAAACCAAACCUAGUCCACAAAUAAACCCACAAAUAAAUCCAAACUUGAACCCAAAUAAACCCAAACCUAAAUCAAGUCAAGUUCAAACCCAAACAAAACCCAAAAAUCCAAAUAAAUCCAAACCAAACCAAGUCCACAUACAAAGCCAAACGGCCCAAACCUAACCAAACUAAGUCCAAAUAAACAUCCAACCCAAAACUAAAAUAAACCGAAACCAAACCAAGUCCACAUAAAGAACCCCAAACCCAUUCCAGAAUCAAAUCCAAACCCAAACCAAACCAAGUCCACAUAUAAAACCAAACCUCAUGGACCAAAUCCCAUGAACCAAAAUCAAAUCUCAUGGACCAAAUCUCAUGAACCAAAACCAAAUCUCAUGGACCAAAUCCUAUGAGCCAAAACCAAGUUCAUGGACCAAAUCUCAUGAACCAAAACCAAAUCUCAUGGACCAAAUCCUAUGAGCCAAAACCAAGCUCAUGGACCAAAUCCCAUGAACCAAAACCAAACCUCAUGGACCAAAUCCCAUGAACCAAAACCAAGUUCAUGGACCAAAUCCCAUGAACCAAAACCAAAUCUCAUGGACCAAAUCUCAUAAACCAAUACCCAUAGCCCAUAAACCAAUACCCAAAUCCCAUGAACCAAUACCCAGAUCUCAUACCCAUAUCUCAUGAACCAAUUAGACUCUAAUACAUAGAGUUUAAUAUCGAUCAGGUCUUAACACAUAUACUUAGGGCCUAAUCAACCUCAAAUCUAACUGAAUCCUAAUACAUAUACUUAGGAUUCAAUAAACUGAGACGCGAUUCAUCUCAUCCCAUCUAUAAAGGUCUCCUAAUCGAAGGUACCCCAAUCUACAGGGGGUAAUUAACAAUAGAUGCUUGCAUCUAUUGGAAGUCAUGGACCCGCAAAACCUGAUACACUUAUAUAUAUAAAUAUCAAUCUGAAUCAUGAAUACUACCCCACGGCCCCGAAAAUUUCAUCAACCGUGCGAGGUGCGUCAUUCGUGGUGGCAAACAGUGGGUAUCACUGGAAUGAACUGUGAGAAAUAUUAGUGGGGAGCAGUGGUUUUAAUUAUUGUUAUCAGAAAAUUCCAAGGAUGGGUUACAUAAAUUAUGAAGCAAUCACCAAAAAUAUUUUAGUUGAAUAUUUUAAGUGAUUGUAAUUUUGACGUGACCCUUUUUUUAAAAAAAUAGAAACCAAACAGUAAUGGACUCUUUUUAACUUUCUCGCAGUUUAACCUACCCAUGAUUAAUUUCUAAUAUAUUUUCCUGAUUGUAGCUAGCCUUAAUUACAAAUUACUAUCAAAACACAGAAUUAUUUUCUUCGAAUAAUGUUGUUUAACUUUGUGAAGUGUUUGUAAGUGUUUGGAAAUGGUUAAAAUAACUGUAUAAAAUAGAUGUGGAAAUAAUAUUUAACUUUGUGAAGUUACUAAUAAAAACCAUUUUAAUUUUCUCCCUUAAAAGUAUACAUUAACUGAACAUCACUCUUUUCCCCUGCUUUAAAAUAACUAAAUAUCACGACAAAGAAUAAAACUACAAAUGAAGUUAUAAAGAUAAAAAAAAAAAAAAACUGAACAUCACUCUUUUCCCCUGCUUUAAAAUAACUAAAUAUCACGACAAAGAAUAAAACUACAAAUGAAGUUAUAAAGAUAAAAAAAAAAAAAAACUGAACAUCACUCUUUUCCCCUGCUUUAAAAUAACUAAAUAUCACGACAAAGAAUAAAACUACAAAUGAAGUUAUAAAGAUAAAAAAAAAAAAAAACUGAACAUCACUCUUUUCCCCUGCUUUAAAAUAACUAAAUAUCACGACAAAGAAUAAAACUACAAAUGAAGUUAUAAAGAUAAAAAAAAAAAAAAACUGAACAUCACUCUUUUCCCCUGCUUUAAAAUAACUAAAUAUCACGACAAAGAAUAAAACUACAAAUGAAGUUAUAAAGAUAAAAAAAAAAAAAAACCAAUAAUAAUAACACUUUGAAAUAACAUUUUUUUUUUUUUUCGCUUUCUCUAUCUCUUCUCUCUUGUUUUCAAUGAAUCAUGCAUAGUGAAUUCUCAAUGAAUACAAAUCCCCGGAAGUCGCCAAGUGAACUCUCCCUUCAUCUUCUCCUCGAUCGGCAGCGCGGUAUAGUUUCUCCAGUCGUCGAGAAGCCCUCUAAGAUCAUGGAGCUUUGCGCCGAGACCGACGCAACAAUUCGCAUGCAAUGUGCAUAUCUUGCUCAGAUCCUUGUUAAGAUUACAAAAUCCUCCGCAUACAGCAGUGUCUAUGAAUUGUAUUUUCACUCCGUAUUUCGCCGAAAAUUCGUGCUUGAUCUGGUUAAACACCCACUGCUCAUGUGCACCAGUCCAAUUCACCCUUGCAAGGUACCAAUUUUGGUAGAAAUCGAUUGUCCUUUGACAUGAUUUCACAUAGAGGAAUCCUCCAUUAGGGAAGUUGUUAAGAUCGUCGGGAUUUCCGUAAUACGCAUCGCUCGAAAUCGUUAUGUGCGCGAAUAACGAGAUGUGGCGCAAGGGGUUUCGGAACCAUAGGAUAUCCACAUCCUGCGAAAUAGAUUUGAUCUUAGCAAAGAAGUUCAGAAACAAAAUAAAAAAGUUUCAAAUUAGAUCUUCUACUUACGGGAUCUGAAACGUACCGUGAAAAGAAAAUUGUAUCUCAACUCAAGAAUCUUUUGCUGGAGCCUGUUCCUGCUCCACAUCAUCUCAAGAUAAUCUUUGGUCAUGAACAGCUUCUCCUCAGCCGAGCUAGUGUUGCUCACUUUGUAGAAAUAGCAAAAUGGGUGCAAGGAUUUGCACCUUUCAUAUGCUUUUAGAUCAAUAGCCACAAUGACAAGAUGGUUUAGCAGGUACUCAAUGUCCUCGCCGGCGCGAAAGCUCUCGAAGAAGAGGUCGAGGAGGGAGUCCGGCGCCGCCCACGCCUCGUUGAUCCAUGUCAUUAUCACCGUGUCGUUGUCCAUCGCCGCGGCUUUUAGUAGAUCCGAUAAAUCUUCGAAUUUCUCUUUCUGCUCAGCGCAAAAAAUAAGAAAAAAAAAUUGUACACUUUGAAUUGUUAAAAAAAAAAGAUUCUUUCCUACAUUGUUUUCUAAUAUUCUAAUAUAGAUCUUAUUACAACUUUAAGUGGUGUUUAAAGAGUAAUUAAAACCUAUGAUUACACAACACUUAUAUAUAUGUACCUCUUUAACAGAAGCUGUGUUAGCUUUACUUGUAUCUUGUAAUGAAGUGAUCUGAGUUCCAUUGGUCGAAUCCAACAUCUCCAUUGAACUAGAACUCGUUGUUGGGUUCGAAGAGAGGUAGAAUAUUAUGAACACGACGGCCGCGGCUGCGCCGAGGAGUAGAGAAGUGAGAGGUUGGAGGAGGUUGUUGUUGUUCUUGUUACUCAUGGUCAUCUUUGUUACAUACACAAAAAAGAGAAAGAGUGGGGGGAAUUGAGAGGUAUUUUAUAAGGUAAUGGAGUUUUUAUUUUGUUUAAUUUUUUGUUUUUGGUCAUGAAAUUAAUGGUGGUGAUUAAUUAAGAAAAUUAACCACCAAGUUAGUCCACUAAUCCCAUGUGGGUGUUGGUUGGGGGCGUAAUAAGUUGCUUAAAUUGUCAACUCUAUGGUUUAUUACAAGAGCACUAAAAUUACUGAACAUGUUCAUGAGAUAUUAAUUAAACUACUUGGUUUAUUCCAAAAGUAGGGCAAAUAGAAUGUAUGAUUAUUUUGGCUCAGUAAAAGUAAAUUGCUCUUUAAUCUUUUUUUAAAAAAAACUUAAACUGAUUGGUGGAAAAUUAUUUUUAUUAUAGAUGGAGAAUUUUAUUUUCAUUAUAUGUAGAUCAGAGUUCUAAUAUAUAUAUCAAACUAAUAUUCCAGUAACGUAUAUAAUGAUAAACAAAUUUUUUUUUAAAAAAGAAGGAAAAACAAAUUGAAUUAUCAGAUUCUCCAAUGGUAUGUGAUAACAAAUAACAAUUACUGGGUAUAGUAAAUAAAUUUUUUGUAUUCUAAUUAUAUAAAAUAAUUUAAUUAAGUCUCUGAUUCCCAGUUGUUUAAUUGUUGCAUCCCAUAACUCUGAGCCAACAACGUGCGAGGCAUCUAGCAAUUAAUCUAAUAUUUAUUUAUAAAAAAUUAUUUUAUUUACUUUUUUUAAUUUAAAAAAUUAAACACUUGUAAAUGACAUGAACAUGCCUUGGAAUUAAUACAUAGUAGAGAAAGAAAAGGGGGAGGGUGAAUUAAUUAUUUUUUGCUUCUCAUUAAUUUUACUUAAUUAUUUUAUUGUAACUGUGUGAGAGGUGAUAUUUAGAUCCUGUAUAGUGAUGUGAUGUGUCAACUGCUUUAUUUUACAUCAAAUAUUUAAGAAGCAUUUGUAGCUUCAGAUAAAAAAUUAUAUUUUUGUAAUAUAUAUAUUUAUUAAAUCAUAUCACAUAUUAUGUGCACAUGUUAGUGAACUAUGAGUAUGUUUGACCACACCUUAAUUUGGGAAAUUUUUUUUUAAAAAAACUUAUUUCUUCAUAUGUAAUCAGAAAUUUAAUAUACAUCAUCAUCCUCUAGCAGCUUAUAUAUUUAGCAAUAUACUACUUGUUAGUUAAUUUCACAAGAAAUUUGAUACUUCUAUAGAAUAUUUAGAGAUAACAACUUAAAAAAAUUUGAUAUCUCACCUUAAACAUCUACUUAGCUUGAUAAAAUGAUUUACAAUUACAUUGUGAAUGAACUGGGUAAGUUCCAAGUUUUGUUAGAAGAAUUUUUAUUCCUUACUCUUCUCCACAUGUAGUCAUGUAGAUGAUUUUGACCCAAACCAAAAUAUUUAAUCAAGCAUGAGAUUUUUUAUGCAAGUUGGUCUCAUUGUAGUGACAUUUACCUUCCAACUACAGCUACAGCACUCCUAUAUAUUCUUCCAAAGUAGAGAAUGCACAAUAAAUUAACAACUACUGGCCUAGUCAAGUGAGUAUUACUCGGAUUGUCGUUCUCGAGGUUCAGGUUCGAUUCCUACUUAUACUUUCACAAAAUAGAGGCUUGUGCCUAUGAACAUGAUUGCAUUGAGAAGUUUUUGAAUGAGAUCUUGUUGAAAUAGUUUGGUGAGUUGUAUGAUUUAUCCUACAAUCAGUUCUGAUCCGAAAGUUUUCCACAAAAUUCAACAUUGUAUCGGAAUUUGGAGAAUUAGGGGCUCAUCACUUAAGUUUUUCUUUCUGAGAAGUUUUUGAGAAGUUUUUGAAUGAGAUCUUAUUGAAAUAGUUUGAUGAGUUGUAUGAUUUAUCCUGCAAUCUGUUCUGGUUCGAAAGUUUUUCACAAAAUUCAACACCGUAUCGAAAUUUCGAUGGUAGAUUUAGAGGAGGCCAAAUAUGGGAGAAUUAAUUAAUUAGGGGCUCAUCACUUGAGUUUUUCCUUGUGCCCUGAGCUUCUUAAUAUUUAUAAAAUUGAACAUUAUAUUCAAGGAUAAUAUUUCAUUUCUUACAAGUCGAAUUUCAACACACCUCUUAUCAACAAUGCACAAAGAAAUUUAUUCCUCCUAAAAAGAAAACAAAUCAAUUUCAACUAUUGUUUUCUCUUUUUUUGUGUUUUUUAAUGUUUGAUAAUAAUUGUUGGCAACCCUAGCUAGUAACAAGUUCACAGUGUAACAUAUUCUCAGUGAAGACAUAUACCAGCUCUCCAAGUAAAUUGCCCCCUCCUCUUCUCCUCAUCAGUAGUUAAAGCUUUGUACACCUUCCAAUCAUCAAGAACACUUCGCAAAUCGUGAAGCUUCGCUUGGAGACCGACGCAGCAAUUCGCGUGCAUGGUGUAGAUCGUGUCGAGGCCUUUCGUGUGGUUGCAGAAUCCGCCGAAAUUGGCUGGAUCCAAAUACUGUAUGUUCACUCGGAAUCGGUCUGCUAGUUCGAACUUGAUCUGGUUGAACACGAAUUGCUCGUGGUUGCCGGGAAACUUCUCUCUCGAUUCGUGCCAGUACUCGAACAGUUCGAUGUUCUUUUUGUAGGACUUUACGAAUAGAAAUCCAGUAUUGGGGAAGUUUAUUGGACUGUUGGGAUCACCGAAGUAGAAAUCGCAUGAGGUCGAUAUGUGCGCAGCAGCAGACAUCUUCUCAAAAGGAUUUCGAAGCCAUACGAUGUCUACAUCCUGUCACCAUGAUUGAUGAUCAUGCUAGAAAAAAUUAAUGUGAUCUAUAAUUAAUUAAUAACAUAAUUAUGCAUCCCUACAGAGGCUAAAAGAUCUUUGAUUUUAACCUUUAUAUAUAUAUAUAUAGAGCAGGGCUGCUGUGCUCUCAGGAGCACGGAGGCCUCCGUGCUCCUGAGCCGUUUUCGAUGAUGGAAUUUUCGAAUCGACGAUCGGCUCCGUUAGACUUGAUCUAGCGCAUUUGAAGUUUCUAGAAAAUAAUUUUUGCGAUUUUUCGAUAUCAUUUACCUAGUGAUCGAAAGGAUUCAAAAUCUAUAAUUUUUAAUAGUUGAUAUCUGCCAUUUUCAAGUUUAACGGUGUAGAAGUAUUCAAAUCAGAUGAAAUUUUGAUAGAAAAUUCUUUAUACUAUCUACAACAAGAUCUAUAUUUCUGAUCGAAAAUUUUAGUGCUAUAUCACCACUUUUUAUAGGAUUUUUAUUUUCAGCCGUUAAAAAUUAUUGAUUUUGAAUCCUUUCGAUUGUUAGGUAAAUGAUAUCGAAAAAUCGCAAAAAUUAUUUUCUAGAAACUUUAAAUACGCUAGAUCAAGUUUAACGGAGCCGAUCGUCGAUUCGAAAACUCCAUCAUCGAAAACAGCUCAGGAGCACGAAGGCCUCCGUGCUCCUGAGAGCACAGCAGCCCUGCUCUAUAUAUAUAUAUUAGUAUACUUGGUAUAUUUCAAUGUAUCUCAACUGUAGAAGAUGUAUCCUAAUGCUCAAGAACAUGUGUACUUUUGCCUACAUGUAUUGUCAAAAUUUUUAAAGAUUUUUGUUUCAUAAAAUAAAUCCUAUCAUUCAAAAGUAUAUUUUGUCCACUUUUUUGGUUGAAAAAGUAAUUUUGAAUCUCCUGCAUUGUAGAUGAAAAAAGAAAAAUGUUGUUACUAUUUACAAGUAAAUAAAUUUGGGUUGAUGAACCAAAAUGCACGAUUUUUAUUUAGUCCUUGUUUGGCGUAGCUUUUGACGACCAAAACGCACGAUUUUUAUUUUUUUUCUCGGUUUGAAAAUGUACGGUACGUUUUUGAAAUCGGUGAAAAGUGAUAUAUAUUGGCCUAACAAGCUUAUAAUCUCGAAAAGGCCUACUGAAAUUUUAGGCAUUUAGUGAAGAAUAAUAAUACAAACCGUGAAAAGGAAGUUGUAUCCAAGCUCGAGUAUGUGUUGCUGUAGUUUGACUUUGCUCCAUACCAAAUCAAGGUAGUCCUUUGACAUGUACACUUUCUCCUCAUCAAACUUAGCACCUUCUACGUACAGGAAAUAGCAAUGAGAGUGUACAGCUUUGCACCUUUCGAAUGCCUUUUUAUCCAAUGUAACUACGAUUAGAUGAUUCAAAAGAUGCUCGAUGUUGUCGCCAAUCCGAAAGCUCUCAAGGAAGAGGUCGAGGAGAGAGUUUGGCGCUGCCCACGCUUUGUUCACCGAGGUGAUGAUCACGGUGCGAUCUUCGGUAGCCGCUCUUUGCAGAAGCUUGAGCAAGUCCUGGUUAUUUUCCUGCAAUUGGAACAAGUAGGAAUUUAGCUAGGAUAUAAUGGACCUGAUUAUUGUCACAUAUUAUAAGUUUUUAAAAAAUAAAAUAUUAGCAUUUCAGUUCUGAAGAUAUAUUUAAAAUCAGGGGCAAAAGUUUCAUACUAAUGUGUUAUUAGUAGUAAAGAAGUGUUAAUUUUACAUUUGAAUUUAUAACCUUUAAUUAAGCUACUUAAGUGGGACUGUUGAGAGACUAAAAUUUGGAAAAUUAACUCCCUUAAAAUUAAGUAUCAUGCAUGAUUUGUUCUCCUUUUACAUAAAAAAAAGUUAUAAUUCACAUUCUCCUUACGUUAAGGCGGUUAUAAAUUACGCAUUGCAUUCUCUAUUGCCUCGGUUAUAAAUUAUGCAAUGCUAGAAUUUUUCUACGCACGAAUAUACAUAAAAUGUGCCGAGCAAAUUAAUGGUACAAAGAGAAUGUACAAGCAAAUAAGGAUUGGCCAAUAAAGCCAGUAACUCUAUUAGCACAAAAUUAACAGUAUAUUAAUCUCUCACUUUGUACUAUGUAUUUGACUUUUCUUUUCUUUUCUUUUUUCUACGUACCGAUCGUUUGAAAUAAUCAAUGUACAUCCAAAGGCCUCUUUGAAAUUUGAUCUUAAUUAGCUUUAAUUUCGUUCUCAUAUAAUUUAAACUAUAACAAUUUGGUCCUUCUAAUUCAAGUUGUAAAACAGUGAAGCCCCUUUUGUAAUUCUACCAUAUCUCAAAAUGUUAUCACAUCAUAUUGUUAUUAUUGUUAAAUGUCACUUUUUCAAAAUUAAGACUCUAAAGGAUGAAGUAGAAAUUCAGAUGAACAAAAAGUGCAAUUAUGAGGAUAAUAUCAAAAUCAAUUCAAACUUUCUAAGGACGAAAUUAAAAUCCGGAUCGAAACUUGUUAGGGAGAGAUAUUAAUUAUGUCAUAUUGUUUCAUCUCAACAAAACUAAUAUUACUACAAGUUUAUAGAGAAAAGGUGCAAAUUUUGCUUCUUAGAAACUACACAAGGUGCAAAUAAAGGAAGUGCAUGUCACAUGCAUAUAUAUAAAUAAUUUACCUGUGCUAUUGGAGCCAACAACAUCUUUGUUUCAUUCUCUGAAGGAGUAGUGGUCUCUUCAAUGGAAACCACCUUUGUUUCAUUCUCUUGAGGAGGAGUUCCACUAGUAAUCUUUGUUGUGUUGAUCUCUUCAUUAGAGACCAUCUUUGUUUCAUUCUCUUCAAAAGGAGGAGGUGUCAACUUAUCAUUAGUUGUUGUUGUUGUUGUUGUAGUGAUCUCUUCAAUAGAAGCCAUGAGAGUUCCAAUAUUGUUGCCUUUUCUUGCAGAUAAUAUGAAGAGUAUGAAAGCUGUGGCAAGUGAUGCACCAACUAGGAAGGAAAUCACAGGUUGAAGGUUCUUGGUAUUGCUCAUCAUCUUUGAUACUCCAAGAGAGAGAGAGAGAGAGAGAGAGAGAGAGAGAGAGACUUGUAAUAUAAGAUUUGGAUCUUCAUAGCAUUAGAAAAGAAAUUAUGGAAGCCAUUUUAGACCCUCUACUUUCAUGACAUCACUGCUAAGACUUUGUCCGCUAAGCCAAUCGUAGACCAUCCUGUCGAUCUUUGUCCAUUCCAUUUUAAUUUUCAAUCCUAACUGCAAAACAAUUUCUGAAGAGAUUAUCUUUUUAACUCUAAGUAAAAUAUGCAGAUCGCAUGGUUAAUUAUUUUGAUAAAAUGGAUGGAGAUGCAUGCGCUGAGUGGUCUAUUGCUGACACGGUGGACAAUAUCCUAACAAUAACUUCUUCAACCGCGUCUUACUUAUUAAUAACUAAAUUUUUUUUAGAGUUGGGUGUGGUUAUAUAUUAUUACUAUUACAUUAAUGAAGAGUUCGAAUUGAAGAUGCAAGGGACUAAUUCAAAUAUCAUUUCAAGGGGACCCCAUUAUGUGAUCAUGUCAUCAUGUGGAUCCUACUAUUCAAAGUCAACUUCAUAUGGUUGGUAAGUGGUAACCCAAGAGAAUAUAUAUAUUUAUUCUCAUCUUCCAAAAAAUAACUAAGAGAGAUGCAAAAAAAGAGAAGAAUCAUCAAUGCUUCCAUGUAAGUCAAUUACUUGUGAUUGGUGCAUAUGAAUCUACAGUAGGAUUCAUAUACAUAUAUAUAUAAUAUACUAUAUAUAAUAAUCUACUUGUUUUCCCUUUGUUUUUUAUUUUUUAAAUACUUGAUGUUUCCCCAUGGAAAGCCCAUGUGGCUAACUCAUAUGAAAUCUUUAGUUCACACUACUUAAUCAUAGUUAUUUUAUAAUAUCUUAAAGUGUCCAAUAGGCCCACAAUUUUCUCAAAAUUUUGUGACUCCCUAGCUAACUAGAGGAAUAAUUAUUUUAUUAAGUACUUAAAAAAUCAUUUUUUCUAAUAAGAACAAUCAAAAGACACUCCACGUAUAGUUAUUAAUGCAUCGUGCACUCAAACUAUUAAUUGUCUCGUCGUAUUAUAAUAAUAUAAUAUAUAUACAGGCAUGUGAAUCUAGAGCAUACGAGAACAUGCUUUGCCCAUUUUUAUAACAUAAUUUGAAAUUGUUCACUCGCGCAACCCUAGUUUGAUAAUACGAUGGUUAAAAAUAUUCCUUUUAUCUUUUUAAACAAAAUUAAGUAGUUUUAAAGCAUUUUCAUUCUUUUUCUUUUUUUGCGCGGUCGUCAUCAUAAUUUUAUAGCAUUAAUAGUGGAAAAUGGUAGAAGCAAAAUUCAAACUGAACCUUAGACUCCGUGUAGAGAAGUGCACAUUAAUGAAACUAUGGGUUUAAGAGAAGUUUUUAACCGCUUGUUUUUAGCUCAAUGAAGACGGUAACGACUUUUUGAUAAAAAUCUUUUCAAAAGUUUUUUUCGUAGCAUAAACUAUCACUUCUCGUUUUGAGAAUUAGAAGCUCAUUUCGGCUUCUGGCUAUAAGAAAAAUCUAAAUUUUAGGAUUUAGAAGCUCUUUUUGUUUUUAGCUAUUGGGAUAUUUUUUGUUCUAGGAGUUUUUAGCCGUUGGAUGAAAGGAUAUGCAGUUAAGAUGAUAACGAUCUCCUAUGGUUAAAUAGGUGGUUAGUUAAAUAAUAUAAUAUAACGGAUGAAAAUGAUCAAAAGGUAGAUCUAACGGCAGAAAACUUAAUAGUACUAAUAGCUUGGUACUAUCGAUAGUAUAAUAGCCGAACUCUAUAUAUAUAUAAUUAUGCUACUAUACUAUUGAUAGUAUUAAGCGCUUGGUGCUAUCGAAUUUUUAGCUGUUAGAUAAAAGGAUAUGCAGUUAAGAUGAUAGUGAUCCUCUAAGGUUGAGUAGAUGGUUGGUUGGAUAGUAUAAUCUAAUGGGUGGAAAUGAUCAAAAGGUAAAUCUAACGGUAGAAAAUUCAAUAGUAUCAUGAGUUUGGUACUAUCGAUAGUAUAGUAGCCGGACUUUAUAUAUAUAUAUAUUAUAUUUAUAUAUAUAUAAAAGGAAUAUCAAAAAAAAAAAACCAAAAAAAAGGAAGUUUAGGGGUGUUCGUUAAAAAUGGAAAUCGUUGAGGGGUGUGGUUGUAAAUUUUCUGGGCUAAUGGGCUACUAUGAGCCCACUUUACAUUGGGCUAUACUUAAAACUACGGCCCAGAUCAACUUUUGCAUCCAACAAUUUUACUACAGAGGUGCGGCCCAUAAGCUUCUUUUGCGGUCCAUGACGUGGUGGCUUAAAUUGAGGCCCAUGACUAGAAAAAUUGCAUGGACCUGAUCUACCAUGGACCACACAUAAAAAACUCUACUCACAUUUAUCAAAUUUUAUCAAAUUUUUAAAAUCCUGUCGCUGUGUUCAACUUAGCGGGUUAUCGGAUUCAUUCCCACGUCACAUACUCGUAUGUUUAGGUAACGAAACCUCACCACACGAACGAACGCCUUGAAAUAACUCAGCGGUGUUGGUACGUGGGCCCCACCUCUCGUGUUCAUGCUGUUAUUUGGUAGUUCAACUUAUCGGUCCAAUUGUUAGGUCCCAAUUGAGAUUUGAAUUUGAAUACAACAUUAAACAAAGGUGUUUCUAUGGGGAUCGAAUAGCAUAUUUGAGAAAGUAGAAGGACCAUCCGUGAAAAUUGCCUUCUUCGUUCUGCGGCAUUUCCCCGAACUCAAAUAAAUGCACGCGGUGAACUCCCCGUGAGUCAUUUUGAAUCCAAAAACUAGGGCUCGCCGCGGCCCUCCAUUCCGUUCGGAUUCACCGCUAGGGUUUUGAAGAGAAACCCUAGCGCGAUCUAAAUCCAAUCCCAACCUCUCGAUCUCCAUCUCGAUCUCUUUCCAUGGCGGACGAAGCAGCGGCGGCAGCGGCGGCGGCGGCGGCGGCCGCGGGAGGAUCGUCUUCCUCGGCGGCGGCGGUGGUGGGGAUCACGGUAAUCCCGAUCGUGAACAAGCUCCAGGACAUCUUCGCGCAGCUGGGGAGCUCGUCGACGAUCGACCUACCCCAGGUGGCGGUGGUGGGGAGCCAGAGCAGCGGCAAGUCCAGUGUGCUCGAGGCGCUCGUCGGCCGCGACUUCCUCCCCCGUGGCUCCGACAUCUGCACGCGCCGCCCCCUCGUGCUCCAGCUCGUCCACUCCCCGCGGCGCCCCGAUGCUUCGGCCGGGGAGGGGGACGAGUGGGGGGAGUUCUUACAUAUCCCCGGAAGGAGGUUCUACGACUUCGGAGAGAUCCGCAGGGAGAUCCAGGUGAAUUUCUAGGCUUUGCGAAGGUUUUUUCGUCUAAUUUUCGUGAUGGAAAGGCCUUGUUAUCUCUCUCUGUUAAAUCACUCGCUCAUGGGAACCAAAAUGAAAAUGCUUUAUAUCGAUUAAAUACUGAAACAUGGUUGGGAUUUGUGCAGUUUUCAGUGAAAUAAUAUUCGCGGUCACUUGAUUUUUAUCGUUGCAAGGUAGUAGGAUCGAAUACAGCCCUUGCAUGAGUCCCACAUUGUAGAAAUGUAUAAUGUUGUUUUAGGCAAAAUGCUAUAUGCCACCCUCUUUAUUGCCCGAUUCUUCUAAUUUACAAUGUGAUAAUGACUUCUUGUUGCUGAACAUUAUUAAGAUUACGCAACUAGAUCCUUAUUCGUAGCACAUUUGACAAGCUACAUGAUUUUCACGUGCUUAAUUUCAAUGGCAUCAAACUAAGAGAGGUGAAAUGUUAGUUCGGACAAUCGGAAGUAAAGCUGAAUCAAACUUUGUGAUAGAAGUAUCUGAAUUUUUCCCCAAUUUUUGCUGACUGUAGAAGAGGAUUGUAGAAGCUUGUUUUCCUUGUGUUGAUAAGUAUUGACAGGUUGGUCCGUUACAUUACUAAAGAUCUUUCUUUUCCUGUGAUUUUAUGCUAUUGACUUUUUACUAGUAGGUGAACUUCUAUUUGAAAAAGCUCUUAUUUAGACGCUAUUCUGCAGUUGCCUGAUCAAAAUAUUUUUUUCAGAACUCUCAAAUUGUUGUUUCACAAAUGCAGGCUGAGACAGAUAGGGAAGCGGGAGGAAAUAAGGGUAUAUCAGACAAACAAAUCCGCUUGAAGAUUUUUUCUCCAAAUGUUCUGAAUAUCACAUUGGUUGAUCUGCCGGGAAUAACCAAAGUGCCGGUCGGUGACCAACCAAGCGACAUUGAGGCAAGAAUUAGAACACUGAUCUUGUCAUACAUCAAGCACAAGACUUGCAUCAUAUUAGCAGUUUCACCUGCAAAUGCAGAUUUAGCAAAUUCCGAUGCUCUUCAGAUGGCAAGAGUUGCCGAUCCAGAUGGUAAGUAUGCAAAAUGCAACAUAAUCUUAGUGCAUAUAGAGUUAGAGUGUACAUCUAUACCUUUAUGAUUUAACUAUCAUCUGGAUAUAAGAUAUCCUAUUAUGUCAACUUUUGUAACAGAAUCUGGUUGCUCUUGCAGGCUCUCGAACAAUUGGGGUUAUCACGAAGGUUUUAUCUGUGGCUUGAAAUGCUAAAUUCUAGGUUUAUCGUACUUAUUUACUAUACACUAAAUUUUAUCUAUGGCCGCAGUUGGAUAUAAUGGACAGAGGGACUGAUGCACGUGACUUUUUGCUGGGAAAAGUGAUCCCCUUACGACUUGGUUAUGUUGGUGUUGUGAAUCGCAGCCAACAGGUACUCCCUUUUUGCCGAGUAGAAAUAUUCUAAUUUCUGCAUUUCUUCUUCUUCCACUCUCUCUCUCGCUUGCAUGUGCAUGCGUCUUCCCCCCCACCACAAAAAGAUCAUGCAUCGAUUGUACAUAUGAAUGUACCCUUGCCCCCUUUCUACCCGAAACUUUGAAAGAUAUAGAAGUUAUGAUGAUGAUAUGCGUCCUGCAUCUGAAGUGUUGUGCGACAAGAAACUGAAAUUUUAAUAAGUUCAUCGUAUGAGGACGAGUCUUUUCUUCUUCUCAUUUAUUCUUCUUUACUUAAUGUUGUCUUAUGCAGGACAUCAACUUAAAUCGUAGUAUCAAGGACGCUCUGGCCUAUGAAGAGAACUUCUUCCGGAAUCAGCCUGUAUCAUCUCCUUUCUCUAGAAUGCAUUCCUUUUUCCUAAUAUAUUAAUUACUUAGAAGAGUAUAUGAUGUGUUUUUGCUCUUUAUAGGUAUAUCACGGUCUCUCUCAUUGUUGUGGGGUUCCCCAAUUAGCCAAGAAAUUAAACCAGGUAAGUGCCUUGAAUUUAAUUUAAUUGUCAGGCCUACCUGUUUUCAAUUAUCUGAAGGACCUGGAGUAUUCUGGAACCUUUAUGGGAGUGUCCAAAUUUAUUUCUGAUCUGCUAUUGGAUUUUGCUCUUGCCAUCCCUUACAAAAUAUAUUACUUUCUAGCCAAAACAUUAAUGCUUUUGUUAUUUCUAUGCUGAGCGUGUUGAUACUAUUUCUAUUUGCAGAUUUUGGUGCAACAUAUUAGGACAGUUCUUCCUGGUUUGAAGUCUCGUAUAAGCGCUCAAUUGACAUCUGUAGCGAAGGAGCUUGCUGCCUAUGGUGAUGUAGUGGAAUCAAAGGUUUGUUUGUCUAUAGGGUGCAUUAACUGUAUUACAUGAUACUGUUAGUUGCUUUGGAGGUGUGCCUUUGUUGAUUUCUGUAGGUUGUCUUGCCCUAGUAGACAUCUUAAUUCCAAUAAUCUUGCUUAAAAUAAUGACAGAAGGAACACACUAUGUAUCUUUCAAACAUGGCACUUCUUAAUUUAUUUUGUAAGUUCUUUUCAAAAUAUCAGCUUGUGUGACUAAAGAAAUGGCCAAAUUACUUCAAUUUUUGAAUGCUGAAUAGUUUACUAGUAUUAGCAACUUCAUUCAAUGUAUCUAAAAUGCUCAUUCAUCUGAAUCUAGUGAUCUUGUUCUUAUAUACCGUGCUUUAUAUUGUUACUACUGUUGUAGUUACUGAAAAGAGCUUGAAAAGUUAGGCACCUGAGCUCUGACAUGUAUGUAGGCCGUGGCUUGGUGGUAAUACGAUGAUAACUUGCUCAUUAUUCAUUUCUUUUCUGGAGGCAUUUGUGAUUAUUCAAAUUAUUUUAAGUUAGCAUUAACUUUUUUGCAAGCGGUUUCCACCUAUGUAGUGUCGCUAGUCUCAUCUCUAAAAGAGACUGAUGAAAUAUAAUAGCAUUGCUUCUAGUCUCUCAUAAGCUUUUCCUUUCAUAUUUGGUUGUUCAUUUUGUGUAUUCUAAUUCCAGGCUGGGAUGGGUGCAAAACUCUUGAACAUUCUUGCUAAAUACUGUGAAGGUAUGCUUUAUUUUUAUAUUGUCAUUUAUUGGCUCAGCAGCAUUCUGUGACUAUGUAGCUUAAAUUUCCUCAAAACUCUUGGCUACUAUCCAAUCUGAAAUCUGUUGCACUUAAUCUUUCAUCAUCUUUAUAAACUAUUUGUUUUCCCUUUCUUAAUUUUCCCUCCUAAUUCGUGUAUGGCUUGUUUGACUAUUGCAGCUUUUUCUUCUUUGGUGGAUGGGAAAAAUGAAGAAUUAUCAACAGUCGAGCUUUCCGGUGGAGCACGAAUUCACUAUAUUUUCCAGUCUAUCUUUGUGAAAAGUCUAGAGGCAUGUCUCCUUAUGUUCUAUGCUUCAGUUUCAAGUUCCAGUUUUCAGAUAUGUUAAGCUUCAACUAUUCUUCUUAUUUAUUUCGACAAUUCACUCAAACUAUAUCUAUUCUCUCCAGGAAGUUGAUCCUUGUGAUGACAUCACUGAUGAAGAUAUCCGUAUGGCCAUUCAAAAUGCAACGGGCCCUCGGAGUGCUUUGUUUGUGCCACAGGUAAUGGUCAUUAAUUAGUGUAAUGCAUUUUUAACACAAUAACGAGCUUAAAAUAAAGUUUGUACGCUUAUAUUCUCAACGAAAAUUUUCCUUUUAUGGAUAAAUAAUUAGGUGCCAUUUGAAGUCCUUGUUCGCAAGCAAAUAGGCCGUCUGGUUGACCCGAGCCUGCAAUGUGCAAAAUUCAUUUAUGAUGAACUGAUUAAGGUAUAGACUCUUCCAUUCCAUUUUUGAAUUUUAUUAUGUGAUGGGCCAAAGUAUUCAUAAAGUUUUAUUACUUCUAAAUUUUUUUUGGUAACUUACUGUAGAUGAGUCACCGCUGCUUAGCCAGUGAGCUACAGCAGUUUCCUGUUCUCCGGAGAUGUAUGGAUGACGUAAUUGGUAAAUUCUUAAGAGAAGGACUUCAACCUGCUGAAGCAAUGAUAACUCAUAUUAUUGAGAUGGAGGUAUAAAAUUUGUUCACAUAGUUGUCCAUUGCAUUUGUUGAUGUGCAUUCGUUGACUUGAUAGUUGUCUAUUUUCGACACUGCAUAGUUCCUUCCAAUUUUGGCAUUGUAAUGGUUUUUUAUGUCUUUGCAUUGUUUCUUGUUGAGUGUUUGCUGUACCAGAAUUUGGUGGAAAUGACUGAUAUAGUGUGUUGUGACAAUCAUGUUAAAGCAGCUGGUCUUAUAUAAACUGUUUUGGCUAUACCAAUAGUCAAAAACUAAAAAUAUCUGACAAAACAGAGGGGGACAGGAGACUCCUUGUUUUAGUAUAUAUAUGAAGGUGCUGAAUUUGAGUAUAUCAUCUAUUUUUUAUUUGUUCUGAAGUAACUAUGUGAGUUGAUCUGACAAAUCACUUCUAUCAAGCAUCUAAUCAUGAACAUUUUAAGUUGUGAAUAAGUGGGUGUAAUGGUUGACUACCGUGUUCUUUUUUUGUAUUGCCUAUUUGUUAGUUGCUUUAACAAUUUUUUGGUACAGAUAUGGUUUAAGGUAUUAGGUAUAAGAUGCAAGGGUACUUGGAACGAUAACAUUGGUGCCCUUAAUAACCUCUUUAGGCUAAUAGGUUUGCUGUCUACUUGCUACAGAAGUGAGGGAUAGACACAGAAUAACUUUUGAGUAAUCUGACCACGGAAAUACUCCGCAAUCAAAGGUUUGUUCUUUCGGUUCUUAAAUUUGUUCUGUACAAUUUGCAGAUGGAUUACAUAAAUACUGCUCAUCCAAAUUUCAUUGGGGGAAGUAAGGUUGUUGAGCUGGCUCAACAGCAAGUUAAAUCUGCUAGAUUAUCAGCUACAGUUCCCAAAACAAAGGUAUGGAUUGUGUUUUUCUUUGUUCUGAUGUGUAUCAUGAACUUCCAAUCAGCAAGUGCUUUGGGCUGGAAUUCUUGAAGUAACAGUUAUCCUGAAAAUCAGGUCUAGCCAUGUACAGGAGUUUGAAUGUUUUUGGCAAUAAUUGGUACUGCUGAUAAUGAAAACCUUGAUUUCUGCUCAAUAUUUUUCUAUAAUGGUUAAACUAUUGGUGUACCAGGAACUUCUUACUCGUGUGAUUAAACAUAUGCAUACAUCACGAUAAAUUAUGUGCAUCCACCACUACAUAAUAUGCAACAGCAUGCGAAAUUUGUAUGCAAAAGCACUAAUUGUUAAGUUACAAUGAAUAUAGGAUGGUCCAGACUCUGAUAAGUUACAAGCAUCGGAAAAGAGUCUAAAACCUCGAGCUAUCCUGGGCAGAACCGUCGCAAAUGGAGUAGUUUCUGAUUCGUCUCAGGUUUGUUAUGUUCUUUUUUCCGUAAUUUUGCUGUUAAGAUUUUAUUUAUUUUUUUUAGCAUGCUAAAUGUGCAAUUAUGUGUUGCGUUAAAUCUCUUACACAGUUAUCUCCCGUUUUCUGUCUUCCGAUCAGGUAGUUCGACCUGGUGUUGAUUCUGAGAGAUCAAGCACAUCUGGUAAGAAUGAUGUAGAUUAUAUCUGAAACUAGGAAAGAAACCAGGAGAAUGCUCCAAUGUUUUAUUGUCUGAUUAUGUUUCUGCUAAAUGCUCAAUUAAAAUGUCUAAGGUGUUUUUUUGGGGGAAUGUUGCUAUUUGUUGGGAGUAUUACUAAGGAAAAAAAUAAUUUCUUGUUUAUUUGUUUAUUUAGGGAAAUGUUGCAUUGGAAUUGCGGUAUCAUUUAUUGUUUGAAAUAUUUAAACCAUCUUAUAUUGAAAUACAGUAGGAAGUUCAAAUGGAUCAAGUUGGGGUAUUUCAUCAAUUUUUGGCACUAGUGAGGACCGAACACCUGCAAAAGAGAGUUUCGUGAACAAAUCUUAUAAUCCAUCUUAUAAUCCACCUGUUCACAACAUGGAAUAUCCCCUUUCUAUCAUCCAGUUAAGAGAGGUGAGAUGGUUCUCUGGCAGCUCACCUUGGUUUGCUAUUUUGUGAUCUAAUUCGCUAUUUAACUAAUUAUCAUUGUUGUUCAGCCACCAGUCAUCUUAAAGCCCUCAGAGAGUCAGACUGAGCAGGAGGCGUUGGAAAUAGCUAUCACCAAAUUAUUAUUAAAAUCGUAUUAUGAUAUUGUUAGGAAAAAUAUUGAGGAUUCUGUUCCAAAAGCGAUUAUGCAUUUCCUGGUAAGUGGUCUCACACCAACUAUAAAAAAUUCCUUUUCUCUUUCUUUCCCCUCAUACUUUGUUCAUCAGCUUCUAUUUUCUAUUCGUAUGUCAUGUUCUUAUUCAGUUAAUAUUUGCUUUAUUUCUCUCAUUUGCUUAAGAUGACUUGUACAUCAUUUACUUCUAUGACACUUCUUUGCACACAGUAUAAUUUCUAAAAGAACUUAUGUUUGUAGAGAUUCUUAUAAUUGCGAUAGUUGUUAAUUAAAACAAUAUAUUACUGCUUGACAAAUUUUUGCAUUUUUUUUCCCCAAGCCAUUCAUUUUGGAGCUAUUAUAUCUGAAAGUGCUGUUAGUUGCCAUGUUGUUUAUGGUUGUCCAUUUUCCAGUCCUCUUUAUUGGGAUAGUGUUAUUGAAGCUUGGCAAUCAAACUAAGCCCUAUAGAAACAGCUAGAGCUCAUCUGAUUUUCCGGCUGGGUUAAAGUUUGAAUUAAAUAAGCUCAGGUAGAACAUAGGAAAUAGGCUUGCGUUUGAUUGAGCCUGAAACUAGCUUGGCUCAAUCAUGCUCAGUCAAAUAGGACAACUCCUUUAUAACAACUUGUGAAAUGUAAUAGUAGUUCUUUCCUAUGAGUAUUUCUCACACUCAUGGAUGUGUUUGAGAUAUGGACACUACUGCUGCGUACUUUUCUUUUGCUUUCACUUGUCUCUGAUUCAGGAAUUUAUGGGAUAUUUUACUUGCUAUUAUGUGACAUGAAAAGACAUCUCUUCUCUUGUAGUUUUAAUUGCAUAUAUUGAAAUGGUCUGUUUCAUUUCACUUCCAGGUCAAUCACACAAAAAGAGAGCUGCAUAAUGUUUUUAUUACCACUCUUUACAGGUAUCAUAUUUAUUAUUAUUUGAAACAGGUUAAGUUUCCUUAGAUGUUAAAAGGACUAGCAUCCUUUGUCUCAUGAUUCUCCUAGGGAUUCAACUUUUAUAAAUACACAGCCCCUUUGACAUGUCUUUUUCUAAUUCAGGUUAGUAGGAAGAAAAAGAAAUCCUUUUCUAAUGCUUGCUUUGUAAAUGUAGGGAAAACCUCUUUGAAGAGAUGCUGAAAGAACCCGAUGAAGUAUCUGUGAAAAGGAAACGCAUACGAGAAACACUCAAAGUUUUGCAGCAGGCUUAUAGGGUAGGAAGUUCACUUUUCUAGAAUCAUUACCAUGGAUGUUAGUGCCAGAUUAUCCUUUCUUUGGAAACAACUUCUCUAUUUCGAGAAGCAAAAAGCUUUUCAGAAAUCAGCUGUGGCUAACAAUAAUUUGGAGUUUUUGCUGGUGCAAGAAGCUGAGAUGAGCUUUUUGGUUUCCUAAAGUGGAAAUUCCAAUUUGAAGCUUCUGCUUCUGGUGCAGCAAGAAACUAUAAAAGAGAUUUUAAUGGAAAAGUUGUCGGUGCUUCUUCAACCAGCUUUUUCUCAAACAACACUUUUGUUGAAAUUCCAUAAGAGCAAAUUGAGCCCUCGGUAUUUAUCUCUAAAUAUAUGUUUUCUGUUUUUCCUUUUCCAUGUUUAGACAUUGGAUGAGAUUCCGAUCGAAGCAGAUUCAGUCGAGAAGGGCUAUACGCUGGAGAGUGAUUCCAUGGGCCUCCCAAAGGUCCAUGGGCUUCCUUCAUCAUUCUAUGCCAAUAAUGGUGCAAGCUCGCCAUAUACGGGCUCCCCUAAGAAUCCGAGAUCCAGGAAGUCUGCCCACUCGGGAGAGCAACCUGCGUACUCAUACGUAAAUUCCGAUUCCAAUGGCUUGGGCUCGUACCCUGUUGUUGGCUCUUGAUAUCAUCAAUGUCUGAGUUAAAUGUUCUCACUAGUGCUUCAUGUACAGUAAAUGUAUUACAUUCCUAUUAUUUCAUGACUACUCUCGUUUCUAGUUUUCUUGCGAGAGAAACUUCCCAUUUUGGCGUGAUAAAAAAUGAAAAAGUUAUAUUUUUUUUGCGAGUAUUAUCGCGAAGGACGGUAAGGCUGGGGAUGUGUAGAAGUUCUAUGCUGCAACAUUCCGAUGUUUGCCAUAUUUUUUGUAGUGAAAGACCAUGUAAGCUUUCAUGGUUGUCCAAGAUGAAUGUAAUUCUUUUUGUUUUCAAUCACAAAUAAGAUAAGAUUGCAAUCAUCUAUGCUUCUUGUUGAAUCAGUGAAGCUCCAUUUACCUGCUUGUAAUCUGGUAGACAGGUUGUUUAUUACUGCUCCCGGCCGGCGUUAGUUAUGAUUCAAAGUUGCAUUUGAGUGCAAAAUUUGUUGAUAUAUUUUUCUUUCGAUGUGUAUCGUUAUUAAACUUAGUGGAGACCAGUAAUGAAAUUAUUAUUCUACAUCAAUUAUUUCUUCUUUUGGGGAGCUAAUUUGUUCAAAUUCUUUUGAAAGCCUGGAGGUGAAGAACGUUCUGAUUUAUACAUUCCCUUAGGACUACCACUUUUGUGAGAUUUCACCUGUGUAAUUUAAAAGGGUUUGGUAUAGAGCAUUUCAUAAUCAAACCAAUUUAAAAGGGUUUGGUAACUGAAUUUAACUUAAAAACUCUUCACGAGUGAAAUCAGUUGAAUUCUAUUCAGAUUUGAUUCUAAACAGUGUAAGAGAGAAGAGAAAAAAGAAAUGCUUUUCGCACUAGCGAAAUUCGAAUAGAUACAGCAAAACACAUUGUGCGCAGAUACCAUGCAAGCUAGCGGAAAAGAAUUGAGAGAACCAAAAAAAUGUACAUGAUCUUCCGUUGUUUUACUGCAGUUCCCCAGACAUCAGCUGCAACAUAGAUGCUACAGUUGGUAGUAAAAUCCAUGUCAUUUAGCCUCUCCUCGCUCGUGUGAAGUUGCAGUGCCGAAACAAGUAUGCAACCGCAAUAUUCUUUCCUGGAAUAAUCUGAAACAAAGAAUACUUCAAAAGAUGAAAAAUUAUUCUGCAGUUAAAUCAAUCUGCAUUUGAUGGCAUUUUUUGCAGAAAACAGUUUAAUAUUCUAAUACACGGAUACACGUAUCUAAUCCUCAUGUAAAUCCAAUCACAUUAUUUUAGCCAGUAUAUUAGCUCAUCUAAUAAAAUUUUAACAGGGAAAUACCCAAGUCUUCUGACCAAAGAACAGUUCACUCUUUAUUACUGUUUAACUAGAAAAAUACAUAUAUACUGAUUAAAUCUGAGUAAGAGGAUAUAUCGUUCACUAUUUGCUCCGAAGCAAAGAUGUCGAGAGUACCUUACUCUGAUAUGCCUUCUUCUCUCGGAUUUCUUUGUAUUGAUGAAGGAAAAAACUUGCCAAAUCCAGCAAAUGCACCAUUGAAAAUAGUUGGAUAUCUCCCUUCUCGAGCCAAAGAGAAAACAAAUAAACAAGUAAACCUGCAGCAAAGUGGAAAAGAUACUAUUAAGUAUGAUAAUUCACACACAGUUCUUUCAAUUAAGUCAAACUUACUUGCCUUGCUUAGAAUUCUCCAAUCCUCUCACUUGGCUGUCUUCUUUUUUCCCGAUUUCUUUUUCUUCUGGGCAACACGCGGACCGCGUUUGAACACCGCUAGAACUUCAAUGCUACAAAGAUUUUGCAAUUUUACAAUUUAAUAAGAAUGUAACAGGCAAGCUUAUGUUUCAUGCUUCAAAAACAACGUGUCAUCAUUAUGAAAACAAACAUACUAAAUCUGAAAAGGUCACUACAGAUAUCAAUCAUUCGGUUAAAGAUGGCUAUCAGGUGAAGAAUUAGCAGUGAUGUAAUUUAUCACACCCUCAGAGAUUGGGAAAGUAGAGAGAUGAGAAAUGACAAUGAUCAGAGAGUCAUCCGAAAUAAGACUAACAUAGGACCAACUCUCUAAUGAGCCAGAUAUCAAACCUUUGUAUUAAGCACACGGCUUUGUUUCUGUGAUAGUGUCAAAAAAUAAGAACUAGAAAGCAGUAGGAGAGGUGUUACAUGUAUGCUAGUAAAGGAUCAGCAUACUAACUACCGCCCCCUCCUCAACAAUCCCUCUUAUUACAGAGGACUCAUUUUAAGGCGGUUCUUAUCAACAAACUUCCUGUCCAAAAUUACGAGUCGGUAGUCAUAAAUACCUCUGAGUGCCAGGGAAAAAGUUGAAAGCAUGAGCUUUCUCCAAAUGCCAUGCAUUAUUUGAUAACAAGUUCUUACAAUCCUGUUGAAAGAAUUUUAUAGCCAAAAAUAAGGAAUCCAUCAUUAAUCACCAAACCAUUAAAAGGACAAAAAGGAAUAGAUCAAAAAUAAAGGGUCUGAAAUACCAAGGCAACGAGAUAUAGAUGAGACUCAAAUGUGUUGUAAACAAAAUAUACCUCCUUAAAACUUUCCCAUCCACAACUGAUAUAGAUAAGGGUUGCCGGCCAACUUUGACUAUUUUCCCAGUUGGUUUUGCCAUCAACAUGAAUGGCUGCUUCCCUUGCUCGUAGAAUCCAGGGUCUCUUUUCCUCUUUCUCAUUUAGGAUAGAACUGAACUCAGAAGAAGCUUUAGGAAGUCUAAGCCCUUUAAUUAAUAGCCAUUUUUCUUUAUAAAUUGGUUAUAAUGCAAGAAACACCUUAUAGAUUUAGAAGUUUUCACAUUUCCCCCUAAAAUUUUAAAACGUACAUUUUACCCUGUUGACUCUAUGAGCAAAAAUCCUGUACUCCGAGUGCAUCACUAUAUAGGUUUCAAUAUCUCAGGGUGAAAAGUGAAAACAGCAAUAAGAAUGAGAAAAUACAUUAUGUAUAUGACAAAAAAGGAAUCAUCUUUUUAAAUCCUUAGAAAUAAAAAUGCAUCUAUACCUUUUGGGAGCCUUGGAAGCCUUACUAUAAGACAAAGCAACAUUCCUUAAAGCAUCGACAAGAGAUGGAUGCAAUCCUUUUCUUGGAGGAUCCACAAUAACAACAUCAGACCCCUCAAGCCAGUGAACUGGUUCCUGUAAUCAUAAUUCACAAUUCCCACUUUGAAAACCCAAUUUUCCAAUAGUGAACCAUUAAUUCAAAUAUCCAGUUCUGAAAUUUGACUUCAUACAAUUGAAGCAUCGGUAUUGUGCCAAUUGAUGCUGCAAUCUACGGUUUUGGGCAGACGGCUCACUGACUUCUCAAAAGACGCUUUCGACUCUUUGUUGAUCUCAAUGCAUUUCACAGACCUGAGAAUUUAAAAAAUUAAAAAUAAAAAAUGACAGGCAUUUGAUAUAAGAUAACCCAAAUAGGGUAAAAUUCUUCAAAAUAUAAUGGAAUUAGACCCUAGCACUUGCCUACAUUUCCUUGUGGCUGCUACAGAUAAACCAAUGGCACCAGCCCCUGAAUACAGAUCAACAACAGAUGAUCGGCGAGGGACGUACUUCUGCAAUUUCCUUAGUAAAGAACAAAAAGCCUGCAUAUGUGCAAAUAAAUGAAUCCAAUAGAAACUGCAAAUAGUUCAAUUCUUGCGAACUUCAAUUCCUACAUUUGUGUGGCAUAAGAUACUUAAUGAUUUCACACAAACACAAUAUUAUCUUUCAUUAUUAUUUCUAUUUUCAAGUACUCAUCACUUAACUGAUGAAAUACUUGAUUUUUGCAAUGUAAAUAGGUGGUUAGAUACCUGAGUAUUUGCCUGGCCAAAGCUUGAUGGAUCAAGAGAAACAUCAAUUCCUCCUAUAUGCUCCCAGAAAUCUCUCUCCCCUAUGAGAUGUCUCCAUUUGUUUCCAAAAAUUAUCUGCUCAUACAAUGGAAAACUAUCAUACCUAACAUGGUUAUUAGAUAAUCCAUGAUCUUUUCCCCUUUUUUUGGUUAAAGAUGAUAAGUCUUACUAAAUGAAAAAUAAUUAAAGUCGGCAUCUUGUAUCAUAUUAUAGGCUAUACUGGAAUGUAACCACAAACCAUGAGGUUAACUACGACAUGCUAAAACAAUUAAGCUAAAUUUGGCUUACAUUGCUGCUUGACGUUUGAAAGUUGGCCCAUACAGAAUGAAUCAAAUGGAUGUUACCGUUUGGUCCACCGUUUCUCCAUAAAAACUGUAAGAAAAAUGACAAGACUCUGAUUUAAUACAAAAGUAUGUCAAAAAUGAUUAUAAUUGGAAUAUCCACAGCUGAUUCUAACGCUAGCACUGAUGACUUACAUCAGACAAGGAUUUCAACUUCUCAGAAUUCUGUGCAUGUUCAUUUCUUGAAUUCCAAACCAAGGAAACUUGCACUUUACCUAAAAGGAAAACAAGCAUAUCCUAGCAUUUGAGAGAACCUCUAUGCAAUAUAGAGCUUAUGUAGAAACAGAUUAACACAGAGAGAGAGAGAGAGGGAGAGAGCUUCUGUGUGAACCUUCUCGGUAUCGUUCUGCAGCUGGGAGGGAUGUGUUAUAUGUUGUCACAGCCAUCUGAAGAGUAGGAUUACAGAAUUUAAAAAAAGGCACCUCAACUGAGUUCCUAUUCAGUUCAUUAUAGUCAAACAAAAAACUCAACUCAUUAAUAUGCAUAUAUAAUUUUCAGAUUGGGUUGCUUUUCAAAGAAUACAUAUCUGAAGCCAAUUAUUUCAACCGAAACACUUGUCAAAAAAACAAGCCAGCUGAAUUAGAACCUUCAUGCUUUUGGUGUAAAACCUAAUAUUAAGUGUGGACCUUUAUAGACGUAAGACACUAAUUAAAGAAGACUCAAACAACGCCCAUGUCAUCCUGCGAAGUCUUUACUCCCUUAGUUAAUAAGCAGCUUAAUAAGCAGCUUCAAGUUUAGCAGCUAUAAAAACUAAGCAGAAUAAACUUCCAAUCCAAUCUAGAAAUAUCAAGCCAUCAAGGCCUCCACAAAUAUUCAAUAGUAUAUCUCCAAUUAGAUCGUCAGAUACAGGACACAUUAGAAUGCACAAUUCUAGUGUCACUAAAGUAAUGCUAAAGAUACCUUAAAAUACACCCCAAAAUGCAGCUGAUGAGUCAAAUUUGCACACGUGACAGCUAGUGAUUGAUUUAGCUUUUAAAUUUCAGACAUGAUACCUAAUAUAGAUAUCAAUAUUAAAAAGCUAAAUCAUUCACUAGUUGUCAUAUGUACAAAACUAACUCAUCAACAACAUUAUGGGCUAUAUCAUAAGAUAGUAUUACUUAUAUGAAAAAUUAAUAGAUUCAUCUUCAUCAUGAGGUUUGGAGGGAAUAUUAUAACUUCUGUUGAAGUUCCACCAUCACCAAAAAAUUUUGGAAGUCCAACAAUUAAUUAUAUCCUUGAGUAAACUUUACAAACUAUACCAGUGAAAUACCCAUGUUCGCUAAGAUUUAAAGAAAGAUGUUAGCUACUGGUUUCUCCUAUGUCAGCUCUCGCAUAGAACCAAGUACACUGAUCAUAGUGUAUAGAACUUCUGAUUAGACCAAACUCUGAAUCAAGUGGAACUGUGGAAGACUUUUCAAGUAAACACAAUCAGUCAAAAUCUUAUUACUAGAAUAUACACCUUCCACUGAACAUUUAACUUAAAACAGCUCUUGCACUUCUUUCCGACGGUAUCCUCCAGCAAACCACCAUGGCAAUCAUGCCCCAAGACUUCUUUUAGAGUCCAAAAAUCUAUUCAUUCUUCAAUUGGUGCAUGUGAAACUUGUUAAGAUAAUACUCCCAGCCUUACCUAGUAAGGGUACACUGCUAAAACAAAUAGUAGACACCCUCUUCCACCACCACAUUGUGUAGAAACAGAGUUCCCUUUCAAUGUCUCUUCAACAGAUUGUGUUUUGUUAGAAGGCUCAGAACUCUAUUGUUUAUAGGAAGCUAGUAAUUUGAAAAGCAACCCCAUAAAACCACAGAGCCAAUGAGCUAAUAAUUCUCCAUCAUUAAGAGUUUCGUAACAAGCAUCAUUGCCAAGUUGUUGCACCAGCUGGACACCAAAUUCCCUAGUCUAUAGUAAUAUUAAAACUGUCCAAGCAGAUGAUUGAGCUCAAACUUCUUCUAAACUGUACAUUCUAACUUAGAUGUCUUUUCAUAGAAUUCUUGUAAUAGAAUUUCAAUAUUAAAACUCGCCAAACAUAAGUCCCUUAAUAAGAGAGAGGCCUCCACUUCCACUUGCAUAAUAAAGCGCUAAUAAAAUUCCUUUGGCCCAUCAUUCUUUUUAACCAUCCUAUCUCAGCUCACUUUGACAAUGUCUCCGCAUCCAGUAAAACUUCAUUCUGAUUGUCUGAUUCUACCGAUAACCAUGGAGGCAAUCUAUAAAGAGAUCUAAUAUACAAAGGAAACAGAUAUAACCAAUUUAAGAAGAAUUAAACUUCCAACCAAAGAUGAUAGAGAACUUUCUGACCAGACUAAUUGGGGUCAACUAAUUGGGUUUGAAAAAGGACAUGAAACUGGGAUUCACAAAAGAUUUCACGUACCUCUUCUGAAAUAUAACUUUGAAUAGCCUUUUAUUUCAUUCUUAUGUCAAACGACCAUGCGUCAUUACACGCAACUUACCAUUAUAACUUGUUAACCAAGGAAAUAAAUAAAUAAAUAAAGAUUUGAAUGUAUAUUAUAUAUUAAUGGGUUUCAAAGAGUUUUUGGCUAAAAUUUAGAGCUCAAGGAGCAAAGUGCAGUGACACAAAAAGCACAACGAUGGACAGAUGGAGAUAAAUUUUACCAUCAUUUAAUUGAUAGUCCAAAACAUUAAGCAAUUCACUUAAAUGUGUAGUUGGUGACUAGACUUUUGGGAGACUCUCCACCCAACGAGUGCCCAACCACGCUAACAACCUAGGCAGUCUUUCUCACCUACUAUCUUCAUGACACAAGAAAUAUUAGUUGUCUUAGUUUAGUUAAACCUUUUAGUAACAUAUAAUCAAUAGAUGAGUAUAAAUAGCCACAAUGACAUAAAUAAGAGUGCUAUAGCAAAAGAAUGUAUAAUUACUGAUCAGCUGGAUGUACUAAAGUAAUAAAAAGCAAUAGUGACCUGGACAUAUCUCAAUUCACCGGUACCCAAAUCUUCAUCAAAUGGCUGAAUAUUCAACUUGGAAAUACCUAUGAAAAUUAAAAAUGUCAAAAAAAAAAAAAAAAAAAUCAGAGACCAAUGGAUAUGCAAACAAAAUGCAACAGCUAACUCUUGAGUUAAAAGAGCAUGCCUUGUUUUAGAAGGUCGACUGCAGCAUUGAUGCUUGGAUGAUGUGCUGCAUGAAAGAACAACUCGAUAAAAGAAACAGAUCGCAAGGAGCAAAUUGUGAAAGGUUGCAAGGAAACUAUAUAUCUUAUUGAACUGAUGGCAUGAUAAUGGACAAAAAACCACUUACCAAAACACUCUCAUUAUACAAGUUAUGAUACAAGGAUAACUCUAGCAUCCAAUACAAUAAUUACCACACAUAACAAAUAAAAUAUUGCAAUGACAUAAAUGUUAAUGCAGUUGUUCUCUCUAAAUCAAGACCCUAGCUUUAGGCUGAAGACAAUAGACAGACAAAUCAACUGUACAAAGUAAUUAACGCACCUCUACCUAAAUACUAUCACUAUGGGAGUGAAAUGCUUUAAUUAGAGUACAGACAUACACGCGAGAAAGAGAGAGAGGGAGGGAGGGGGGGCCUUGACAAUUGUCGCAACAUUUUAACUACCAAACAGUUUAUGUAGUGGCAAAAAUAUGAAAAUGUUUUGCUGUCUAACCUCUACAUUGUGGAAUAUCAACAACACUAUGUGUCCCUUCUUGAUAUAGCCCAACCAGCGGGAUCUCUGGCGUUCCGCGUAUAGCAAGCUUUGCGCGACAUCUCCACUCCCACUAGAAGUGCCAUUUAUGGGAAUCAGUAUAUAAGAGAAAGCUGCAUGAAAGUAGCUUACAGCUUUUCCAUAAAAAAAUAAAGCAUAAGAUAUAAAUUAAUAAAAAAACAUUAAAAAGACAUAAUAGUAAAAAUUGUAAAAAAAACAUAUAUGGAGAAAAUAUAAUCAAUAGCUUUUCCAAAUUAAAGUAUAAAACAUCUAACUAUGGCAGAAUACAAAAAAAAAGAGGAACAGUUCUCAUACAUGGACAAUAUAAAGGGUCAGUGGUUCACUAAUAAGCAGAAAGACAAUUAGCCCCUUAACAUGAGGACAUGAAUAAGACAAUGUUAUGGUACUAUCGGUCUCAAGUGAAACUACAAAAUAAACAAAACUUAGUUUUAAGCACCAAAUCUCCAGAACAAAAGCACCGUCAACAACUUUUGAUUAAUUCCACAACCGCAUUAGACAACCUUACCACAUCAGUUCCAAUUGUGUAUGAGUGCGCAUGCGUGCGUGCUUGUUUGCAUGCAUGCAUGCAUCUGUGUAGCCUACAUCUUUGCUUUUAGUUCAUCUCAAAAUCCUAGCAGUCAUAUCUUCCGGUCGAACGUAAUCUGCCUACAAGGUCAUGUGUCUUACUCACAAAAAAUAACUUAAAGGUGGCAUAAACUAGUGCCUGGAACAUCCAAUCAUACUCCUCAUUUACCAAUCACUGCUCUUAACCUUCAGUAAACAAAAAUGUUGUGUGGAACAUGGUGCUCAUGCAUCCAAAAUGGCCACAAAUUCAAAAGUAAGAUUUGAACCCAAGUAUCAAAUUCAAAAUGAUGAAUUUAUUUCAAUGCAACAUAAACAAAAAAAAUUAAUAGACACAGGUUGAUUCCAAUAAUAACACACCAAUCGACCAAUAUCAAAGGAGAAGUCGGCAACGCCGCGGUCCUUGAAGAACUUGCUCACUUCUUCGAGCACUUGCGGGCGGUCCAGAUCCCACUCAUGCGUGCACCCUGAACACCUAGGAUCUCACCAAAAAAAUAUAUAUAUACAUUAAUAAAAAAUAAUUUAAGGGUCCUGCUUGGAAUUUGGCUCACUAAUUUCUAAUUUGAUGCGAGAUAACGCAAAAACUUAUCUCCCAUUUCAAUUCGAUCCCCAAAACUCGAUUUGACUCAGGAAAGCUCACUAAAAAGUAAAAACCAGUGUUCCCAAGCCACAAAAAAAUCCGCUUUAUGAGGAUUUAUGCACUAAAUUACACUUUUCGAGCUGAAUUUAAGCUGCUUGCACCAAAUUAGACUUAGCAGAACUAUACAACAGCGAGUUUUCUGUGCCAAAUCAAACUCUUAGGGCCAAAUCGUAGUAAGAACGAAAUUAGUGAGAUUGAUAUGAAAGAGAAAUUUGGGUCAAAUUGCAACUGCGACAAAGUUACCAGAUUUUUGUGAUGGUAAUCAAAAAAAUAAUCAGAAAUAGACGACCAUGAGAAGGGAUUAGGGUUAGGACUUACGAUUGGAAGUGCGGGCACUGGAGAGCGCAAGAAGAAGCGGAGGCGGCGGAGGAGGACGAGGAGGAGGAGGGAGAGAGGGGUUGGAGGUGGAGAUGAUUAGGGUUUUUAGGGCUUCUAGGGUUCUUGUAGGGUUCGGUGCGAGGAGGAGGGGCGGCGGGGGCGAGCCGCGCCGUGACGAACGUCACCGAGAGUAGCGCCGCCACCAUUUUUUCUUUUUUUUUUUUUUUGUUACGGAGCGUCCGCACGAAAAACUGCGUGCGAAUCGCGGAAAGCGAACAAAGCGAACCAACACUGUAGUAGAUGUAUACUGUAACAGCGAGGUACGGAAAUCCUAGAUAUUAGUAACUAGACUAAAUACGAAAUUACCCCUGUAUAAAUUUAAGUAUAAAUUAUUUAUUAAUUAACUUGCUAUAUCUAAUUCGUGCAAAUCUCUUGAUCAGAUGUUCUGAUCGUCCAAAUUCGACCUCUAUCUCUCUCAAAAUGUGCAAAAUGCCUUAUUUAAAGCGAACCAAAUUUAUCAUUUGAUGUCCUCGACCAGGCAUCAAAUUUUGCCGCAUAUUUAUAUCAUCAAAUCAUUUUUUUUAAGAGAAGAUUACAAGUAUGAUAAAAAAUGAAAUUAAAAGCAAUUAUAUUAAAACCAAAUCCAUAAUAGACUGUCACAUUAGACUUUUUUCAUAACGCGGGGGUUUUUUCAUAAUGCGGGGUUCAAGAGAUCGAAAUUAUGAACCUGCAUUUGGUAAUCGUAUUUAUAUAAUUAAAAAGUUGCAAUAAAGUAUUAAGUGAAUAAUUUAGGAACAAAGUCCAUCUAUAUUAUACGCCACACUUUGGAGAGUUUAUAGCAUUGCCUAAACAGUGCAGUCCCAUCAUGGUUCCAACUUUGUUGUUCACUUCCAAAUUUGUAAAAUUUAUUUUCCAACCUCCAACACUUGAUGAAUGAUUACACCCUUCAUCAUCAAGCACAUAUACUAAUUGUGGCCGCAAAACUUAAUGUGUAACAGUUUGAUUUUGAGCACUCUUCGUUUUUCAAAUAUCACCCCUAUCUUCUAUUGGCCGAUCGAAAAGCUGAUCAGCUUGGCCAUCGUACACGAUCUCUUUGCAGAUACCUCCCAUAACGAACGCGUUGGCGCGUAUCCUUCCACAAACUGAACGUCAACUUACGCCGCGUGGAAUGAUAUCAUCCUAGCAGCAGCUCAACGUCAACUGAACGUCAGAGAGCGAGUCUUGCCGCCGAGCUCAGGAACAAAGCAAGCUCUCGUAUGUUCGAACAUUUUAGAUACGGGGCGUCCUGCCUUAGUAACCGAUUCGCGCUCCCCCUCCCGUGUCGUACUCGGUAAACGGCCAUCCUUCGAUAAAUGCGUAAACCUACUUGGCAAUAUGGUUUCCAAAUCUAUAUGAAAACAUAGGUUUGCAACCUGAAGAACAGAAUUUUUCAUAUAAGGACCAAAAACUAUAUAAUGCACUAUAUAAUUUUAAUGUGUGUACUCAAGAAUGUCAAAAAGCUUACUUAUGAGCCAAAUGGACGCAUUGUCUUCGUCGACUCGCAUGCAGGUUCGUACUUGAGAAACUCAACAUGGAGCAUGACAACAAUUUCCCUAGAGAGAGAACAAAUGAUUGAGAUUCUUUUCAGAAAUAGAGGAGAAAACUUUAUUGGUGUUGUUGAAAACCAACCUGUGAAGCUCAUAGUCAUAGCAAUCCACAUUGAUCAAGCCAGAGUGUUUCAUAAGUUUUGUUACAUCCUCCUAUUUCCAAAAUUAAUGCAACACUGUUAGCUAUUACAUUAACUCAUAUAUGUUUUGAGCUAAGAUUACAAAUGUAAAAUUGCACUACCUGUGAGGGGUUGUCUUAAAUUCCGCGAUUCCGGAGCCAAUUGUUAGCAUCUGAUAAAAAGCAGCAUAAAAUAAAAUCAGCAUUUUAGUCAUCUAAACUAGAAAAUAAACUAAUUAAACAAAUUGUAACAAGGCAGAGGUGUAUAUAGUAAACUCUCUCCAAUGAAGCUCUUGACAGAAAUGCCAAGGGGGUGGUCCCAUAUGAUGAGAUAAGUGCUAUGGACUUAAAAUCGCGACUGGACCAUAUCCGCACCCGCUCCCUCAGAAAUACAAGAGCUGUCAAGUAGCUCGUACAGAAAAAUUUUAAAAAAAAAAAAAAAAAACCAAAGCCCAUUUAGUUGCUGUUCAUCUUUACUUGUAUUUAAUAGUUGAUAUGGACUGAUUGUGUUUUAGAAGAGAGAUCCAUUGUGACAUAACUACUUUACAAUUUAAAUUUUCUAGUUAAAUGCACCAAUUGUUAUUUGAAUCCUCACUUAUUUUGGUUUGGUUCCUUACCCUUUCUAGCCAAUAAAAUUUCUAUACAAUGCACAUUCUUCAUUUAAAAAAUCCUUGCAAUAUUUGGCACCUUUAGACCUGAACCUCUACAAAGUACACUAAAUUAAAAAAUUAUGCAAGACACAUGCUGCAUUUAAUACUGAAUUAAACUUAAUUUAUACACAUUCACUGGGUUUAAAUGUAGUCAUUGUUUGAUUGAUAUACCAACCAACGUAGCUCACGUGUUGUGGGCAAAUGUUCCAUGACGAAAUUUGAAAGACAUAUAUCAGGAAAUUACAAAUACACAAGUAAAGAUUUUUAAUAAUUUUUCUUACACUAAAGUUCGCUUGAUGACUUCAAAAGUCAGCAUAAAAACGUAUACAAUUCACACACGAGCUUCUAUUUUCGAGUCAAGAUUAUAUUUGGAUUUAAGCUCGACCAUUUUUUGCACCUGUUUGCAACAACCAACGCACAAUUCAUAUCCAUUUGAUACUAUUUGACAUUUAGAAUUUGUAAUGAACAAUUAAGAGUGUGAGCAUGAGAAUUAAAAGAAGAGGAAAGAACUUUUCUACCAUGAGUGACAACAAAGCAUCCUCCCCUGUUACUAACAAACGUCACAAGUAGCAGAGACAGUCAUGUAACUUAAGCUCAUCCCAAGACCAAGCCCAAUAAGUCCUCACAAAUAAUAUAUUCAUCCAUAAUACAUUAAUGAUUUUGCAAAUCAAAGGUAAGUAAGAUUUUCUUAAAAAUUAGUGGUACAAAGAGAGACCCAAUGUCGUAGGAUAACCGUGCAUAUUGAGUCGAGGAGACUUGACGACACUCCAUCGAUUCCUCUCGUUUCGCGAUCCACGACCUCGAACACCGGUCUGCCCCUAAGACGAAUUCAGCGAUGUUCGGCGAAUUGACGCAGCCAUGUUAUGCCACCCCUGCACAAUGUUUUGACCUCAUGAUGGUAAACACUACCAAUAGUCCAGCACGAAUGAAAAAAUAUCUGAUUGAAAUAUUAUGCAAGACCCCGGUACUUGUAAUAAUAAUGGCUAAACAUUUGAGCCGCUAGUUUUGAACAACGAGUUAUUACGCUAAUUAUUUGGUUGUUCAGUUUUUCUUGGUGUUUCUGUUUUUUUGUUUGUUUUGUUGUUUCUGUUGUUUUGUUGUGUUUGUGUGUUCGUGUUUGAGGUUGUUAAAAUUGUAUCAGAAUCAAAAUACCAAAGUAAAACCAAAGGUGAGAGCUAACUAACAGAUAAAUGCUAUAUCAGGAUUGAUUGAGCAGGCUCCACACCUUAUUAAUAAAAACAUGGACUAAACUUUAAAACCGAUGAUUUGGAACCUAUAACAAAUUAAUUAUUAUAGCGACAAGUCGUAAACAUAAGCAAACUUAAUUCAUUCAGUCACUAUAAUGAUGCCUACACUAAAAAAAAUGACCACAUAAUCCAUCAUAAAAGUAAUUAAUAUCCCUGAUCUUGUUUAAUAAUAAAUAUCAUAAAGAACAGCAUAUAUAUAAUAUCUAUAUAUAUGUACAUAAAUUAAUAUAUGUCAUAUCAAAUUCUCAGAAUAGGCAAAGCAAAAAUAAAAAUCCUUCUAUACAUUAAACCAUAAAGAAAUUUCCAAAUAUGAAAAAACAUAUCACAACAAAUGAACAUACAUAUCUAGAGUAAAAACAAAAAAAAAAAAAAAAAAGUUAUAACCAUACCAUUAAAACCCCAUGUUGCAAUAGCACAGGUUGCCUCCUUUUUCCGUCGUCAUUGCCGCCGCCGCUGCCGUUUACGCCUCCUCCCCCUCUCUGCGGGAUCCUUUGCAUGCUCAAUAUAUAUCCAUCUUGAGUUGUCACCUAAAAAAGCCAAACAUAAAAAAAAAAAAAAAAAAAUUUAACUUCCACAACAUCAGUGUAAUUUCGUACGAAAAUUUGAAUUUAUUCGAAAGAAACUGAUUAAACUUAUAGAAGGAAUUUUCACAUAAACAACCUCAUAUUCUUCACAUUUGUAACCGCGGGGGAUCACCAUCAACGCGCAUGGCCCUGUCGUUUCAGGCGAUGGCACGGCAAUGUCCGACCGAGUAAGCGCGCGAGCUCGAGUGAGACCGAAUUGGAUACAUAAGUAGAGAAGAAUAGAGAGAGUGGUCCAUGCCAUGCCAUUGUAACCCAUAUUUGUUGUUAGUAUAUAUGUUAGUAGAAUAAAAGGAUGCAACAUAUAUAUACUGUAGGGGGGUGGCUUUUAAAAGCUUUUAAAAAAGGAAGGGGGAGGGAAAUUGAGGAGAGAGAGAAAAAGAAGUGUGAAAGCAAAGAGAGAAUUGAGUUUUUUUUCCCCCUACGAUGUGAUAAAUGACUCAAAUGUUGAUGCCUUAAAAAGUGUGGGGCUUCUCUUUUUGGCUUACUUUAUUGGUUAUACGUAUAACAUGUUGUCGAGGGCGUACAGGCUUGGGAUUUAGGAGUUGACGUUCAUUCGGUUUGGGAUAGAUGGGUGGGCAAGAAGGGGCCGCAAUCUACGCCUAAUAGGAUCCCAGAAUUAGCGGCCUGUUUGUGGAUCAUUUGGGAGAACAGAAAUAAUACAAUCUUCAGAAUGAUUCAGCUGGACUCCCUGAGAGUUGUUUGUAAGGCUAAACAGUUGUCGAGCUCUUGGGAUCAAUUUUUGUCGGUUAAUUGGUAAUUUUUUUUUUUUCACCCUUCUCGAGGUCCGGAUGAAUGAAGCGGAUGCCAUGCUAUCUUAUUCUCAAAAAAAAAAAAAAAAAAAAAAAAAAAAACAUGUUGUGGGGAAAUGAGGAUGGGAUUUGAUGCUAAGGCUAGUUGAAGUAAUCAUUGUUGCAGAGUAGUGAAGAAUCAUUAAUGUUCACACUAGAGGGAAAAUUAGUUAAAAGAAAAAGAAAAAAAAAAAGUGGGCAUGAACUUUUGGUUAUUAUGCUUUUGGGGUAGCUUUUAAUUGACUUGAAUAGGCUUUUAUUAUACACACUUUGUAGAUUGAUAUCAUUGAGUGAGGACUAAAGUCCUUGCGUCCAAAUUCACAACCAAAUAAAUAUAAUAUUUUUUAAAUUAAAAUCAAAUCAUCUAUUAACAGAGUAUUUACUAUACGCAGAUCAAAUAAAUAAAGAAAGAAAAUAAUUCCUUUAACUUAUUUUCUAUUUUACUGAGUUUUGCUAAAAUAUAUAUAUAUAUGCGCAUGAGAAAAAAAACAAAAAAUACGAGUUCCCAUAAGAACGUGUAGACAACGUGAGUGCGUUGGGAUAUUGUGGAAACGUAUACAUCAUCCACAAUAGCCUUUUGCGUUACGGAGAGGCCCCAAAGAAAACAUAUAUAUAUACACACAUGCACUGAUCAAUUUUGUUCUCAGGGUUACGUAGAUAGAGAUAUUUUUGAGGAUGGGGUUUGUUAACGAAUUAUUGUAGUUGUUGUUGUUGUUGUUGUUAGAGAGAGAGGGAGAGAGAGAGAGGGAGGGCCACACGUGUGACGUGGCUACAGGAACUCCCUACAACAAACCAAUUUGGGGACCCACCACUUCACACGUGGGAUCCUCUUAACACGUGGAAAUUUGUGAUAAGAGUAUAGAAUUUUUCGUACACAUAAAGUUUUGUUUGGUAUUACGAAAAUAUUACGUUAUAUAUUAUGAGAAAAUAUGAUAAAAAAAUAUCAUAUUAUUUUUGUAUAUAAUAUUGCGUUUUGUAUAUUGCAAUGAGUCGGUUACGAUAUAUUUUUUGCAGUCCCACCGAAGAACGUAGAAAUAUAUCCUUAUAUAUUUUUAUCCCGACUUAAUUUUAUCUAAUAGCGUCAAAUAGACCUCAAUACCAAACUAAGCCUAACUCGUUUUCGAUAAUAGAGCUNNNNNNNNNNNNNNNNNNNNNNNNNNNNNNNNNNNNNNNNNNNNNNNNNNNNNNNNNNNNNNNNNNNNNNNNNNNNNNNNNNNNNNNNNNNNNNNNNNNNGAUUAUAUUGUCAAAUCAUUUGAAAUUUUUCUUAUAUAAAAUGCCAAAUUAUGAAAGGAAAGAUAGAGAGAGAAAAAGGAAAUAAAGAAAAAAUAAAAAUUUUGAAAAUAUAGUAGAUGUAAAAUGACUAAAUUGUCUAUGUAUUAAAAGACAAAAAUAUUCUUUUUUAAGAUACCUGGUAACCGGUACCUUUCCUAAAGUGACCUGCUAUUGUAGGUCACAAUUUAAAAAAAAUUAAAUCUGAACCGUUGAAUACACGUGAAUGAACGGUAACCAACAAAAAAAAGUAUAGAAGCAUUACUCAAAUAAAAAAUAGAAUAGACAUUAAUUUCUCAGAUAUAAUACUAUUAUUAUCGUACCAAGUUGCGUAAAUAAAUAAUUGUAGCUUAGAUAGACCAUUUGCUUAAUUACCCAGCCCAAUGUAGUUGUGGAACAUUUUCUCAUACAAUCCCUCCCCUCUCCCCUCGUCUCUUCGUUCUCUUAAUUUCUACUGCUGCAUUAAUUCUAUCCAUCUAUCUAUCUAUAGAUUCUAUAGAUUCUGUACUAUCAAAAUCGAUAUAUGCAUGGCGGACUGCAUCUGUAAGGUUGUUGAUGCGGCGAUCUCGCCGCUGGUGAGCCUCGUCACGGAGCAUCUGGCGUAUCUUCUUAAAGCGGAGGACAAUUUGGACGAGCUCGAGAAAGUCGCCGCGGAGCUGGCCGCCAGGAGGAAGGAUGUAGACGAGAGGAUCCAGUCCGGCCGCAGAACAACCGGCGGCACUGCGACGAANGCCCUAGAGCUCUCUUAUAUUAGAAAAGUUUCCAUUUUGGCCUGAUCCAACCAAACAUAUAUAAGGUCUUGGCCCAGUAAAUAUUAUAUGGGCUGGGCUGGGCUGGACCAUUUAAGUUUGUGUUCGACCUAUUGAAGUUGUGGGUUCGUUCGCAUCGGGCCUGUAUCACGAGCUCUCCUAGUAGAGACCAGACCAACUUUAAUAGGUUAAUCCGGUACUUGAACAUUUAUGUAAUAAGAAAUCGAUAUCCAUGUUUGGGUAAUCUAGCGUAAAAAAAGAAAGGAACAUAAAGUCCAACGAAAAUAUGGGGAGAUUUUCUUUUAUUUUGUGAGUUUGCAUGUAGCUUGCUAUUCUGUAAAUUUGGAUAUAAACCGCUGUACUAGGCCGAAGUAACAUGCUAGAGUCUUAAAUUUGAACCUUCAUUGAAGAAGGUUAAAGGGUAGUUGUUUCCAUUUUUCAAAAAGAAAUGAUUUUAGUAGAUUCAAUUUUAACACAGAUAGAUUGGUUAUUGUUUCCAAGUUCAAUACUGAAUCUUUAUGAGAAUAAAUGAAUCUUCGUGAGAAUAAAUUUAAACCCUUUUUCAUAAGUUUUAUGACUUUUUUUUUUUUGAUUAAGAUAGGUAGUACGUUACCCGCUUUAUUUAUUUCAUUUAGAAAUAAAUAUAGCUGAAAAUGUGAAUCAAUUAGGAUUCGAACUUGAAAUCUCGGGUACCAACCACCAAACCUUUGCCACUUGCUCAAAGACGGUUAGUAGGCAUCAAAUAUUUCAUAUCUCAAAAUAAGUAACCGAGAUAUACAGAAGUAUAACGCUCUUCUUAGGAAGAAGACAUUUCAACAACACUUUAGUAGCUGCGUAUUGAGCAAACAAAUGGUCUAAUGUUAAGCACGCAUAUUUUCUCACCCUUGUUGGCAUUUUUUUUUUUUUUUUAUUAGUUAUCUAUGCAAAUUUUAUAUACAUAUAUAUUUUUUUACCUGAAAGAAAUUUUAUCGAUCAAACUUAUAAGAAAGUUACUCUGACAGGCACGACAAGUUGGAGAUUGACAACCCGCCGGCGGCGGGAAUAGAAUACCGGUAUCUUGAUCAGGCACUCCAAUUUAUCAACGAUGACGCGGUGAAGAUGGUCGGAAUCUGGGGCAUGGGCGGGGUGGGGAAGACCCACCUCCUCAAGUUCAUCAACAACUCGUUCGCUCGCCAAACUUCUUUCGACGUCGUGAUCUUCGUCACAGCGUCUAGAGAGUGCUCCGUAGCACGGAUUCAAAGCGAGAUUGUGAAUACGCUCGACUUGCCCGCGAUAAACAACGUGCAGGACCAGGCCAGAAUCAUCUCAGACUUUCUGCGCGAAAAGAAUUUUCUCCUGCUGCUGGACGAUCUGUGGGAACGACUCGACCUGGGAGCCGUCGGCGUCCCGAUGCCUUCGGCCGCGGGCGAGCAGCUUAAAAGAAAGGUGGUGUUGACAACGAGAUAUUUGAAAGUCUGCGGCCAGAUGGGUGUAAGCAGGAGGAACAGCAUCAAAGUGGAAUGUCUGGACGGCGACGACGCUUGGCUUCUCUUCCGAGAGACCGUCGGCGAAGACACGAUCGGCUCUAGUCUUGCCGUCGAAGCCCUCGCAAGAAAAGUAGCCAGAAAGCUGGGCGGCUUGCCCCUCGCUCUCAUCACCGUCGGAAGAGCCAUGUAUGAUAAGGAAGAUUCGAGGGAAUGGGGACAUGCCAUCGACCUGCUGCAGGACGCGCGCCACGACGAGGUCGAUCCGGAUGCAGAGGAAGAAAGCUUGUUCCAUACCUUGAAGUUUAGCUACGAUAGGCUACGGAAUGAUGCCUUGAGAGAUUGUUUGUUGUGCUGUUCCUUGUGGCCGGAGGAUUCCUGCAUCCCCAAAAAUGAUCUUAUCCUGNAUAUAAUAUAUAUAUAUUACUAUGUAUAUUACUUUCUUAUUAGGAUAGUAUUAUUUAUUUCUUUGUAUAACAGGAUAUAAUCCUGUACUUCCAUGUAAAGCUUUUCCUCUCUCUAUAUAAGAGAAUGGAUUUAGAUGAAUAAUAUACAGAAAAUUUCUCAAAUCUCUUGUUUCAGUGCUGUUCCUUGUGGCCUGAGGAUUUCUGCAUCCCCAAAAAUGAUCUUAUCCUCUGUUUGUUGGGGUUGGGCGUGAUCGACGGGUUCGACGACAUGCAGAGUGCGUAUAACAUAGGAUACGAUCUCAUAGCUAGCCUGCGAUCUGCAUGCCUGUUGAACGACGACGACCUCGGCUUCGGAGUGAGGGUUCACGAUGUUAUUCGCGACAUGGCACUGUGGAUAGCUUGCAACUGCGGGGAGAGGAAGAAGAAAUGGUUUGUGAAGGCAGGACUGGGGUUGACGGAGGCGCCGCCGCAAGGGACGGGAAUUGUAUGGGGCGAGACCGACUGCGUGUCGUUAAUGCAUAACAGGAUCAAAGCAUUUCACGGCUCUCCCGGCAGUUCCUCCCCCGCCGCACUUACAACCUUGAUGCUGCAAGGUAAUCGGCUACGCAAAAUUUCGCUCGCGGCUUCUCCCUCCCUCGCGGCACUCGCGUACCUAGAUUUGUCUCACAAUAAACUCAACGGUUUCCCGGAAAAUAUAUGUCGGCUGACCACCCUUCGAUACCUCAACUUGUCGUUCAAUCUAAUCCGCGAAUUGCCUGCGGAGCUUAAACUUCUGACUAGCCUCGAGUACUUGAUUCUGCGUGAAAGCAACGUCCGGAUAAUUCCUGCGGGUGUUAUACGCGAACUCGAGGCGCUUCAGAUGCUGGACUUGCGCGGAUUCCUGUCCGGCGCGGUGGAGUAUUUGCCGUGGCUAUUCGAAGAGUUGGAGGCGCUCAAUAACCUGAAGGCUCUAGAGAUCAGUGUGAAGGAUGUGAACCAGUUGAAUCGGCUCGAUGAGUUACGGAGGACGCGAAUUCGGUCCCUCAACAUAUUUCACUUCGAGCAAACGACUCUUCCCUUGUUGGCCACUCCUCUCGGCAGCUCUCGAAUACAGAACAGCUUGUUCGAUCUGGAGAUUGCCGGCAGCACCACUUUAGAGGAGAUAGUAUUCGACGACGCCCGUUCGUAUCGCAACCCGUGUUUUCACAAUCUGGAGAAGCUAUCAUUCGACGCGAUGCAUAGAUUGAACAUUGUGUUGGACCGAUUGGUAGCCAGGGAAGUUUUUCCGAGGCUCUGUACUUUGGAUUUCAGGUAUUGCAACAGCCUGAAGGAUGUUUCUUGGAUCUUGUAUCUCCCGUGCCUUCGCAUACUAGUUAUGCGCUCGUGCCGAAGCGUGACACAGCUCAUUUCUAGUACACAGAACGAUGACGGUAAAGGAGAAGUCGUGGCGGCGCCUACCUUCCCUUCCCUCAAAAGGAUAAGUUUGAUCAACCUGCCGGCGCUGCAAUGUGUGUGUGAUCCUGCAUACACCUUUCCAUGUUUGGAACAAUUUGUGGUUAUAAUGUGCGGGAGGCUUACGAAGCUGCCUUUCCGCGCCGAUACCAUCCCCAAAAACUUGAAGUUUAUUAGAGGUGACGAAACAUGGUGGGAAAGAAUAGAAUGGGAGGACGACGUCUGCAGAACUUCCCUUAAACUUUCGACGUCCACAUUUCUUCCCUUAGGUUCGUCUGAGAAAGGGAUAGCACGUUACGUGCUCAUUCAUUAGGUGGGUCAACUCAGCUACGAGUGAGGCAGCCACGGUCUCGAAAAAAAAAAAGCAUCAGAAAGUAAAAAUAAAAGUAAAAAUAAAAACUAGUAAGAACAUCAAGGUAAAGGAAAUAGAAACAACCAAACUUAGGGCGAAAUGAAAAAUGCCAUCAACCUCGACCAGUCCUACAAAAAUCGGCCCACUCCUUUGCAAGAACUCCGAUAUCAUAAACUUGAGGCGGUAGCGUCCAAGAACUCCGAUUUCUUCCCUUACGUACGUUCCUUCCAUAUAUAUAUAUAUAUAUAUAUAUAUAUAGAGAGAGAGAGAGAGAGAGAGAGAGAGAGAGAGAGAGAGAGAGAGAGAGGUUAGGGCUACUAUCCUAUUAAUAGGAUUGAAGCAUUUGUCCUAUCAAAUUAUUUUUGAUGAUAGAGAUUCCGAAUCGAUGAUCGGAGCCGUUGAAGUUGAUCUAGAAUAUUUGAAAUAUCUAUAAAUUAAAUUUCAUAAGUUUUAAAAAUUAUUUACAUGGUGAUCAAAGUGUUGUAAAAUCGAUAAUUUUUGACGGCCUAUAUGAGCCGUUUGCUUGUUUAACGGUGUAGAGCNACAAUCCAAAUUGCUUGAAUUUUUGAUAGAAAAUUUUUUAUACUAUUUAGAUAAUAUUUGAUAACUCUGAUUAUGAAUUGAGAAAGUCUAAUCUUUAUUUUAAGAAAGUUAUUUAUUUAUGAUCGUUCAUUUUUGAACUCUUAAGAUGAACUUGAUAAUGAUUUUUAAAUAUUACAAAAUUUGGUUUCUAAACAUUCUAAUUGUGUAGAUCAAUUUCAAUGGUGCCGAUUAUCAAUUUGAAGUUCCAAUAAUACAAACGACUUGAUAGGACAAUGGUCUCAAUUCUAUUAAUAGGAUAGUAGCCGGACUAUAUAUAUACAAGAUAGUAGUUUCUCUGAUCUACUGGGCUAGUUGUGUGUUUCCUUUUAGUGAUUCUCCUGUGCGACUUAGAAGCUACUUGCGUGUUUUUUCUCAAUUAUUGUCGGUGUGAGUAGAAAAUUAAUGCAAGUGUAUAAUUGUCUUCAUGUAAUCCAAUUAAUGAUUUUAUUUGUGUAACUAUCCAGCUCACUAGCUCUCUAAUAAUGUAUUGGCCCAAACUAGUAGAGGAGCCAAAAUUAGUUAAACUCAUUCAUUAUCAUUCAUUUUAACCACUAAUAAAUGCCUAAGUUAACCCCUUGGUGCUAAAUACUAUUCACAUACUAUUCGGGGCGUCUGAUUAGAUGUAAUUAUAAAUGCAAUAUAGUUAGAAAUGCAUACCGUUGAAAAUGCAGUAAUUAUAACUAUAUGCAUCAUGUUUGAUUGAAUGUAGUAGAAAGCAUUACAAGUAUAAAUAAUUUGUUUGAUUGUAUGCAGUAGAUAAAUAAUUUUUAAAAUUUUAUCAUUUUAUAUAUAUGAUGCUGAAAUUAACUCCAAUGUAAAGAAAAAAAAAAAAAUUCUAUUUAAAAAAUAAUUGAGCAUAUAACCAUACCUUUUAUGUAAAGUUACUCUCUUCAACUGCUGCAGUUGAAACUACGACUAAUUUGGGCGUAGUUCGAACAGCUACAGUUGAAUUUUCUUCUGUAGUUCCUACUGCAGCAGUUGAAGUUAAAUACAUCAAACCAAACACCGAAUUCGCAUAUGCAUGCAGUUACAACUACAUGCAACCAAACGGCCUCUUCGUAGUAGUCCAGCACCCCUUAGUGCUAAAUACUGUUCACAUACUAUUCAUAGUAGCCUACCUCAACCCAGGGUAAAAUAAGUAUGUAGUCACAUUUUUUACAAUAAUGUUAGCAAUAUAGGUAUUUCUAAUAAUUUCUAUUAAUUAAAGGAGUGUUUCAAAAUUAAAAACUUUUGGAGAGCUUCUUCGUAAUUAAGGGCGGACGGAAGGAAACAAAUGAUGUCAUCCCUUUUUCUUUUCUCUACCACCGGGACAAACAGGGUGCUGCGACAGAUUAAGAGGCCCCAACAACCUUCAACUUCUUUAGAGAGAAAAACAAUUAAAAUACUCUAAAUAAAUCGUAUGUUAACUCUAAUAAAUACUCAAAUCAACACUAAAGGACUGAAUAGAGUUCGUCACGUCGUCAAAUAUAACAAGCUUUUAAGCGGUAGAGACUUUAUUGAAACAAAUACUAAGCUUUCGGAACUAGAUUGCAAACAUUAAAUGGUUGGGGGCCAAAAUGAAUUGGGAUAAAAGUUGGGGAGUAAUUGUGCAAUUAACAACCAUCCGAUGAUUGUCAGAAAUGCUAGUCCAAGGCAACGGUUUUGCAAUUUACCUGAUGCAAAAUUCAGACCCAAGACUAAUUCACGCUUUAAUUGGAACGAGUUGAAACAAGUUGGUUCCUACCAGGGUAGUGAACCUGCAUUACUUCUCCUUGGUACAACAUGCAUCAAAUCACAGGUACAAUAAGCACAAUCUUGAUACUCUAAUACUUCAAAAGAUGAGAUUAGCCUUAUUUAUUGCUUACUCGUUAUUAGGGCUCUUCAGAUAUAUAUCUCCGUUCAGAGACUAGAGUUGGCUACUACACGCGAAGCAUUGCGCACUUGAACGCGGUGCCAUGAGGUGUUUAGUAUUCCUCUCAGGUUCCAUACUUCGUCGACAUUUUGAGGUUGGACAUUUGCAGCUGAGUCAACCUGUCCAUGAUGAGUGACAGUAAAGUAGGUAAACAAACAUUGCAGCUAAAACUGAAACUACACACAACGUGAGAGAAAAUUGCAAACAUACCGCUUUGGCAAUGAUCUCAGCAUCUUCUGGUAUGUCAGCCACAGCCUCAAAAAGAACCCACGCCCACUUAUCACUGUUCAUAUCAUCGGAUGCAUACAGCACAUUGGUUUUCUGGUAUCUCUGAGCUUCCACCCAGGUUUUACCCCCAUCCACAGAAAUAUCCACUCUCUCAAUCCCACGGCCACCACCAGACAGUGCAUAACCAGCAACCUUAAUCUGCAAUUGAAGAGCUUAUCAAAGAAGUAGCAUAUCAUCCUUAUUUUCCAGUGCAGGUUAUAUCAUUUUUUACAUUAAAAAGAAUUAUGAUAGUAUAUCUAUACAAGAGAUAUUACUGACCUUUCCUUGUCUGACAACAUCUACAUCCUCCAAAGAACAAAUAGCAGACUGUUCGGAAAAAAAAAAAAGAUUGGAAAAGAUCAGCUGAAACUUAUUACUUUAACAUAGUCAGACACGCCAAAUACAAAUUUCAUAAAUAAAAAAAAUCAAUGACUAAUAAGAACCUGGGUAAUAUUCAUGCUUAACUAAUAAAAACUAAAAUCUUCACCACUGUCACAUUCAAAUCAGAAGGACAAUACUUAUCAUUACUCUCAAAACUUCAAUAGUCAUGCUUUGCUGCUUGGACCUCAUCACCAAGAUUACUAAUAGGAAGAGAAGAGUUUCCAGGCAUAACACGUAAUCAGGAUAUGUUAAUCAAAUAGGAAUGAUAAGGUGUAAUCAAAGCACCAAAAGCAUUGAUUCACUAACUUUACAACAACACACUUCUGUGUGAUUACUUACGUUCCACUUUGAUGGUUAUUUCAAAUCUGUAUCCGUGUUUUAUUUUUAAUUUUAUGGAUACAAACUACGAACACUCGAGUACAAAAAUGUGUGCAUCAAUCUGUAAUUACCUGCACAGGGAAGUCCAUCUGUGGCUUCCUAGUUGACCAGUCAAUGUUGUCCCAAUCGACUGAAGGUGGAAACAUUUUGUAAUCCUUCUGCAUAAAAAACCCCUGGUUCGAAAAAGAGAGGGUCAGAAACUUCUGUUUUGGGCACUAAAAUUUAAUAGAGAGGAAUCCAAACUUUUAGAAGACCUGGCAUUCUUCUUCUUUUAUCUCAAUGCUAUCCAACCAUUUAACAGAGCGUGCACCAAUGACACCAGGAACAACCGCACGUAAAGGGUAACCAUGAUCGCGGUUUAGAAUCUAGACAUUGACAAGAGAUUUUGAUUAGAAAAAUUCUUGUAGUGCAUGAUUCCCAAUAACACCAAGUAAAAUAACAAUAUAGAUUGUGGGAGCAAAAGAGACUAUGCAGAUCAAUUAGUGAACAACCUUCUUCAUGCGUGGAAAGAAAGAGAGUACAACAACAUAUGAUUGUGUAAAUAGAGAUAAAGAAGGUAAUAAUGUAAUUAAAUAGGUAAUUAUUCCAAGAAAGAGAAUACACAAGAUAAAUUUGUCAUUUCCACAACUUAAUAAGAAAAUAAUAUAGACAAAGAAAUCAAUUGAACAACAAAAGAAACCUAAAUCUUCAGCAAAAGUUAUAAUUAACAAAAAAAAAAAUCAACCAAAAACCAUCAAAAAUGAUUCUCUACGACUUCAAAUAUUUAUGCUCUCUAUGAAUAAAAAUUUCAUUGAUUUACAUGUGCUUGGCUUUAUUAAUUGAAUGCAUCCAAAAAAUGGACUGAGGUAACAGUCCGAUAAAUGAUUUUGCAAUGAUUCAAGCUCUAGAAUUCUCAAGAUGCCACAAAGUUUAGUUUAUAGGAGUUGUGACCAGUACAAAGUAUGAUGAUCAACAUACAUUUUCAAAUUGGGAAUCUUAUCAUAUAUUUAGCUAAAAUAGUGCUUCAUAUGCUAUCAAUAUUUUGAUAGAUAUAGGUGCCCCUGCCUGCAUUUGAAUGUGUACCUACAUUUAGUAAAUAUAUGUCUAAGUAAGAGUCAAUCUACUGCUAAAACGCUACACAAUCGUCUAGCUACUAUUUUUCACGAGGAUAUAGGAAAAAAAAUACAAAGCAACGAGGUCAUAUAAAGGACUAAGUAUUACCAAAAUACCGAUGGAGGUUGUACAAAGGAACAAAAACUAUGUCCAAACUAUCAAUAUUGAAACAGCAAAAAUAAGCACAAGGGUUACGUAUCAUCUGCAAAGACUCUCAAAUAGAAAAUUUAAAGUCUUAUGCACAGAAGGAUGGUAAACAAAUAGCAAUUAUACACAAAGAAGAAUUACAACCAUAUUACGAGUUUAGAAUUUCCAUCAAGUUGAAAUACUGUGGUAUGAUGAAAUCAGGAAUUCUGGAUGCUUAUUACCUCCCCAUUCAUUUCAUAUGCAAGUAAGACAUCAGCUUCUGGAUUUGUGGCCUGCCGUAGGGGAAUUGAUGCCUUAUAAGGGCCACCCUUCUCCUCCUAAUAAAUAAGGAGACAGAAAGCCAAAGGAAAUCAAGAGAGAUAGGUCAAAAGUAGAUUCCUUAGAAAAAGAUAAGAAGGCAGAGUAAACAUACAACUAACAGCUUUAGUAAUAAGGAUCCAAGUACUCACUUUGCACCUGUCGACACUGGUAAACUCAACAUGCCUGCCUCCUAAUGAUGUGACUGAACUUUGUUUGGAUACCCCAACUAGCUCGAGGAUGUCUACUAAUCUCGCUCCUCCCCAAGUUGCUGAAAAAUAAAAUAAGAUAAUGCAAUCACUGUUAGAUGUUUGACGACAAAUUAAACUAAUCAAUAAUCAAAGACCAAACGAAAAGAUGACGUGGAUUUACAGUAAUAUUGCAAGAGAUGGGAUGAAAGGUCCUUCGUCAUAGGCCAACGAGAGAGAGAAAAUGAUAAUUCUUGCAAGAAGCCCAUAAAUUGAUGCAUUAUUUAGUAGAACACUAGUCUCCAAAAUCACCAAAUUGGCUUUCGUUUAAAAUGCAGCAAUGAAAGAACUUACUCAGACUUUGUAACAAGAUCUAGACGCGAGAGAAACAAACAUACCAUUUCCAAGAGCAGCAACAUCCCAACCGACACCUCUCACUUUCCGUGCUUUACUCAUAGCUGUCCGUCUGUUACCUGCACACUGCAAUUUACCAUUUCUUCUUCAGAUCAACAAUUUAGCCUUCACAAGCCCAAUAAAAACCACUAAAGCCCAGAAAAUAUCUAAAAAAGAGGGUAAAAAAAUUACUCCUUGCAACUUGCCUGCAAAGUGGCAGUAACAUUAUAUUUUGGGAGUUUCCUGCAGAUUGCAACUCUCUGAUUAAUUAGUGAUAAAUACGGCAUAACUUUAGCCUAGGUAAUCGUAUCAAGCAUUACCUGAUUUCAGCCAUAGAAAGUUGUAUAGGCUUUUCGACCAAACCACCUAUUGUAAGACAAUAUCUGUCAUGCCAAUUAGUAAUAACAGUUCAGUCCACAGGUCCCUGGAGUAAGUGCGUGCUUGGCUUUUGGAACAGCUUCUCUGCUCCGAGAAGAAAAGAGCAGGUGUUUGGCUAAUAAAAAGCUUUGUGCCUUUGCUGCAGUUAAAAGCAGAAACUCCAGUUUGAAGUUUCUGCUCUGCCGCAGCAAAAAUCUGUUUAGUUUGAACAGCUCUCGUCAACCAACAGCUGUAUGUAAGCUCCAGGCAGGCCAAUUAAGCUUAAGUUUAUAGAAGACUUGAACAAUCAGGAGAAAAAGGUGGAACCUCUCGAUGUCAUCAACUAUUGGAAUCGGCCCAUGGUUUCUCUUGUAAAAGUAAUCCACGGAAGUGAUAUAGGAUGAAAUAAGAGCUGCACGUGGAGGCUCAGCAUUAAAUGGCUCCUGCAGCAGAUUUCAUGCAAAAUAAUUCAUAUCUCAUUUUGUUUUCUUCCAAAAUGACUAAGAAGUCCAACAUACGGUAACUUCUGAGGAAAAUUACAUGAUAGUUCAAUAAUCUAACUAUGAAGAACCAUGCAAUAACAUAGAAAGCCGAUAUUAAUAGAACACAGAGGUUACAUUCUAUUGGCACACUUAUGAACAAAUAUGUUUAAGCAUUCUAAACUAGAGAAAUAAAAGGGUUGAGCACUAUUACCAUGUCGUUGAGAAACAUCAUUUAGAGGGGAAAAAGGACUUUUUAUCUUCUAUAACUUUGCAAACUACAAAAUUGCUUUCUUAGACAUAAUGAUAAAAAAUUCCUUGAUUAAACGGAAUGUUUUGUAACUUACUAAUAAAAACAGUUAAAUCAAAUGAUAUUUUACUAUAAUAAUAAUUAAAAAAAAUCUUAAUAGGGGGAUUAAUAUAUAUGCACAGUUUAAGGAGGGAGUAUCCACAAUAUUUAGCCCAUAGAAAAACAUUUCCAUCGACAUUAAUCAAUAACUGAAGAAGCAUUCAAUAAGUUCCACUCAAAGGCAUCACAAAACACUAACUAUUACAAGCUAUAAACGGGUUAAAAAAAUUGUUACGUUUUUUUAAAAAAAUAAUGAAAUCUCAAGAUGAUCCUUAUUUCUUUCGUUUCUGAUCCGAUUCAAACCUAUCUAAUGAUGUUAUAGUUUAAAAAAUGUAUAUAUAUAUAUAUAUAUUGGGGAACAAGCAUAAGAUAUGAUACGUUAUGGAUUUCAUUUUGAAGGGGAUCGACGAUCACCUUGGAAUUGAUCUUGAGAGAGGGGUGGCGAGGAGGCUCCUGAGAAUAAUCGGAGGGUGCUCGUAGUCCCGGCAUUUUUUUUUUCUUUUUCCACCUUUUUUUCCCCCUAUUUUUCUCGUGCCUCUCGAUCGGAACGGACGGGGUUUGGCGUUUUAAGAUGAGUUCGCCUUUACUCGUGUCCUCCGAACCGAGAGAACCGAGGAAAUAUUAGCUGGGCCGGCUGUACCACGCCGACCAUGGACCGACCCUAUAGCUGAGCCUUUCAUGGAAGGCCCAAAAGGUUUUGGGUGGAGCCUUUUAUUUGGACCAGCCCAAUCCAACAUGGCCUUCGUAAUUGGCUUGGGCUUGGGCUUGAUGCUUGAAAACUUCAUAUUUCUCCGCCUUAGAAAAAAGCAGAAGCUGCGAUUUAAAUCUUAAGCUUCAUUUGGAAUUGCGAAAAUAUUGCGUUACAUGAAGUGAGAAAAUAGGAUAGAAAAAUACAUUCUGUAUAUCGCGAUGAGUUGGUUAUGAUAUAUUUUCUGCGGUCCCACCGAAGAACACAGAAGUAUAUUCCUAUUUGCUUAUACCCUAACUCCAUUUUAUCUAAUAGUAUCAGAUAGGGUUCAAUACCAAACUAAGAUUCAAACUUCUACUGUAGAGAGAAAUUGUAUGAAAACUUUUGGAAUGAUUCUGCGAUUUAAGUCAUUACUAAGAUGAUGCUUCAUCGAACAGGACUAUGUCCAACGCGCUACGGCGUUGCAAAAUAGGCUUAUUAUGUUGUUUGGCUUAACAAUUCAAUCCUGCUUACACGUAGCUUGCUUAAUGAGAAAGAGGCAUCAAAGAACAUUUCGUAAUGGUUGGUUGAUUUUCUGCAAGAAUGAAAUUGCUGUGAAGCAGAGCUCGCGAUCAAUUAAACACUUACAAUGGAAAAAUGAAUAAAAAGGAAAAGGGGUAGCAACUACAGAGAAAUAGUUGCUUCAUUUAUAUAGACCAUCCUUUUGAUUAAAAUAGAUAAGACAAAUUUCAGAACAAUCAAAAACAUUUAUGCAAACAAGUGGGGGUAUUCACAGAGAAAUUUUCGGAGUUCGAUAUAUCCAUAACAAAAACAAAAUUAGCAGGAAUUUAGAAUUCACAAAUAACGUGCAAGUUCUAAUGAAAUAACCCAUCACACUAUCUCUCUCUUCAAAUCUGACACUAUAAGCUCCUCUCCUUGUUCAGAUUUUAAACCGUGCUUGUUCACCUGCACCGUGGUUUCAGUCCAGUCCCCAAGUCCCAACCUUUCAAUUGCUUGCAAUUGGGUCUCAAAACUUCGAAUUUCAUCGCAAACUUACCUUCAAAUUUAACCAAGAAAUCUAAUGAAAUGAUCAGAACGCAAUGAAAUGAAAAAGAUAGGGAGCAAAUUGUAACAAUUGGAAGGUUCAGAACCAAACAGAAACUCUUGCAGUUUCUCUAGUAUUGUCACUACACACCAAGUUCCAAUAUGUAUCAAUACCAUGUUGUGUCCUUUGACAGAAUCAUCAUUCACCUGGAUCCUCCACAAAGGUCCGCCAAUAUCUUUGUAUAGCAGUCCAACAUCUUAGAGGCUUUUAUCAGUCAAAUUAAAAAUGAACAAAUAAAUGAAAUACUCCAAGAGUUUGUAACAACAUUCACAAUGAUGGUUAAUGGUUAAGAAUAAACCUAUAGAGAAAGCACCAAACUUAAUUAGUUUAGUAUAGCACACAGUACUAUUACCAAACUUUUCACCAAGUACUAAAUGCAGCAAAGUAGUAAAUAAAAAAUUAGUGCCCCCUAGAAUAAACUAGUGUACGAUACUCUCUACAAGAAAAUCUGCGAGAAAGAAUACGAAAGAAUAUGAAAAACUUAUUCAGAUGUUGGUUUUCUCCCGUUCUAAAAUAUUUGCUAUUUGUACUUGAAAGAAAGCAUAAAUGCAAACAGUUGCACAAAGAGCUACCAGAACUAGAUGGCUUGUGAAAAGUAGAAAAACAUGAGAAGCUACUGAAGUAACUGCUAGUGAGAACAAGAUUCAAAUGCACAAGUGAUGAUUAAAUUGCUAAUUUCAAAGAUUUGCCAAUUGUUUGUCUCAAAGAUUGUCGAUUCAACCCACUAAGUUGAGCUUUGAAGUACAUACCCAUAAAUGAGGACUAGAAAAUAUCCUUUCCUGUCAUGUGAAAUACCAUGUUAUCAAUUUCAUUCUAACAGGUUAAUGUAAAGCUCUAAGAGCCUAAAUCCAAACCCCAUUCAAGUCCUCUAAAUCAAAAAACGGUGUCACAUAAUUACUUGGUCUACCACUCCAAAUGUUAUCAUCAUAUCAUACCAGUACAGUGUAUUUUUCUGCUACUCUGCAUUUACACAAGUUAGCAUAAACAUAGGUUAAUGUCUUAACAAUCUAAUAAAAAAAAAAAAUUCCAGACAAAAAAAUGCACUAUCUUGCAUAGUUGACGUGAAUUUUACACAACCACAUAUGCAAAUGCUUAAGUACACUCCAUCCUUAGCUAUAUCAUAUAAUACAUUCUGCAUAAGACGGCAUAAAAUGUGAGAGAUUUUUACUUGUUUGGUAUAUUAAUAACUGACUGCACAAAUUCAAGAGGGCAUACAACUUACAGAAAGUAUUAUUCUAGGAAAGUUUCCAGCCUCACAGAACAUUCCCGAGUUGGGCUUGGACCGUUGGAUUGAAAGAUUAUGCCUACUUCAGUGACCAGCUUAAUAUUAUGCCUACGUCAGUGACCAGCUUAAUAUUAUGCCUACUUCAGUGACCAGCUUAAUCCCAAUAUUGGAAAGUAGCAUAAAUGGUAUUAAUUCGGCAUCAACCUUUCUCUUCGCAGUGCUAGUUCUAGAAUGCAUACUAGCAUAAGAUUUGAUAUACUAAAUGAACGUAACGUACAGCAAAAGUCCAAUAAAAUAUCAAAUACAUAAUAAUGGUACUCUGCUGAUUCUGAGGUUGGGGAAACCCUCAAUCACUAUGCAGGUUUGCAAUUUCAACCAUUACUGAUGGCAAGUAACAGGACGGUUAUUCUCAAUGAAACAUAAAAGCCUCUAUCUAUAUGAACUGUUAUUCUCAAUCUUAAUUGUUAUUUUCUACAAAAACCUAGCUUCUCUUUACUUAGAUUGAUACUGUAGUUAAUAUUUCAACUUUCAAUACCGCACAAGUGGUCGGAAGAGUAAAAGAACUAAAUUCAUACCAUUUCAAUAACAUAUUGUGCAACCUUAUAUUGGAUUCUUUUAUGCGAUCCAAACUUCAGUUUGAUCAGGAGGAUCUUGUUCAAGUUAAAAACGAAAACUCUAAUUAGAGUGAUUUCAUACAAUAGAAUCAGUUUGACUCUACUAAGCCUAAUUUGUGCCUGGAUCAAACAAAUUGAGUCUGUAAUUAAACUAUAAGUCAUGUAAAUUGCGUCAAUUUUUAUUCUUUUGUUUCUCUAUGUUUCUCUCUUUUGUUUCCUAUUUCAUUAUCUCCACUCUCAAGCUCCCAGAAAGGAUGCACUGGCAUAAACUGGAGUGAAACCAUUAAUAAAUGCUCAUUAUUAUAUAAAUUUAAAUGAUACAUCCAGGUCACAAGCAUUGAGUAUUCUUACAAAGGCAAACAAACAACAAUUGAAGGGAAGAAAAGUAAAACCAAAAACUACGAAGCUUACAGUCCAACAUACACAAAUUCAGAGUGGAAGUACCUCCAAUAUCCAACACUGCCGCGACCACCAAUCCAAAUAAUGAACUAAUUACUUCUUCUCCUCGGAUUGCUCUGCAAACCCUGCGACCCUUCAAACAACUCUGCAACGAGGCUCUCCAAAUCCUCCGGAUUGUACUUAAUAUACCGAUUUGAAUUCCGCCCUCCCUCUAACUGCCCCCUAAACCUCCCCACAAAAGCACGGUAAGCCGGAAUCACCUUCUCCGACACUGAAAUCUGCAGCUCCUCACGGAGUUGAGGAUCUGCAACCUUCCAAGCCGCCUGAGCUCGGUGUAUCUCCUCAAUAGCCAAAUUAAAAUUCUUGAACCUUUCUUUGAGAGCCGCUCUACCUGUGCCACUCCCUCCCAAUCCAUCAUCCCUAAGGUAAGAUAACACCCUUGUCCAUGAAGCUCUCAGAUAGCUUGUUUCAUACUGUCGGAUCAGUCCACGAUGUUUACGGAUCCAAUUAUCUCCCAACAAUGUCCUCAGCUCAGAUUCCCUAACCUUUUGCACUAUAUAGUAUGUGUUAUUCAUCAAGAAUAUAUACUGCAUUCCUCCAUCUUCAUAAAGUUUGGAUUUUUCUUCAAUUUUUGAUUCCAGGAAUGUAAUCAGCUUCAGAACGCAGCGGCCUACCGGGGUCAUAUUCGGGUCGGAUUCUGAACUCUCCCCUUCAUCCCCUUCGAAAUUCUCGAGAAGGGAAUUGAGUGUGGCGGCAUAUUCUACGAGCAAUCCAAUGUAGUUCAUGGAAUAACGUGUUAGAUGGUGGGUCUCAGCGGCCUGCAUGGGCUUACGCGAGGACUCACCCCUAAUGGCAUUGGCGAACACCAUGAUCGUGCCCCUUACGGCUUCACCGAGCCGUUGGAGGAUCUCCUUGGCCUCUUCAGAAAUUAGAGCUUUGGAGUCACCAGUGAAGAGUGUGUCAAGGUCGGGUGCAACAUCAGCAAGGGCCUCGUACAUGCCGAGGAUGCGGAAGAGCUUCUCCGACGUGCGGGGGCAGAUCGCAACGGCGUCGCCGAAGUUGAGGAGCUGGAGAACCAAGCCCUUUGUGGCCUCUGAGAAGCAGUUCUCAACGAUAUCAGGAUCGGAGGCGGAGGCAGAGGCAGAGGCAAGGACCUGGUUGCAGAUGCGGCGCUCGCCGGAGAGGAGUCCCCUGACGGCGACGCGGAGGGUCUGGAUCCAGCGCUUCAUCUUGCCGUCGAGGGUGGUCCAGUCGAUCCGCUGGACCUCCUCGAUGCUGAGCUUGUCGACGCCGAGCACGGCGAGGGAUUCGAGGAGGGCGUCGCGGCGGACGGCGGUGUAGACCUGGCACAGCUCGGGGGCGUAGCCGGCGCGGAUCAUGCGGUCGGCGAUCUCGCUCAGAUCGGCCACGGCGUCGGAGUUGACGAGGUUGGAGGAGAUCCUAUCGGCCGAGAGGGAGAUGCGGCCGCGAUCGUCCAUGUUGUUGUGGCUGCCGUUGUGGGAGUGGGAGUGGUCCUCCUCCGGCGACCCCUCCAACUCGUCGGCGGCGGCGGCGGCGAAGGAGGCGUCGUCGGAGGGGAAGGAGGAGAGGGAGAGGCGGCGGAGGGAGCUGUGGAGGUCGUCGGGGGCGAGGGGGACGGUGUUGCGGAUGAGGAGGUGGCGGAACUCGUCCUCAAGGCGGGCCAUGGCGGUUUGGAGCGCGGACUCGGCGAGCCCGCGGAGUACGAGGGAGGCGGAGGAGGCGAAGGCGAUGAGCUCGUCCACGGCGGAGAGGUACUCGGCGGCGUCGUCGGGGGACUCCCAUAUGAGCGACUCCGCGUCGGAGGACUCCCACCGUAGCACGACCCUCUCCGCCGCCGCCGCCGCCGCCGCCAAGAUCUCGUCGGCGUCCUCACUGUCAAAGGCGACCUCCCCUUCUCCUCCCUGUUCCCCUCCUCCUCCUCGCUCUUCUACUACUACUGCAGCAGGGGUGGGCUCCUCCUCCUCCUCCUCCUCUUCCUCCUCCAUGGGAGCGGCAGCAGCGGAGGAGGAGUGGGUGUGGGGGAAGAGGUCGGGGGAGAAGGAGGAGAAGCGGUGGUCGAAGCCGGAGAGGAUCCGCAUCAUGUCGUCUGCGGCGUUCUUCGACGUGGCGAGGCUCUUCACGAUAUGCUGCGCCGCCGCGAUCACCUUCUCCUGGCCGUCCACUCUGGCCGGCGCCGCCGCCAUCGCCGGAGAACUUUUUGGGCGGUCGAGGAGGGAGGUGCUGUCGACGCCCUAGGGUUAGGGUUUAGGGGAGUUGGCUGUUGGAGAAGAAGAAGAAGAAGAAGAAGAAGAAGAAGAGGGAAAGAGGGAAAGAGGGAGAGGUUCGUCGUCGUCGGAGGGGAGGGGGUCUGAGCUUUCCUCAGAGGUGUGGAACGGGAAAAGGUCCUCCGUUGACUCUUCUCGGGGAAAAUGUACGUUAAACCCCUCAACUAAAGGCUAUUCUCAAAUUAAGUUUUGUUAAAUUCUUUGAUUAAUAAUGAGAAAAAAAAUAUUAAAUUUGAUGAAUGUACUGAUGAAUUUAAGAAAAUUUUGAUUCUGAUUUUCACUAAAAUUAAUAAACUAUUUUUAAAAAAAUUCAAAAGAGUGUGAAUACAAAAAACCAAUGAUUUAAAACCGAGGUCGAUCCGGCCGGUUUGAUCGUCAUCCUGAUUCAAUUUAUAAAACGGUUCGAUUCAAUUUUUAAAUCCCAUAAGUCCAAAAAAUUAUUUUGAACUACUCAAAUUAAUAGCUCAACUAUUAAAUUGGUAAACUGGUCCAAUUUUAGACAAAUCGGCAGAAAAUUUUUAACUAAGUCACAUUAAAAUCUAGCUUUCUAUUAAUAUAGAUUAGCCUUAUAAAAAGUAAAACUUGAAAAUUUAUAUUUAUUAAAUUUAAACUAGAAUUCAAUAUUUUAUAAUUAAAUAUAAGACUAAAAUAAUAAUAUUUUUUACAUAAUAAAAUUAAAAUCAUAAUUAAAUAUUUAUAAUGUCGUGCACUCUUGCUAAGGUUACCUACUAGUUGAAACAGUAAUUUUUAAUCCAAUAAUAUUUUUGAAUUGGACAAGGUUUUUAGAAUAUUGCAAAAAAGAAAAGAAAAGAAAAGAAAAAAAAAACUAGAGUUUAGUGUUCAUUUUUAGUUUUUUUUAAUACUUUGUUUAUUUAUUAGGUGGUACAUUGGUAGGUUGGUGAACUUUUUAAAGUAAUAUAAAAAUGGUUUGGAAAGAAUAGAACAUCUGAAAAUGCUGUUCAUGCCUCUCAAAAAAGUGAAUUUGCUCGUAUGUUCGUAGAACUAGUCCAUAUUUUUUCUAUUCAUUUUAAUGUGAUAUUUGAGUCCUUUCUGAUACACUUUAAUAUGAUAUUUUCUGAUGAUACAAGUUCCCAGUACUUAAAUAAUCAUAUGUGAGGAUUGAGAUCAUGGAUUCAACACUUGGGCAUUAGGAACUUUGACUUCAUAAAAUGUAAGAUUGUACCUACAAGAAUUGCUAUCUAGGGUGUGAAAUAAAAUACAUAUAGCUAGCAAGUUCCCAUAGCCCACAUAUAUGCAAAAAUUGGUCUAGUGAUUUCAAGUGUAUUUGUAUUUCAUUUUAGAAUAUAAUAACCUUUAACAAAAGUAUCUAAAUUUUGCCCGAAUUACUAUUUACUAUCUAAACUUUGAAUGCUAAAACAUAGCAUUAGAAGUGCGCAAAUACUUUCAAUAAAGGUGAAAUGUGGUUUAUUGAGUGAGUGGCUGCAAUGAAGUGGUUUAUUAUCUAAUACGAAUAUGCGCGUAAAUAAAUAAAAAUUUUGAGUUUUUGCAUAUUUGCAGGAAUAUAUAAGCAAAAAGAUCCUACAAAUUGUUGUGUCCAAGCUGAGUGCCUACCACAGGGCCAGAACAACUAGUACAAAUCAAGAAGUGGGGGAAAACAAUGUGGGUCAAGCAUUGCUUGUUUGUCACUGCAUGAGAAAAGGACUCUUCAAUAAAUAUUGUCAUCCUAGGAAAAUCCUUAGCCAGUCUCGCCGAAUCUUCGACUAAGACAUGUUUAGCGGGUGUGUUGACGAGCCCGGGUUCGGUCGGAUCGGUCUAGAUCAUGAUACAUUUUCUAAGGACUAAACCGACUCAGAUUCAGUUCAGACUAAUCGGAUGGUUUGAUAAUGUUUUUUUGGCCAUACUUUUGGGAAAAGUCAAGUUAGUAUUGAAGAUUCUACUUAAUUGGCCAAAAAAAAGACACCUCCUGUAUUGGAACCACACCUAAUGUUCCUUUCAAGGAAAUAAAUUAUCAAAUAUCUGACUACUGAAAGUGAAUGAAGAGCUAGGUGUACCCACAAUACAUCAGUUUACCAACUUUGCUUUCUCACUUAUUAGGUUUCUCCACCAAAAUGGUAUUAUAUAGAGAUCCCAAUCCGAAUCAGAAUCCUAAUCCAAUUUAAAACUAAGAUAUCAAGUUAGAUUUCAAAUAAAUGAAGUAUAUGAUAACAAUAGAAAAAGUGGAUAAAAAUCACAUUCUACAUGCAUAAGAUCAGAAACAUCAUAGUUUUUCUUUCAAAAAAAAAAGACGAUCAGAAAAACAACAAUUGUUUUAAUUUUUUCGGAACUUUAUAAUAAUUAUUUUAAUGCAGUUCCAAUGUUGACAACAAAAACCAACACACGUAAUAAAAAAUUUGAGGGGAAGAUUGCCUCAAGGUUAUUUAAUUCUCAAAUUCAUAGCUUCUCAGCAUCAAGCUUCCACAUUCCAAAACUUUCCAACACAGAGGAAAAGCAUCCAUAAACAUAAAGCAAUAGCAUCUAUAUAAUCUGACUAAUUUAGUUAGUUUAAAUACAUUUCCAAGGAAACCAAUUUCUAUGGAAAACAGUCAAGAAUGGCUACAGUAGCCAUUUAUUCACUAUCUAACCUUUGAUAAAUGAAAAAAAGAAUCAGUAUAAGGGUUUCAGAAGUAAACGACGGAUAACGAGUAGUAAUAGAACUUGUCUAUAUCGCUAAUCUGAAAAGCAAGAAAGCUGGUGCGUCUAACCAGAACCGUUGAUCACCCAAAGGACUGGCUGAGAUGAAUCAACAGUGAGCAAGCUACACCAUAUGUAUACCAACUUCUAUUCCGUAUCAGUUUCUAUCAUCAUCAACGAUCUCUAGGCCCUUUCCAUAUCAGUUUCUAUCCAUCCUUUCAGUCAUUUUGCAACUAUGGUUUACUUCUUUUUCUUUUUUUUUUUCUUUUUUUUUCACUCUGUGCAGGUUUGAACUAAAAGCAAUCCUUUCGUGGAGCAAAAUGCCCAUAGCUGGAACUCUAGCAAUAGAUUUAUUGUGCAGAGGGCCACAGGCAUUUUGAUCCAGAAAAAUAUAUCUUACUCCAUAGUUACAAAAAUGAAAAAAGGCAGAUUGAAGUUGCAAAAUAAAAGAAAAGGUGAAUUACCUCUGUAAAAUCCCCAUGAUAAUCUAAAACUGUACAUCGUUCAGCAAGCCUAAUGUACACAAAAUCAACUGCUUCAUCACCACCAAUCUGGUAUUUUUAAUCUCCUGCUCCGAUGCACCUCAAGAUUGACCGCAGGCAGCUUAUUUCUCACUUGCCUCCAUAUCAUAUUUACGGCAUCACCCUUUUUCGCAGGGUGCUGAAAUUCAAAGUGGUGAGACACAUUCUUUAAUUUUCCCCACAUCUCAAUCCACCUCUGUUUGGGGAACUGCCUAAGCUGAGUGAUUAAGUAAUUGGGUUGAAGAGCUUCUUCCACAGAGAAGAAGAGAGAGAAUUCAGUGUAAUCGAUCUCGUUUUCGAAAGGAAGCUCAAUACGAUCACUGAUGAUUACAGGGACACAGUGACUGAUGAUGGCGUCGAAGAGUCGGCAUGAGGAGGGAGUGUCACCGGCAGGGUGGAGGCAGAAUUUGGACAUCCGCAUCCCUUCAGUGGACUGGGAAAAGAGAACAGAGAGAUUUAUUUAUUUUUUAUUUGUGUUAGAGAGUAGUUAAAAUGUUUUAAAUAUUAAGAUUAUGAUAAUUCGCCAAGCCUAGCAUAUUCUGGUUUGAGGAAUUGAGGGUUUCUUUUUUCAAGUAUGAUGCAGAAGACAAGAUGUCUCACUAAUUACCUAGCUUUCCCAACAAAGAAAAUUAAAAAUUCAAGAUUGGGAACAAGAAUAUGUUUCUAGGAGUCAAAACAAAUGGAACAUGUCAUUCUAAAAUUAUGCUGCCAUAACAGACAGGUAUAAAGAAUAAAAAAGGUUCGGAUACAGAUUGCCAAUCCUAACCAAGAUAAGAUGGAUGUGUAAGUAUUCCAUUCGCCUAUUCCAAGAAGAAUGUCUGGGCAAUUAGAGAUGUCAACAUGCCACGCCCAAGUAUCAUUCGUACCGAUCCUGAACGCAAAAGGUGCAACAGGCAUACCAAAUGUUCUUAACAUAUGAUGCCAGUCUCAAGGGGGUGUUGGUGUGGUUGGGUUGUUCAUUAAUUGAAUCAUGCCACAACCCAGACACACAAAAAUAAAUAAAUAAAUAAAUAAAUAAAGCUAUGAACAGCCGUGAAUCAUAUGCAUCGGAGGAAGGAGAGGAAGGAUAGAAAAGGAUCACCAACUUACUGCUUGUAUGCCAUGGCCAGUUGCAAGGCUGUUCUCAAAAUGCACAUCAUUGUAGCCUUGUAACAUCUUUGCUAAAUGAGAACGGAUUUUCCCUUCCUGCACAAACAAGCAGCCCCACAUAAUCACUUCAGUGUAGCGUACAAAAGGACAAAAGUUUUUCAACCUUUUUACCAACAGAGUCUACUUUCUCAUUUUUCAGAAGAAGUAACAUUUGAUAUUUUUACAAUUUCAGCCUGCAUUUCAACUAUUAGAAUCAAACUGCUCCUCCACUACAUGACCAUGAUGCACAGCAUUCAAUUUUUGAAUGGGCAAUGCACAGUUUUGAAUGAUUAAUACAUAAUUUUGAAUGAGAAAAACAUCUUUGAGAGUAUGCAGCUGCAGUUCAAAACUUUGCAUCUACUAAUCAAAUCUGUGCACUGGUAGUGGUGGCUUUGAAAUACAUGGUCACAACAGUCAAUUAUUAGGCUAAAAUUGCAAAAGUGAUAAAAUGUCCCCCUCUGCAAAAUUACAAAAAAAAUGUGAAUUUUUUUGCAAAAAAAAAAAGACCAACCAAAUAACUCCAUUGAAAUGACAAAAUACAUACAUCUUUCCUGACGGUACGACCUCGGAAGAAGAGAAGAGUAGGCCGUGAAUUAAAUGGGUCAGGAGAAUCAUCAUCCGUAAAGGAAUCAACAACAUGCACAUAAGGGGCUACAACAUCUUUGCUCAGAAAAGACACGUCUCGGGGGUAACGUGCAAAAUCUGCAACAAUGAGUAUCGAUGCGUUUACAAGAUCCCGAAGAAACCUAAAAGCAUUAGGAUGAUGCAUGGGAAUAACAUGAUCACGGCCAGCUGAUCGUUUCCAGUAUUUGGAUUUCCACAAAAUAUCCAAAAUGUCGACCUGCCACCACAAAAUUGGCAAUAAUGUGACAAACUAUCUCGGCGAAGGAUUAAUGGAAUGGAAAGGCGACCGACUGCAUUGAUUUGCAGACAAAUAUGCAGGGCCACAGGUUACUGCUUUUCUGGAAACUAAGAAUAGCGCUUCGGAAUCUAGAUUGAAUGAUUUAUCUUAAUUGUAACCUUAACAGCAGUUAAGCAUUGACAAAACACUCUCUCCACAUCAUUUUGAUUCCUAUAUCUCAAUAAACAAAGAUCCAGCUUCCAUAAUUAAAUAAAUAAGAGCACUAUAUGCGAGAGGGAAAUGGAGAAACAUUUGAUGACAUCACAACUUACCAAACAAAAAUCAGCAUGAAGAUCCUAAAAACUCCAGAUCAAUAGAAUGAAUCUACUAAAGAGACCAUAAGAUGUUGCCCAAUUGCUGUAGAUUAGUGAAUGUUAGGUUCAAAUAACAUUUGCAAAAGAGAUCUAUAUUUUCUAUUUAAAUAUGCAACUUUUAGAAGCCAACAAUCUAACCAAUUCCUAAUUUAAUCACCAAGCAUCAAUUUUUUAAUUCUGUUGCUUGCCCUGCACUGAAAGAUAGUAUAAAAUAACAAUUAUAUGCUGAUAUAACAAAAGUCACCAAUUUCCCUGCAAAAGACCCUAUAUUCUAAGUUAAUAAUAAUAAAAAAAAGGGAAUUAACAAUUCAGAAAUAGAAAAGAAGCAACACUGUCACUUGGAAGAGCAAUAAAUGACAUAAAUCCAAGAACAUUACCUGAAGCUGCCGAUCGAUCUCGGUAUCCGGAUCGGUCAUGUUGUGCCCAUGAACGUUGAAGCUCAGCGACGAGAAGAAGGGGACGAAGAACACGUCCGCCUCCUCCCCAUCCAAAACCCUAACCGCCUCCGCCUCCGCCCACUCCUCCUCUCCCCCAUCGCGCCCCACCAGCGACGCCAUCAUCCAAUACUCCACGCUGUGCUGCCUCUUGAUCCCAGUGCCCCUGGGCCACGCCGGAAACCUAGAUCCUCCAUCGCCGCCAUCGCCGCCGGAGGAGUCAAGCAUGCCGAGGUUGAAGCGGCGUGGGAGGUCGUACAUGAAGACCCUGAGAGGUGGAGGCGCUCGAAGGCCGCCGCCGCCGCCGCCCGAGGAGGAGGAGGAGCAUUGAGAGGUGGAGGAGAUGGGGAGUGAGAAGGAGAAGAGGCGGGGGCGGAGAUCCAAGUUGGAGAGGAGGAGGGACAAAGAGAUAAGGAAAAGAAGCGAAGCCCCAAUGGAGAGGGCGAACGAUCGCUUCGUCGCCAUGGGCGGAGACAGAGACAGAGAGAGAGAGAGAGAGAGAGAGAGAGAAGAGGAGGAGGGGGUGUGGUUCGUUAUCAGAGCGGCACCGAACGAUCGCAUAGAGACACUUUCAUGGGGACGUCGGUAAAGAGUAUUUAAAAAAAAAAAAAGGAUAAACUUUAAAUAUCACCCCUGUAAUUUUAUACUUUUUCACUUUAGUAUUCUUUGAAUUAAAGUAUAUCAAUUUAAUAUUCUGUUAUUUUAUUUUUUCUCUUUACCGGUUCCUCUGUUAAUAUUUUAUUAAAUUAUAUACAAAAAACUUCAUAUACUCCACCUAAAUUUAUCGAAUAUUCAUUUUAAUACUUUUUAAUUUUAAUUUUGUUGCUGAUUUAAUAAAAAUAAUAAUAAUAAUAAAAUAAAAAAUAGAAUUAUAUGUACUAAAUUGAUACAUUUUAAAUUAUAUGGUACUAAAGUAAGAAAGUGGAAAUGAUAUUUGAAGCUUUUCCAUAAAAAAAAGAGUCCGGCUGGAAUACUAUCGAUAGCACAAGGGUUUGGUGCUAUCGAGUUUUCCACUGUUAGAUUAAACCUUUUAAUUAUUUUUACUCGUUAAAUUAUACUAUUCAACCAACCACCCACUCAAUCCUAGGAACCCACAUAAUCCUAACCGCAUAAUUCUCAAUCCAAGGACUAAAAAAUUAAUAAUACUAAUAACUUGAUGCUAUUGAUAAUAUUCCAGUCCAAUUCAANGAGGAGGGGGUGUGGUUCGUUAUCAGACUGGAACCGAACGAUCGCAUAGACACUUUCAUGGGGACGUCGCUAAAGAGUAUGUUUUUUGAUAAACUUUAAAUAUCACCCCCGUAAUUUUAUACUUUUUCACUUUAGUAUCCUUUGAUUUAAAAUGUAUCAAUUUAAUAUUCUAUGAUUUUAUUUUUUCUCUUUUUACCAGUUCCUCUAUUAAUAUUUUAUUAAAUUAUAUACAAAAAACUUCAGAUACUCCAUCUAAAUUUAUCGAAUAUUCAUUUUAGUAUCUUUUAAUUUUAAUUUUAUCACUGAUUUAAUAAAAAAAUAGUGAAAGAAAUAAUAAAAAAAGAGAAUUACAGGUACUAAAUUGAUACAUUUUAAACUAUAUGGUACUAAAGUAAGAAAGUGGGAAUGGUAUUUGAAGCUUUUCUAUAAAAAAAAAAAGAGCCCGGCUGGAAUACUAUCGAUAGCACAAGAGUUUGGUGCUAUCGAGUUUUCCACCGUUAGAUUUAACCAUUUAAUUAUUUCUAUUCGUUAGAUUAUAAUAUUCAACCAACCACCCACUCAAUCCUAGGGGCCCACAUCAUUAUAACCGUACGAUUCUCAAUUCAAGAACUAAAAAACUAAUAGCACCAGUAACUGGAUAUUAUUGAUAUUAUUGCAGCCUAGUUCAAAAAUAUAUAUAUAUAUAAAAGCUGAUCGCUAGAUACCGUCCACCACGGCAAUUGUUAACUGCCCAAAAUAAUCCUACCAUCAUCAGAUGAUGCACCGGGUGUAUAAAAAUAUCUGCCAUAGAAGACUUAAAAUCAGAAUCUAAGUUCCCAUUUUUAUUUCUAUGAUAUUUAUAAUAUCUAUACAUUAAAUUUAUACAUAAAUUAAUUUUUUUUUUUUGUGCCGUUAAUUAUUUGAUGUAUUAAUAAUAAAUAUUCAAUGGUGUAGGUCAAAUCUAUUUAGUGUACUAGAUUUUAAAUUUUAUGACAUGUUAAUAUUUGUGUACGGUGCUUGAGGAGUACGGAUACACUAAGUACAGGUGAUAAAUAAAAGUCUGCCCCGCCUCCCGUCCCGAAUUCGUGACGGAUUGGAAAUAGUUAUCCCAUAAUCCGCCCCGCCUCAUAACCCGCCUCUCGCCGGCGCCCCGAAUCCGCCCAGCCAAAUAGUAUUUGUUUUACAAAUUUUAAUAUUAUUAACAUUUUGUAAAUAUAAAUCAACAAAAUUUUUAAUAUUAAUUGAUAAUAUUAUCAAGUUAUAUAUAAAUAACAAUAUCAACUAUAAAAAUUAAAAAUAUCAAUCACAAUUCGUAAUAAAAUUCAAAGUUGCAAAAUGAGACUAUGAGAGCUAAUAUAAUUGGGUUUUUUUUUAUAAAUAUAUCAUUUUUUAGGGAUAUUUUAAAAAAAUAUAGAAAUAGUUUUCGGGACGGAUUCGGGAUGGAUUCGGGGCAGGGCGGAUUCGGGGCGGAUAAAAAAUUUUUCAGUUUCCUACCCGUAUCCGCCUCGGAUCAUAAAACUACCCCGUUUUCUGCCCCGAAUUCGUUUAUUUCCUCUCGUUUACUGCCCCAUUCGGGACGGAUCGGGGCGGGAGCUCCACCAACCCGGAUCCGUUUGCAUCCCUACUCUGACCUCAAUUCCCGUUCCUAAACUUACAAAUUUUAUCAUGAUCAAGUGCUUUUUGGAUUGUCUCAUGUCUUUUGAUCGGUGUUUAUCCCCACCAUAUUUCGAUUUUCUUACGUAAAAAAUAUUUACUUCUCCGUUCCUAUUUGAGCGGUGCAUGACAACGCGAUGAAGCGGGUCCACCAGUAGUUGGAGUUAAUUACAGUCGCAUACGAAAUAGUUAUGCGGAUGCAAAGUGGCGUGAAAGGAUGGGUUUUGUUUUUGCUUGGCUCCUCAAGUACAAUAUUAAUAAUAAUAAUUAAAUAGAACGAUAAUAUGCCAUGCUUGUAGAUGGGACAAUGUUAAUCACUUGCUUUUAAAACAAAAAAUAAAAAAUGAUAACAUAUUUAGGUUUAGUAGGUUUAGUUUGGUUUUGAAGUUUAUAUAACGCUAUUAGAUAAAAUAAAAUUAAAAAAAAAGCAUAUAGAGAUAUGCUUCUGCGUUCUCUGAUGGGAUCGCAGAAAAUAUAUCGUAACCGACUGAUCGCAAUAUACGGAACGCAAUAUUACAUACGGAAACAAACAAAACAUACAAAAACAAAAAUUAACUAUUUUUUAUUUUUCAUUUUUUAUUUUCGACAAAAUAUAAAGUUCGUUCAGUUAAAACAAUUUGCAGACCUUUUAUAAAAUAAAUAUAUUCAUUAGCCAACAUUUGAAAGUAAAAGUAAGAAGGAAAAAAAAAAAAAAAUCAUUGCUUACUAUCAAGUAUCAAUGCUAACUUGGAACUCCGGAAAUUAUUAUGUAAAAAUGUCAGGUACAACGAAAAAGAGGCAAAAAAGGGUUUUAAGGUAUAAUCUAGGACCGAAUCAACAGUAACUUAUACAGAAAUAAUCAUUAGAUUUAUUGGAUACAGUAGUUCUUUUAAAUCUCGCGAUCGCCUCGACGUAUAAAUAGCGUGUUAAAAGCCACAGGAUGAAGGCGCUUCUCUUUCUCCAUCGAUCGCCAAUUCGAGCGAACAAUGUCUUCAAACUUGUUUACGAGGAGAUCAUCUGUGUAGGCUCGGAUACGCCUCCGCCAUCAUCAAGACCACGAGCGAGGUCCAACCGGUAAAAGGCCGCGCGCCUUUGCCCUUUCCCUUGUUCUUUUGGUCGUAAUUUUCCCACAAGAAGCCACUUUCGUAGUAGUUCCGCACAACGUUCCUGUUGUUAGUGAUGAAGAAACAGUGAGAUAGGGCUGAAGACCAGCCUCGAAUCGGUUUUUUCCCUUCAGAUAUAUACAUUCUGAACACAAUUAUGUAUCCGAAUAUAGAUCGCUGCAAAAAUCUGAGUUUUCAUAUGAUACGAAGAUUCUGAUUUCACAAGACGAAUAUAUGUAAUAAAUAGAUGAUUUCGCAGGGGGUAUGUAUGUUAAAGCUCGUUUGCCGUUCCUCCUUUUAAACUCUCAUUUUAGAGUUUAAGAAAUAAAGGUCAGGUACCUGAUCAAGUUAGACCUGAGCUCCUGGUACAAUUCUCCUGCUCUCGCCUUGUACGGUCCAUCCUCUGCAGCAUAAUUGAGGGGUUAGAGAUUGCAUAUGUUUAAAUAAUUAAGAGAGAUAUAUAUUAAGCUAUUUGAGGCUUUAGCAUCAGUUUGUUACCUUGUGCAUAAUGAUUUAGUGCCGAAAGAAUCAUGUAGUUCAUGUUCAUCCAAAUGGGGCCUCUCCAAUAUGGCGGGUCGUGCUCCGUAUUGCGUUUCAUGUACAACGAGCUAUAACAGUGAAUGAAAUCGAUAAGAAUACAGCAUUUUCCAACUAAGGUCUAGAUUUAAUUUUUUUUUUUUUUUUUAAAAAGAGCUUACAACGACGGGAGAGCAAUGCUAUUCUUCUUUUAACCUUUUUGCACGCAUAAAGGGAGAACAAUGCUAUUCAUUUUUUUCAUCGCGCUCAACUAAAAUAGAUUGCUAAGCAGGAAUACCUUGUUUUGGAAAGCGAACGAAGUCCGUAAUCAGUCCACAAGAUUGAGCGGUUGGAGAUAAGAUCUAGCUGUUUUUCAAGAAUCCACGAUUCCUGGAAAAGAAAAAAAAAUUAUUGCUUAUUUUGAUAUAUCUAUCAACAAUCUAUCCUAUAUAAUAGAAGGUCUUAGACAAAGACACGCUUGAAUUUCGCUUACAGGUGGAAUGAUACCCAUCAUAAAUGGGAAAAGGCUCACAUAACCAACAUGGGGAACCAAUUGUAGCUGAGGCUUUUCCAGGGUUUCUCUUAAGAGCUCUCUUUUCAUCAUCUCGUUGCUUCUUACCUCGUACCAUCUCAGGCGAACCUAAAAUUAGAAUGUGAAAGCAAAAACAGUACCAUAUAAGAGCAACAACUAGAGCAAGCAAUCAAGAAUGAACUUUACUAACAAAUAAAUUUUAGAAUGCUGAUUAAAUCCGCGUGAGAUGCAACAAAUGAACUGAGAAGUUAAAGCACCACCCUGUACAUUCUUUGCCCUUUUGCUCUUUUUUAUAGCAAGCAACGAGAAAUAAUCAAUUCCGCCUAUUUGCUCGCAAUUACAAAAUUGUAACUAAUUUCUGAAGUGAAGGUGCUAGGUUUUCAUAAUUUGCAAAUAACUUAAUGAGGCUGCACAAUUUACUUUCAAAAUACAUGUAAAAAUAUAUUGUUUCGUUAUAACUCCUUCAAUAUGAAACAAGUUAACUAACCUUCUCUGUGUGGUUCCCAAAAUCAUAGUAUGCUCCAGAAGUAUCAUCCAAAUGCAUCUGGCCAAAAUAAAUGCAACAGUAAUAAGCUCAAAACUGACAAAUAAUAGACAAUUUUAUUUUGAUUCUCUUUUUUCUUUCUGAAUUAUAGUCCAAAAUUUUCCAUCUAGUUUUAACGUGAAAUGUUCCUUAAAGAAGCACGUUUCUUUAUAUUUGCUAUUAUUGUUGCCAAACAGAUUAGAGGAGGGUCACUGAGCAUCUUACCCAAUUCAAGAAAUAAAAAUCAAUUUAGCAACACUUCAAGACAUUUCACGUAAUACAGACGGAGAAAAAACUCACUUGGACCACGUUAUUGUAACAAAAUGAGCAGGAGACGAAAUAAGUUUGUUGUCUUAAAUUUUUGCUAUAGAGAACAGAAAGUCAGAAGCAAAAUAAAUGCAAUAGGUUAUGAUGUCAAAAACGCCCUCCACUAUAUGUUGUCCAGUACCUUAUAGAUUUCUAAGUAAUAUUUUUUAUUUUGGCUGGCAAGAAAACAUAGAUUACCUGAUUGAGGACCUCAAAGUUUGAAAGUUGUUUGGACAUCAAAUUAUAAUCCUGCACAAGUUCCAUCACAAUGCUAAUUACAUAGAACGAAAAAAAUCCUUCAUUGUGUGCAUCAAUCAUAAAACCAGUUACAUUUGCAUAUAUAAUCCUUGCAAAAUUACCAAUUUCUAUAUGCAUCCUUGCAAAUCUGAAUUUCAUAUAUGUGCUCUGAAAAAUGCUUCCUUACAAAGAUACCCUACACUUGCAAAAGCGCUGCUCUUAGAAAAUACUUUUCUUAUUGAAGACAAACCUCCCCCGUGAAUUGAAUAAUUCCCUAACUUAAAAGUCAUCUGUGUAGAAACUGCAGUUUCAACGGGCACACAGGAAAAUUCUUAUUUGCAUGAAUACAUAUUUAAAAUAGAUGAUUGCCUAUGUACAUGUAAAAGGCCCAAAUAAACUAUGAUACCUUUUCUAAAUCGCUUUUCAUGUUGAGAUGCUCUGCAAUUGAAUGCAUGCAAUCCGAAGCUAGAAGCAUCCAACAUCUCAGAUCUACAUGGCGCUCCUCAUCAUUAGGGUGAGAUGCGCGAGGGUAAUCGUCUAACCCAGAUGUCAAAGUCUAGAAUACAAUGGUUUUAAAUUAAAAGAAGUGAAUUGGAGCAUAAAAAUGGCAAAAUAUAAUAAAAAGUUGAGUACAAGAAAGGGCGUUUAGAAAACCUUAGGAUUCAAUUCCCUUCUUGUUGUGUUGUCUCUUCCAUGCCAAUAAAAGGUGCCUUUAUGCUUCCCUGGGAACCAAAGACUGGGUUAAAGUGAAAAGUGAAAAAGUUUUUCGAAGUUCAUAUGAACAACUGAUUUUUAUAUAAGCAUUAUACUAUUAGAGUAAUGAUGAUCUCAUCUUACAUUUUACCUUCAAAGAAUGCAAAAAGACAAAGAAACGAGUCAAACUCACCAGAUUGUAUGGUAUUGAACCAUUGAAACCAUGCAUUCAAGCGAAUGUAAGCUCUUUCUAGGAAUGCAGAGAUCUUCUUGGUUUCCUCACUUGAAAAGCUGCUUGUAUUUAUACCACUUGCCAACUCUGAAUAGAUCAAAUAUUCAGCAUCAAAGCACAGCCUCGCAUUAUUUUCAUAAGUAUAUACUCGUUGAAUAACAAUGGUUAAUAAGAAAAUAUAACUAUCUUUUGCGACGAGGCGAUAAAUAUGAAAACCAACAUCAUAUCAUAGAUUAAUCUAAAAGACACAAGAUGACCAAGGCUUGAACUCUCUCCGAGCACCUUACAGCUUAUCUCAUAAAAGCUUCAUCAGCUUAGGAAAGGGAAAAAAAGAAAAAAAGAGGACAAGUGAGCUUACCUCGUAGAGCUAGGAAUAAAGUCGGUGGGUUCCCAUUCGAUGGAUGCUGGAGAACAAAUUCAUCAGGAACUUUACUGAAAAAAGAAAUAACAUAAAUUUAUACAUAAUAUAACCAACAUAUGCACAAUACAAAUAUUUCUUUACAACAAGUUGAAUCAAUUAUACAAAAUAUAACGAACAUAUGCACAUUACAAAUAUUUCUUUGCAACAAUUCGAAUAGAAAAUUCUUCACUAAAUAGGAGAAGAAACUUACCUCAACGCUUCAGCUCCUAGGAUUUGCUCACGAGGAAUCCACCCAUCUAUAUUAAUAAGAUCUAACCAAUGCCCAAUUAUAUCCAUGCACAUAUCAACAUCCCAGCGCCUACACAUUGACAUAUAUAUAAGUCGGCGUCAAGAAGAAAGCAAAGUUUACAAAAGAUUUGCAUAUACACCCCUGCAAAAUUAUCUACUUUACAUAUUAAACUGAUUUCUCAUAUGUGACAUUUCAAAACUUAGUUUCUAACACAUAUACCUGUGUAUUUGCAAAAUGCCUCUCUCAGCAAAACUUUUUCCAACUCAAACCAAAUCUUUCCCCCUUGAAUUGGAUGACUUCCGGACUCAAGAUAAGGGCAUUUCAUUUUGAAACACUUUCUAGGAGUACAUAUGAAAAUUCAGAUAUUAGAGGGGGUGCACAUGAAAAUGAAUGUAAAUCCCAAAUAUGAAUUGCGGGCAACCAACCAAACGAUGAGCUGAUGAAAGCCUUCGUCCCACAAAAAUCCCCUCGGAAAGAACGAUCUACUGGGAACAGCAGUAAAAAGUGCAGCUGGCCAAUAAGAAAUGGAUUUAUCACCAUUCUUUUGCUGCAAAGAGAAAUUUCCUCAGGCAUGAUUAUUCUUAAGUGUUUCAGUAUAAAUGUUUAGCCUCAUAGGAGGAAUAUAUCUAGCUACAACUAGAAUCCAGAUAAUCAAACACACCACAUAUAGUAUAAACAAAAAUAAGAAGAACAAAGUUGAACUCAGUUAACUUACAGUGAGGCCUUUCGGCAGAGCAAUUCUCGACUGGCCAUAGAAAUAGCCAAUGCCACCAAGAAGAUUGCCUAUCGCCGCCCUACCAACAGAUAUUUCUUCAGAAUCAUCCUGAGUCAAAGCAACACCCGCAUGGCUAUAAUAUAUGAAGUAGAGAGAUUUAUAAUCACAGAUUUAAGGUUCACCUAUCUGCAAAAAAUUAUUAUCAUAGCCGAAUUUACAUUUUACGUGGUAAGUACAUUUGCAGGUUGGAGUAUAGUAAUUUAACGUAUAAAUUUAAUAUUCUUUAUGUACAUGUUUAUAAUUAAAAAUCCAUAAUGUUCACAUACAUAAAAACCUUUGCACCAAGUAUGCAACAGAGAAAGUGGUAACAACACCAUACAUAUAAAAAUAGACAAGUAACAACCAUCAGCAGCAGGCUCACCUCGUCCUUCACAUUGAAGCAUCUCGCAUAUUUGUCUUCAAAAUCCUUUUGUUUCUCUUCCAAGCGACUGGUCAAAAAGACACCUAGUAUAUGUCCAUAUAAAGGUAACAAAAAAAAUAUAUAUCACAAAUAUUUCGGCAUCUACCAGCUUAAUAGAAAUGCAAAUAUCUAAAUUCUAAAGGCGUCUGAUAGUUUAUAAAAAAUAGUACUUUAAGUAGAUACACUGUCCACAGUCCACUCAAAUGAUUCUGAAUAAUGUAAACUACCCCAUAGUAUAUUCUGAAGCUGUUGAAAAAAAAAAUGCAUACUGAUCAUCCAUUGGAGUUGAAAAAGGAAAUUGUAAAUUGCACCAUCCCAUAUAAUCCUUAAAUGAGCCAUAUUACAGGUUACAAUUUCCAAAAUAGUUUCUAAAAUGAUUUUUGAAAGCAUGUAGUGAUUCUCUAGUUUCAUUGAAGUCAAUACCUAACAAACGAACAAAAGGCAAAACAAAGCAACAGAUUCAGAAAGAGAACUUCUGCGAGUAUAGUUGCAAUAUUAGACAACAUAUAUUGUAAGUGUGACAAAUUCAUCCGUGUAGUAACCAGCACGAGGAACCAUGUAAAGAAAUUGGUAUUAAGGUAAUCAUCUCCCACUAUAUAAAUAUAUGAAUAACAAAUUGCAAAACAAACAAUAAAUAAGCAAAUACGAAUUUAUAAAAUGAAUGGAUACUUAACAAAUACGAAUCAUCAUCAACAAAAUAUCGCUAUAGUGAAUGAUAGAUGCACCAGGUUUCUAUCAUUUAUUAAUCAACCUCUUUACCCCAUAACCCCCAUAAUUAUUUGAUUAAUUUUGUUGGAUAAAAACCAACAGGUUCCCUACAUAACUAUCAGUUGCCAUUUCUUUGAAGAAGAAGCAAAGAUGAGUUUCUUCAAUUUGACCAUAAGUUUCUUCCUAAUGAACAUCAAAGUGCAGGAUGAGGACAAGUAUUAUCCAACAUCAUAUUUCAAUCAACAAAGGCCUAUUUUAAAGACGUUGUAGCAUUAGAUAGCUAGUUACUUGAUUACUAAUGAAGCACAUGUACCUGUAAGGCUGUUGAUUCGUUCUUCUAUCCUCGAACUUGUUGAAUCAGUUCCAGAUACAAACACUAUAUCAAUUUUCGCAGGGAGCUUAACAGAAAUCUGAGGUGUAAUGGAACAAAGAUGCAAACAAACAGGGCAAACAAAUACAUCAGAGGGUCAGACCCUAAAUUCCACAGUUUAAAGCAAUUACUAUACAGACUUAAGGCUGGCAUUAUUUGGUGAAUUCUUUUCUAUUUUUUUUCAUCAUUCACAUUACCUGAUAAACCAUAAUGUUUGGAGAGUCUUCAACUAUGUCUGGCAGUUGCACGAACCCCGUUCUCCUUGCCUAGAAAAGGAGGCCGCACCAAAAACAAGUAAAUUUAGAUGAAAUUUCAUCCGUGAAACAGAAAAUAGAAGUUUGAGACGAACUUGUCCUAUCUAGGAGAUUAUCGAGCAACAUAUGGGAUUAAUUUGACAUUACAUGGCUUGCAAGAGUACCCUGGACUAGUUCAGUUAAAUUGUGCAUAUGAAGAGAUCUGUAACCAGCAAUUCGUUUUUCCAGAUUAUCCUGUAACAAGACACAGCUACUCAAACACCAUACUUUAGCAAAGGAAACACAAAAAAAAAAAAAGCAUAAAAGUUGAUGAUCCACGAAAAGAUAAAAUGUUGUACGACGUACGGUCGAUUGUAGAUGCAGCUCCCAACUACCAACAUCGUUUCGGGUCCCAGAUGCCAAAAGGAUGGUAUUGCGAUGCUCAAAGUCUUGUCUACCCAUAUCAAAUGAUUUUCCUUCUUCAUCAGCCAAGUAAAAGAAUAAAUGAACAGCUCCCUCUUUAGGUUCAGUUAAACUUGACCUGCCAUGAACCAAAUGGAUGCCAACAACCAUUACAAGUUUGUCAUGAUACUGAUAUCUUGCGAUGACCAGCCAAGCAUAAUUUUAAGGGUCUUGAAGUAAUUACCAAAGUGAACAAGUACAAAGUUUUACAAUUUAUCAAGGUUAUAAGCUUCCUCAAGCUGUUGUGUCAAAUUAAUUCCCAAAAUCUAAAGUAAUUAGGAAAUAAUCAAUUUGCGAUGAAACUUUGUGGGCAAUCUAUAGCAGAUCAUACCUGCUGCAAAAGAAAUAAUAAUAAUAUAAUAAAUAAUAAUACCGAACGCUUACUUCUCAUCCUGCGCUUCCAGUCUAACAGCCCAAUCCCCUCCAUAUCCACUGCCUUUUCCUCUCUCUUUCAAAAAACUAGUAGUCAAAGACAAGCCGUGAUCGAUCAACACUUGGCGUCCAUAAUCUCUACCAUUGUGAUCCGUCCACCCAUAUAUACUAAGUUCAUCAGAAUCUUGGCAAACAUGACGCAGAAAAUAUUGUCCAUUCUUUGUGCCAAGCCACAUUAAUCCAGCAAUUAGUGACCGGUGUGUUCUGCAAAAGUAAAUAUAUAAAAUUAGAACAUUUAGGAAAACCCAAAAGAACUUUAGCUCCAAAAAAGAUCGCAUGAAUUACUCGCAUGUAAAUAUUAGCUGAAAACUGAAAAGUCUUUUGAGGUCCAUAGAAGGCCAUAAUGUCUGCAGAGAAAGUGGCCAAGUGCUUUCAAAUGCCAACUAUAGACAACAAGAAUAUUGAAGUUUUUAAAUCAUUUCAAUCCUAAAAACACAAAUUUUACUCAAGAGAAGAGCAAUGCAAUGGUAAGAGAGUUAAACAUGCUAGGAAGAUUAUUUCACCGGAAGCUAUCUAUGUAACCCAAAGGAAAAAAAAAUUACAAACUUAUACACACAAUAAACUCAAUCUAUGGAAAAUAAGAAGAACAGAUGAACAGCUCGCAACGGAAAAUUGGAACCUGGCACGAAUCCCGAGGUAAACAUGGGGUCGGUAGGUCCCCCAGUACAAGCUCUCCUUGUGCUCCCCUUGAAACUACACCAUUCAACGAAAACCCAUUAUUCCAUCAACAACCAAAAAAAAAAAAAAAAAAUCCAUUUUUUCCACUAAAAACAAGCAAUUUAACUAACAUAUGCAUCCUUCUGUAACAUUACAUGAUUCUAGGCUAAAAUGUAUGGAUUGUCCCUUUACUAUCUCAAUACUGCGAUUGGUCCCUAUAUUAGUACUUUCACAUUAUACUCUUCAAACUCAUACCCGACUAUUUAAAGAAAAAAAAAUAACUUUUAUUGUAAAAUAACAUUUUUAAUCUUAUUUCAAGUAAAUUGAGAAAACAGUUGUUCAGGAGAAAUUUUUUUUUUCAAAAAAAAACAGACUUUUUAUGGUUAAAAAUGAAAUUGCAAUGUAUGCAACAUUUCCGGAGCUAAACUGUUCGAGUAGAAACAUUGGGACAGUAAAGGGACAAUCCGUACAAUUUACCCUGUGUUCGGGAUCCAUUUCACCUGAGGAAGCUCAAUCAUCUUCGGCGCCGGCAACGGCGUCACGACCCUCAUCACCUUCCUCACCGCCGCAUCCUCCUCCUUCGAUCCCCAGCGGUAGUUAUACACGAGAAGAGAGACGAGGAGGAGGGCCAGAAACCCUAACCCUAGCCCUAGGAGGGUUCCCAGGCUCACGUCCAUCAAGCGGAUGCGGCCAUGGUCGCCGCCACCACUCCCCCUCCGCCGCUUCCCGGGCGCGCCGCCGCCGCCGCCGCUGCCGCCCACUCGCCGGGGCUCGUCGGCGUCGCGAUCCGCCGCCGCCGCCGCCGCGGCGCCGCCGCGAGCGGUUCGCCGGCGACCUCCCGUCAUCGCUCGCUUCGCAACGAAAAGGGGUUUUGCACGAGAUUUUAGGUAGAAUUAAUGCUAAAUUGCAUCGCGUGGUCCCUGAAUUUUGACCAUAUUUCAUUUUAAACCUUAAAACUUUUUAUCAUGAAGAUUAGUCUACCACGUCAUCCGUAGACCACCAAACUACCUACUUUUGAGUUUUGACAACAGUGAAAAGGAGUGAGAUUUUGCGGUCCACAGAUUACUUGGUGCACCACGUCGACGCAACAACUAGUCCAUACUGAGUUUUUCGUCCUUUCUCUAUAAAUACCCUUUCAUCUCUAGGGUUUCUCUUCGCAAGCGGAGUGCGGCGGCGAGAGCGAUUCCUCUGCAUUUCCCCCCACCUCCCCAAUCUCUCCGCGGCCAUGGUAGGGUUUCCUCACCCUCUUCUUCUUCUUUCUCUUUUCCUUCUUCGUCUCGAUCUCUUGAUGCGUAUCGUUCUCACUUCGUUUCUUUGUUAAUCGCAGGUGAAGUACUCGAGGGAGCCCACAAACCCUACCAAGUGUAAGAUCACAUUGUUUCGUGUAGUAAUUUAGUUGUUUUCGAUCUUAAUAUAGUUCAAUCUGAGCGUGGUAGUGAAAAGCGGACACUUUUAUGAAUCAUUUAGUGCGUGAUUUAGUUGAAUAAGUGAUUGUGUAAUGGAUUUGCUUGUAGUGUAAUGGAUGAGCAUAUGAAGACUUUUAGGGUUUGGGUUUACUUAUUUUGCUUUGUUUCGUUUUUUGCAGCCGCCAAGGCCAUGGGCCGGGACUUGAGGGUUCACUUUAAGGUAAUGUGGUUUUUUUAAAUUUUUUUUGUGAAUAUAUCUAUGCUUUGUGUAUUUGUACUUGAGUGUUUUUAUUGUUAAUUUUGUGAAAAUUUUUAUCCUUCGUGCUGUUACAUUAUUGUGGUUGAUCUAAGUAUUGCUCUAUCUUCCUGCUGCUUUUGUUCAUAUGAUGUAUAAGACUAAGGAACUAUCAUAGAGGGGUUAGUAUAUUGUUGCCUGUUGUAUGCGCAUCAAAAUAUAUGCAAAAAAGUCCAAUAUUUUGAGGCCUUAUUCUGGGACAUUAAAUAUAACAAUGAAAUUUUUGGUUUUUCAUUUGAGCAGUUUUUGAUCCUUGCUGGAAUUUUAGUUGCUCUAGAUGAACAGUAUGUUCUAUUUUAACUGGACUGCAACUGCCUAAAGUAAAAAAGCAGGGUACUGUUGUCUUCAUGAACAGUUCUCUCGUAAACUUUAGGGAAAUCAUGUACAUUGUUAUUGGGUGAACCUUUGUAAACUAUGUGACAAAAGGUUCAGUAAACAAUGGCACAUAUAAUCAUUUUUAUUUGCUUUUUUCUCUUUUUUUUUUUUUUUGGAGGUGGCCAGGCUCAGUAAUGCUUCAUUCGGAUGGAGAGAAUUGGAGAGGAAAGAAGAAUAAAAAAGAGGAGAGAUAAAAAGAAAAGAAAGGAAAAGUAAGAAAGUAAUUUUCUCUCUGGUCCUUUGGAUUAAAGGAAGAGAAGAAGAUAAAAUAACUUUCCUUUUCUCUCUCUCUCUCUCUCUCUCUAGUUUUGGGGAGAAAAAAAUUGACCGCUAUGGAAGGUCAUUUUCUCUCAAUUUCUCUUCGUUUGUCUCCGCAAAUUUUGAUCCAAAUGAGACAGUUAUUUUCUCUUCUUAACUUUCUUUUAAAGUAUUUUACUUUUAAAGUAUUUUACUUCAUCCCCCAACGGCUUAUAAGCAAAAGUGAUAGAUAGCAAAGUACUGAAAACUUGUAGUUUUAAGAGGGUCAUUUAGUUUUUGAUAUUUUAGGACGGCAAAGUGAAUACUGCUAUAUAACUGGGCAGUUUCCUGCAAUUUAAGUUGUCUGGCAAUCAACUUACUAUCUUGUUGAUUUCAACAGAACACUCGUGAGACAGCUUUUGCAAUUAGGAAGCUGCCGCUGGCAAAGGCUAAAAGAUACCUUGAGGAUGUGAUUGCUCACAAGCAAGCAAUUCCCUUCCGCAGGUUCUGUGGAGGCGUUGGCCGGACUGCACAGGCUAAGUCCCGCCACUCAAAUGGGCAAGGCCGCUGGCCUGUCAAGUCUUGCAGGUUCAUUUUGGAUCUGCUCAAGAAUGCUGAAAGCAAUGCGGAGGUACGAACCUUACUCCUAUUCUCCUUUCUGUAUUAUGUGCUCAGCACUUUUAUGUAUUUAUACUCUUGUAAAAUCACUUUGUUACACAUACAUCCCUGUAAAUUUUGAAUUUUCUUAUAUACCCAUUGCAAGUAUAGUUUCUUGAUAUAUGAGUUGUCCUAUUCAUGGGGCAAGUUAAUAUUUGUAUUAGGAGAUGCUUGUAGAGAGUUAAGAGGGGGGAAAUUUUGUAAGGCCAAGGUUAUAUAUUGAUUAAGAAAUUAAGUUUUUGUGGGGGGGACCUAUAUGGCAAUUCAGAUGUUGCAGGAAUGCGUAUGGAAACUAGAUAAUUUUUCAGGGGUUCAUCAAAAUAGCCUAUUUUAAACAUAUGUUUUCUCCACCUCUUAAACUCAGGUGAAGGGUUUGGAUGUUGAUGCUCUCUACAUUUCGCACGUCCAAGUGAAUCAAGCCCAGAAGCAGAGGCGUCGCACCUAUCGUGCUCACGGCCGCAUCAACCGUGAGUAUUCUGUUCUCUCUCUUUCCUUGUGCUCGAGUUGGACAAUCUACACUUUGGUGCUUGACAAAUAUUUAUACACUGGUCUAUUGCAGCUUACAUGUCUUCUCCGUGCCACAUUGAAUUAAUUUUGUCGGAGAAGGAAGAGCCAGUUAAGAAAGAGGUAAUUUUUAAUAUUGUGGUUAACCUUUACAGCUUGAUUAUGUUGUUUUUGAAGCAUGUUAAUGCCGGUGAAUAUGUUUAAUCACUUAUAAAUUUCACUUCUUAUGUUGCAGCCGGAGUCGCAGAUUGCGCCCAGGAAGACUAAGAACACUGUUGUGUAAGCAGAAUCUCUUCUUGAGUAGAAAUAUCAGUGAUUGUAGUAAAUUUGAGUUGAAAUUUUGCGAUGGCUGCCCACUCAUUUGUUUCAAUGUUAGAUGGACUUAAGGUCACCUUUUACUUAUCAGCUAGUAUUUUAGUGGAAUUUGUCAGCGUUUUAUUGGAUUAUAUUUCUGGUCUGGAAUGUUUCUUGUCUUUUUAGAGAAUUGAAUGAUUAUUGAGGUGUUACUGGAUUUUUUUUUUUUUUCCUAAGCAAGCAUUUUGAUGUUUCAGUUGCUGUUCAUUUUACACGAUGGUGCUAUGCGGCAGUUAUAUACUUGAUGUUCUGAUAUUUGAUUUGGCACCAGAAAUUUGCAAGCGAAAAAACACUCCUUUUUCGGGUGCUCUCUUUUUUCCUUUCUUUCUUAUUACCUUUUUAUCUUUCUUAUUGCUUUUUCUUCUUUAUUUUUUUUCUAAAUGGCCUUGUUGUCACAUUUUUGUAUUAUUGAAUGAAGCGGCAGUGCAUGCUAUCUUUUCUCUCUCAGAAAAAAAGAAUAAACACUUACCUCUCUCUGUUAGCAUUCAAACUGUUUUAAAAAAAUACCAGGAAAAUAAGAGAUUUUCAAUUUUUCUUCACCAAUGAGAGUGAAAAGUGAAAAGAUCAACCGCUUUUUGACCAGCAUGGUGUACUGGUGGUUGGUUUAUAAUUCAAAACAAUUUGGCAUUCUAGUAUCACAAGGUUUGAAUGAUACAAUAUGAUCAGCACAAUAUGGUAACAGGGGGAACUUGGCCAGUAUCAUAGAGUCUGAAUGAGACAAGACACCAGCACAGUUUGUUAACAAAAAGGGGAUUUCGCAUUCUAGUAAAUCACUGAGUUUGGAUGAUGCAAGUUCUCAUUCUAGUAAUCAUUGAGUUUGAAUGAUGCAAUUUCACAUUCUAGUAACCAUUGAGUUUGAAUAAUGCAACAUGACCAGCGUUAAAAAGGGGAAUUUGGCAAUCUAGUAUCAGGAUUCAAUGCGACCAACAUAGUUUGUAGACGGGAUUCCAAACUAGUUCAAUAAACCAUCAGCAGCUUCCAAACUAGUUCAAUAAACCAUCAGCAGCUGCAGCUCCACGCAAGGAAAUGCAAAUGGAGAAAUCUUCUAAUACGCUCAUAUGAACGAGAGAUUAGGCCCUUCAAGGCUGCACAGCUUCCAAAAGCUUCUCAUAUACCUGUCUCGCGGACAAAUCCUCAACCUGAAACCAUCAUGCAAAUUGAAAUAAAAUUGAUUUUAUUUUACAUCAAUUUCAAACAAAGAAAAACUUUGAAAUUGUCUGAUACAGAGCUUUGCAAGAAAAAAAAAAAAAAAUCAUAUUAUGCUAUUCAUUACGGUCCUUCAAGGAUUAGGUUUUUGCCUGGGUUUUAUUUAUAUGAACUUAAAAGAAAGGUUCAGAUUGAAGUAACUCACAAUUAGAAGCUUCGAUUUGUUAUUCCAUCCUCUCUGAAGGGUCAUCUGACUCAAUCUUAGGCCCAGCACCUGUUUUCACGAACUAUCAGUUUGUAUGCCUAUAUUUCAUGGCACAGCAUUCAAAGCAUCUUAUGCAGAAACGCAUCCUCAUCAACUAGAUAUUAUAUAUUUUGGUAGUUGAUGGAACUGAUUGUGUAGAAUAUAAUAGCAAAAAUGACGGAAUCACAAACCUUUCCCAUGAAUUCUAGCAGUUCAUUGUUAGCUUCUCCACGAGCAGCUGGAGCAGCUAUUGUGACUCGAACAUCAUCAGCAUUUACUCCUGAAGAAAAUCGUCGGAGCCAUAAAAAUUAAAUAAUUUGAGUCGUAAAAAAUUACUCAUGCAUAAGAAAAUAUCAAAAUUCCGGUAGUCCAGGUUAAUCAAAAGAGAAAGAGAACGAUAAUCAGGCCAAUAUAAUACUUGUAAUUGCUGAACGCUGUGCACGGUCCUCUACUUCAAUUGCCACUUGGACAAGGCCGCCUUCCAACUGUGAUAUACAUGGGGGUACAGGGGCAUCCUGCCAUGUUAUAUUAAAAUUGUUUAAAAGAAAAAUUAAAAAAAGACAAAUAUAAUAAAGAGGCAGGUGCGAAUUGCCUCAGUCAACCGCUAGGUGUUGAGCAUGCUACCAAUAUCCAGUUCAAAGAUUAAAUUCAAUCAAGAAAAUCUGUUGCGAGAACCAUAGACCAGAUAUGAAGAAAGUCAUGAGAAAAUCAACGUAGCAAGGUCCAAAAGUUCAAAUCUUUUCAAACAAGAACAGUUACAAAUUUUAAAAGAACACGUAAAAAAUGAAAAAGACAAUAGGACUUCAACAAAUUCAGAGGGCAGCUUAAAAAAAAAAAAAAAGCAGAGCAUUUCAAAUAAGUAUAAGACAACAAUUUAAGCUGAUAGACAACUAACGCACAAUUACUUUCUUGCAGAAUCCAAAAUUGGAUACUUCCGUAUAACAAAAACUUUUAAAGUCUUUUACAUGCUUAAAGGUGUUUUACAAGCCUAUGCAAUUGUCAACUUCGAUGCACCCAAAAAGCCAAAAAAUUGAGUCAAUCUCACAGAAGACGAAAUUAUUUGAAUGCCAAAAGAAGAGAACUGCUGGGUAAAAUUCUUAGAAGCAGGAGAUUAAUCAGUCCAGCAAUUCAAUUGAAUAACUUUGAACUUUGCAAUCUAAGAUUCAAACAAACAGGGCGAAAGUGCAGAUAUGUAUCUCACAAGUAUUUGCUUCUCCCUCUUCCGUGUUUUAAAUACCACAUUUAAUCAGCACAAAAAUUAUACCAGUAAAACUUCCCUUAAGUUUGAAGCAACUCAAUAGUAGGACAUUUACAUGCUUUUGCAUCUUACUAAAGGUAAGACAAGCUAACUUGUUAAUACUUCUUCACAAAAACCAACUCAAAUGCCCGUUCACAUCAGUGGAGACACAUUCAGAGAAAGGAUAAUUGUAAUCAUCAAAAAGCAUGGGCCAAAACGCCAAAAAAGGAUAAAAAAAUUAUGUCGAGUCCAAAUCCUUAGUACCUGUGGAUUUGUUUCUGCUACAACAGAACUUAGUGCACCAUCCACGAUAUAUACGAAUGGGGCAAGCUCCAAAUCCUCUUCAGAACGAUAACAAACAAAAAGUUCACAGCCUACACAAAUCAUGCGAAAUUGUUUCUCCAUUUUUCCCUCCCCACUGCAGGCAAGAAACAGUAUCAAAAUAAGGACUCAUAAACCACAUUGCAAAAUCAGCCUUCAUCUAGCCAAAUUUUUACUAUUCUACAUUUGAACUUCUUUUUUCGUUCAUGUAUGUUUCUCAGGAUACAAUAAAGGACCAUUUCCCGUCUACAAUUAAGCCAGUAUUAGGCUUCCUAAGACCUAAGAAAAUGCUAUAUUAUGCGACAUGCUACAAAGCAAUUCCAAUUUACCUGCUAGUUUCUCACUUCUAUUUGAUUUUCAGGAUCAGUACAGCAACACAGUACUCUACCCAAUUGGUUCACCAUCACAUUGCAGCAUAAAUGCAUCCAUAAUAUAAAAUCUAGAAAUAUGUAGAAAAAUACCGCUUUAGAAGGACUUUUCCGGCCUCCUUUACAUUGAGCCUUGCUAGAUGCUUCUUCUUGUCCAGCACAUGCGCUUUAUCCGUUUUCCGCUUUGGCAUCUUCUGCAAUUGGGUAUCUUCAGAGUAAACGCAUCAGAAUCAAAACGCAUUCACACAAACGCAAACCAAAAAGUAGCUAUAAUCAAAUUAAAACAAUAAACCACCAAUAAAGCAUCUAGAAAUCAUAAUAUUUUCAAAAAACAAAAGGUACCAUAGAUCCUUUUCUACUACAAUUAAACCCUAAUGCACCAACAGUCGUGCAUAAUUUCUAACCUAAACUUAGCCAAAUAACAAGUACACAUUUUCGUUCACAGACCAAAAAAAAACUGAAAAACUCACAAUUACCACAUUAAAACACCAUGCCAGUAAUAAAAGAGCUAACUUUAAUCAUAAUUUUCUAGAAAAUGAAAAAAAAAAAAAGGAGAAGCAUAACAGAACCUGAUAUUAUACUAAAAUUAAACCCUAAAAGCAUCAGUAUUCACUGUUCAGUAAUAAUGCGCAUCGCCAAAUCUAUCAAAACAACUACUUCGACACACACACUAUGAGUUUCAAUGCCAGAUUUCUGAUACUUAGACCCAAAAAUCUGCGCCACAAAAACAGGAAAAAUGGGUUUCCAAGCAAAAAUUUUGGGCAUCGAAGACGAGGGACCAUGAUUCAGCAAGAGGGGGGAAAGCAACACAGGGAAUGAUACAGGUGAGUGACUAGGGUGGGGUUAGGGUUAGGGUUUUGGGGGAUGGUGUUGGGUACGGACCGGUGAUGAGGACAUGGGAGCCACAGUGCUUGCAGUAGUAGACGAAGAGGUCGGACUCGGGCCCAUCCGGGGCCGCGUCCUCGCUCGAGUACGUGUGCGUCGUCCUCUUCGGCAUCGAUGCCUCGCCCCUCCUCUCCCCUUCCUCUCUCUCUCUAUCUCUCUCUCUCUCUCUCUCUCUCUGAGACGCGUCGAUGGGGAGGGGGGAAGAGACGAAGAACGUAGAAAGAGGACCGUGCGGGGACGAGGUAAAAAAUAAAAAUAAAACUAAAAAUAAAAAAUAAAAUAAAAUGGGUUAAUUUUAUACAAAUUCUUACCAACAUAAUGAUCUCAAUAUUUUUACACAAAUAUAAAGUAGCAAAUAAAGAUUAUAAAAUUUAUAGCUAGGUCUAUUAAAAUAACGAAAUCUUAAUCGAUGGAAUAAAAAAAUAAAAAAGAGUCGUCUGCUAGCAAUUUAAUUUUCUAAAGAAACUUCAAAUCCAAAAUAUCUGUCUAAUUAUCGUCAUAAAUUUUCAGCCAAGUUGUAUCUAGCUAGAGAUUGCACUGUAUUGUAGAGAGAUUGCACUAAGCACUGUAAAAUAUCCAUUAAAUUACUCCGAUCCCUAUAAUAGAAGCCCUCUAUAGUUAGUUUUGAUAUAAAAAAUUCUUGCUAGUACCUUCUUAUGAUACUCAAUGUGAUCUAAUUAGCUACAUAAUUUUCACUGGUUGUUCCCAGUACGUCGAUGUUAUUUUCACUUCCUCUGGACGGUUACCUGUAAACAAAAGAAAGAGAAAAAUGCAAAAGAAGAAAAAAAAAAAAAACAGAUCAGAAUACCUUGAACAAAACAAAAGGCAAAAUGAUUUUCUUAGAAGCAAUUUUCAUAAAAUUUUCAUGAUUUUAUAUGAGUUGCCUAUUAGAUGUAUCUUUAUAUUCGUAAAUAAAAAUAAAAACUUCUUUUUCCAAGUUUAAGAAAAACCGGCUUUAAGAAGAACUUAAAAGAGAUAAUUACUGCAAUAUUCAUCGAGUGCAAGAAAUAUGAUUACUGUCAAAAGCAAUAGCUAAAAAAGAGGAGAUAUAUAACAAAUUCGACAACUUCACAAUAUUCACAAUUUUGAUGCCACCAUAAGAAAUGAUCAAUAACAAAAUAUCAUUCUUUACUUAAGUAUAUUAUUCGGUUGUUUCCUAUUGGUGAAUAUACUAUAACCCAAAGUUGGGACGAGUUCGACCCCUAUAUAAGACAGAUAUUGGUUACAACGGGACUGGGAUCACUUCGGGGUAGAGCCAGGAUGAGGACGGGUGGCCGAGACGAUGAAACUGUAACCACACUCUCUCUCUCUCUCUCUCUCUCUCUCAUUACUAUAAUUAACUGCAAAUUAUGAUUUUUCGCAUAUGCCCUUUAAACUUCAUUAACCAGAUUACUCCCUAACUAAAGAUGAGAAUAUUUUUUUGUGGGAAACUGCUCUGUCAAGAGAUAUACACAUAAACUGAUAAUAAUAAUAAAGAAAAUCAGAUUUGCGAGUGGUACGUACAUAAAUAGAUGAUUUUGCAGGAAUACAUAUAUAUAUAUAUAUAUAUACACACGCGCAUAAACUCUCUCGCAUAUGUGUUCUUGUGUAUCUAAUAUAUUACUGCAUGUCUUGACAGCUUGAGAGAGGAGGAUCAUCUGUGCCGAAAUUCGGUGACUGGGACGAGAAGGAUCCUUCUUCGGCUGAUGGGUACACCCUCAUAUUUAACAAAGUGAGGGAGGAGAAACAAUCUGGCUUGGGAAAUGCUCCGAUCAUCGCCAACGACGCAGCGCAUCGUAAUGGCUCCCAAAGAGAUGGCAACGAGCCUUCGGUGAGUGCUACUUCUGCGAAACUAAUGAAAAGGUUGCUAUGUUUUUCCUAUCUAUUGCUCUCCGUAUCGUACUCUGUCCCUCUACUGUGAAUUUUUCUAUUCAUUUUUGUCCGUAGACAUAGCAGGCCAGCGACCGAACCAUAUAAAUCUAUACACUGACUUUCGUGUUCUCCCUACAAAUCUUUGUUCGAUUUGUGUGUUUCUAACAGCAUAAAUCUCCUUGAGUUCUCACCAUCUGUCGUUUUAACAGAGCUGGUCGUGCUUCGGUCGGUGCAAGUGAUGGAUAUCUCCGAAGAACUACAUGAAGACCUGCAACUAUGUAUUGGAGGAUCUCCUUUUCCUGCCACUCUUGUUUAUCUGCAUUCUCUGAUGGUUGUUGUUGUUGUUAUUAUUAUUCUUACUANUUCGUAUCGUACUCUGUCCCUCUACUGUGAAUUUUUCUAUUCAUUUUUGUCCGUAGACAUAGCAGGCCAGCGACCGAACCAUACAAAUCUAUACACUGACUUCCGUGUUCUCCCUACAAAUCUUUGUUCGAUUUGUGUGUUUCUAGCGGCAUAAAUCUCCUCGAGUUCUCACCAUCUUCUUUGUCUCGCUGUCGUUUUAACAGAGCUGGUCGUGCUUCGGUUGGUGCAAGUGAUGGAUAUCUCCGAAGAACUACAUGAAAACCUGCAACUGUGUAUUGGAGGAUCUCCUUUUCCUGCCACUCUUGUUUAUCUGCAUUCUCUGAUGGUUGUUGUUGUUGUUAUUAUUAUUCUUACUACUACUUUCAAAGAUGUGUGUGUGGAUGUAUUCUUUACAUUAUAUACUUCUGCUUCAUUGUACCAAGACACUUGUUUGAUAUGUAAAGAUGUCUUACUUUGUUUUUAAUUUAUCUUUCACUGCUCCUACAGUUGGUAGGUAUUCAUAAUAGCAUAGGUUGGUGGGCUGGGUUUAGACUCACCCUUCGAAAUCGGCCCGAACUAGUCUAACGGGUCGAAAAGAAUAACCCGUUUUCUUGUUAUUUAUUAUCCAAUCAAGUUGUAUGGGGCUGUGUAAUAAUAACUAACUGGUAUAACUAAUGUGAUGUUUCUUAUAAUCGAACCGGACCGAACCGAACUUACCAAGAAAGCUCAAAACGGAACCGGACCGGGCCGGUUCGGCUCCCAAGCGUAAUUAUUUUCCCUUUAAAAUAUCCGGUUUUUAAACACGUGGGUACGCUACAUAACGGACAAGGAAACGCGGUCCUUUUCUUUUUCUUUUUAUUUCCCGGGAGUGAAAAUGUAUAGGGUAGUCCCUGUACUUCUCCAAUAUUAAUAUGAUGUCACCGUACUUUCUCCAAUACACAAGGAAAUAUUUAUUUUGUACGUAAGUGUGAAAUUUUAGGAACUGAGUUGUAAAUUGGAGACAAUACAAGGGAUUCUUAUAAAUUUUGUCCUCUUCGCUCGCGUAUUUAAACUUUGAAAUGAUCGGCAUUAGUCGAAGCUAAUCUCCUCCUCCUCCUCCUCCCCUCCUCCUCUCUCUCUCUCUCUCUCUCUCUCUCUCUCUCUCUCUCUCUCUCUCUCUGAUCGAUAACCUCUACUAAAACCCUAUUAGGCGAUUCCAGUUCUUAGGUACGGUUCUCGGGCUAUUUCCCCUUUUUUCCUCUUCUUUUUCCCCUUUUUCCCGCUUCAUUUAUUGGUCUUUCGUGUGGUUUUUUGUUCCCUUGGAUUGGAGUUGGUUUAAUUUUUGAGUGUUUGGGCUAUAGGUUCGUCAAAUUUCUUCUUUUUUUUUUCCCAUUGAUCCGACUCUUCGUUCUUGGUGUACACUUCGACUUGUUUCAUCUGUUUGAUUAGAGAUUUUAAAUAAAUAAGCGAUUCUUGGUGGAUGGCGAUGGAUUUUUACGGCUCAUACAGAUCUUCUUAGCUCAGUUUCCUUCUUAUUUUCAUGUUGCGAGCGGUAAUUUGCUUAAAUGAUUAGAAAAGAUUCGAUUUUUACCAACACAAUCGAAGUUGGAAAGAAUAUAUAUAUGUGUUCUUGAUGCAUCAAUAUUGCUAAAGCUUGAGGUUUUAUCUGGUGGUAUUUUUUGAAUCCAAUAGAAAUGAACUUACAAUUAAGUUAAUUGGAUCAGGGAGGUGAUCAUUGAAAGGGCUCGUGAUGAACAACGAGCGCAAUAAGGUUGUUUAUGAUCUAGACCUUAAUUCUCCUCCCGCGGAUAGCCAAGAAGGGAAUUUGAUCUCGCAGGACAACGCCGUAUCCGCGGCAACCUCUGGCGCUGUCAACUCUCAUCCCCUGCCGAAUAUAGGGUCAUAUUGCACUCCGAUCAUUGUCGAUUCGGAUGAAGCUGAUAUGCUCUCUGCGCCCACUGGGUUUCCCCAGGUCUAUCCUCUGUUCCCUGUAUUGCAUUGUUUGUUCCUUUUUUGUUUGUUGUUGGUGUAAGAUAAUGUAGGAUUCCAACUUGUUUGCUUCCUCUAUGAAGCACACGUCUUGGUAGGGUGCGCAAUAUUGGUUUACAAAAGGAAAGCCAACCAAAUGGCACCAAAUUAGACAAUUUACUUUGGUUCAUUUGGUUUGAGGUUUCAGAAUCGCGGCAUUGUUCGGCCAUCUUUAUGUUUCGUUUUAUUUUUUAACUCGAUAUCAAUUUGAUUGAAUGCGCCGGGGGAUGAACUUCUUUAUUUUUAUUAUUGUCGGCCAGCUUGCAAACUCAUCUUUCUUUGAGAAAAAUGAAGCAAAAAAGGUUUCUAGUUUUUUUUUUUCUUUCUUUCUUGUCUUCAAACGAACAGCAUAGUUGUAUUGUAUGCAACCUAUCAGGCGUACAAUAAUGCAUUCAAGGGCAUAGAAUUUAAGUUUGAAAAAACAAACAAAACGCAAGCGAACCUAAACAGGCCUAUAUAUUUUAAUUCACAGUUUCCAGAUUGGUUGAGAAAAUUUUCUCGUAGAAACCAGACCAGAAGCCUGCCAUUGGAUCGCAGGCUAGUGUGUAGGAUCUUUAAUGUGGUCUUGCAAUGCUGUUUAUUUAGCACUUUCUUUCUUUUGCAGUUAUAUCAAUUUUGCCAUACUUUUGGAUUGUCUUGUUGUGAAUGAAGUAGUUAACGGAAUAUAGCAUGAUGCUUAUUUGCUCUUAUAUUUAUGUUUUUUUUUAUUUACUUUGUUUUAGAUGAGGAACCCGUCUACGAGUAGCAUGAUGACGAUUGUCUUUGAUGAAGAUGUGGAAAUAAUAAAUCCGAGACAAUCAGGUUAGGUUUUAUCUUGAAAUGCUGUUAUAUGAAUAAUGAAGAUAGUUAUGAAAUUCUGUUAUUUAAAGAAGUAUCUGGCAUAUGUUGUUCUUUAGUUUAUUUCUUGGUCUUUCUUGUGAAACAACCAUUGUAUUCUCAAAUCUUAAGCUGCUAACACUCCACUCCCUCUCAUGUCUGGGCUCGAGACUUUUUGACAAGGCUCAUGACAUGGAAUUAAAUUAAAUGGGAAGAAAUUAAAAAUGCUAGGACCUGGCGUGACUCGUACUUAGGACCUUCUCCUCUGAUAUUAUGUAAAACAACUGUUGUACUCUAAAAACUUAAAGGUGUUAGAGAAUGAUGUUUAUAUAUUUUUAUAUUUAACAUGGCAUUCAGAUUGAUGAUUUUCAUCCUUCUUGAUAUAAAUUAUUUAUACGAGCUUCAAUCUCAAUCUAAUGUGGAAGUGCUUGUUAUCAUGCCGACUCCACUUUUCUAAGUUACCGAACAAAGCUACUUUCUUAGAGCAUUUAUGAUAAGUAUCACGGUAUCUUCAUCUUUAUAACAUCAAUUCCUUCUAUUCUGCUAUCUAUUGCACCGUUUUUUCAAUUGUACAUGUCAAUGCUCGCUCCUUUCUAUAAAGUAAUUGGUAGCUUAAGCAAAGCCAAAAUGCAUUAUGAACUGCACAGUUUUCCUCAAGUUAUGUUCUUAUCAAAUUAGACCGGCAGACCAUUGACAGCAGGUGGGUCCAAAUCAUUACAAGGGAAAAUAUACGUUUUAUUGUGCAUGAAUAGGAUAUGUUUUACAUGUACAAAUUUUCAUUUCUUCUUCUGACUAGACAUAUCUUCUUUUCUUCUCUCAGUGAAUGUUACGAAGGACCCGCCAGCCACAUCGCCUCUCUUCACUGACAACAAGUGUGAGAGUGUUCCACCAAAUACGACCCUAAUGAACUGCGGUCACUUGCAGGAUACAGAUGCAGGUCGCAGUCCCAAGGUAAAAAAUAUAUAUAGCCGGACUAUAUAUAUAUAUAUAUAUAUAUAUAUAAAACAAAAGAGCUCAUCUGAUUUUCCCUUUAUUAUUAUUAUUUUUUUUCUUUUACAGUUUCUAUGUUAGGCUUGUUUCUUCUCUUUUCUUCGUGCUACAGAUGCAACUUUGAUUCUUUCGUUCAAAUCUUCUCUUGUUUAGUCAUUAAAUUUAGGCACUAUAUUUGUUUAGUCCUCAUGCUGGUAUUACCUGUGUUUGCUUAAUGAAGGCUCUUAUUAUUAGAAGAAUGCCAAGAGUGAUUAAAGGAGCUUACAUUUUUCUUUUCCUCGGACGUCUGUAAACUUUCAUGCUUAAAAAUACUUUUUUGUUCUUCCCUUUUGCGGCCGUUAUUUCCACUGUCUAGCACUAAAAUGUUUAUGCAUCUUCAAACUGAAUCUUCUGCUCCUGUGAGUUCUAACCCAAACAACCGCAUGGCAGAAAAGGAAUGUAACAAGACCAACACAGGAGCCAGCAAAGGUUGUUUCGAAUGAACCCAAUGACGAGCCGGCGAAGGUUGUUCCAAAGAAAAACAAGGAGCUCCCCAAGAAUGACCUCGCCGAGAAGGAAAGAAGCAACCGCUCCUCCUCCGCCUCCUCCCCUGAAUCUCAUGAUGAUGCCGCCGCUGCCACCGAGAUCGACAACAUCAGCUCCCAACCCGACCACCUCCUCUCCACCAUCCUCCACUGCCUCCCCGCCCAAAUAGCCGCCAAAACAGCUCUCCUCUCCCGCCGAUGGCGCAGCAUCUGGACCGACCAUCCUCUGCGCCUCGACGGCGACUCCCUCAGCAGCCUCAGCCUCCGCCCCCACGGGCAGCCCGGCCGCACCACGAAGGGGAUGCACAGAAAGGAUUGGCGCUCUUGCUUAAUUACCGACAUCCUUACCUACCACCCCGGCCCUGUCGAACAAUUUCGCCUUGGCCGCACCCACUCCGGCAGCCGCGAGCCACUCCGCGACUCCUGGUUUCAAAUUCUCGCCCAAAAGAGCGUCUACCAGAUCGAACUGGAUUUCCCCUCCUUCCACCGCCGGCAAGAUCUGCCGGCCUCGCUCCUCGCCUGCGAGACUCUACGCACGCUCUCGCUGAGCAAUUGUCGACUGCCGGACGCCGCUGCCGCCCCAUUCAACUUCCUCCACCUUACCGACCUCAGCCUCUGCUGCAUGGAUCUGACGGAGGAGGUCAUAUCCAGCAUACUUUCAGGCUGCCCAGCACUUGCCCGCUUAUCACUCAUCCACAAUUUUCCCGUGCCUCGGAUUAGAAUCCGAUCUCGCCGUCUUCUUACCAUGACGGUUCGAGGCAAUUGGAUUGGCGAGCUUAUUAUCGAGGACGCCGAGAAACUUACACGGCUGGUUUUGGAUCGGUCGGAACCGAAGACAUCUUUGAAGAUCAUCAAUGCCCCGAUGAUCAAUACGGUCGAAUAUUGAGCGAUUAUCGCGGCGUGCAAGAGGUGCUGUGAUUCUGUGCUUAUCAAGAACAUCCAUUUUCUCCAUUUUCUCCAUCCCCUUUCUUUUCCCCUUUCUUUUUUUUUCGGUCAAUUGUAUAUGUGCUUAUGCAAAUUCUGCAACAUUAAAACAACAAAGCCAUCUGAAAAGCUAGAAUUUUUGAAGAGAAACCGUGGCAUACGGGGCAUACGGCACAUUUGUUGUCUAUAAUCUUGUAGUUCAAAGCGUAGCACUUAAUAUGUUUCAGUUUAGAUACGAAAGCUAACAGAGUAUAGCAUCUCAUGCACGCCUUUGGUUCUCGCACAUCAUCAACUUACUCUCAAAUCAGUGGUGAGGGUUACAAAGCAAUAUGAAACAAUCAGCUAGAAGUUUAGAAAGAAAAGAUCAACCACAAGUUAAAACUGAAGCUGUAAGAUCACAUUACAUUAUGAGCUUCAUGUCCUGUUCAAUAGUUAGGCAUCGAACGAACAUCGAGAACAACAACUAUGUACAAAUAGUUACCACCAUUACAUAUCUCAAUUCAACUAACUAUUAUGCUAAACUAUUGUGAAUUACACAAGCGCCCACUCAAUCUACUCAAUCUGGUGGUGAUCGACAAGAAGCAAAACUCUUUGAGUCACUUGGUUUACUUAAUGCUCGGCUUGCACGAUUGCCAUAGCCAUAAACAAACCCCUCCCCCAAAAAAUUUCACUGAAUCCUAUGGUUAGUGCUCAUACCAUAAAGAGGUAUCUCAGAUCUUCCACCGUGAGGCGAGUAGUGUGGCCACCAGCUCCUUCCCCGAAAGCGGAAGAUACCAUCCUUCGCUUCUCCUCCUGAAACAAAGAAAGGCGAACUUUGUAGAAUAAUUGGCGUGAUCAUCUAGUACACCGCUAUAAAAAGUCAAAAACGAACCUGUAGGGCUAAUAAACGGUCCUCCACUGUAUCUUUAACAGUUAGACGAGAAACAGUUACGGGCCGAGUCUGACCGAUUCUAUGUGCUCAAUCAACGGCGUGAUCUUCAGCAUAUGGGUUCCACCAAAGAUCAAGAAGAAUCACAUGGCAAGCAGCAACCAUGUUCAAACCGAGAUUUCCAGCCUUCAGCGACAUGAGCAUAACUCGAACCUGAAAUUGAAAUUCCUCAAUAUAAGGGCUUUUCCCAUGGCUUAACCCAACUCUACUUCAAUGAAAGAAUAAAAUGUAUAAGCUUUCACAUGCAUAUAUCGCUAGAAAAUCAGUCAGUUCCACACAUAACCCUGUAAAGUUUGAAGUCUCACAUAUACAUAUAAUGUGUGGAGGUUUUUCUACAAAAACAACCUAAAUUUAAGUUGGGGAGUCUUCCUGUUCAGGGGAAGUUGGUUUGUAUCAGAAAUAGUUUUCUGGAGGCNNNNNNNNNNNNNNNNNNNNNNNNNNNNNNNNNNNNNNNNNNNNNNNNNNNNNNNNNNNNNNNNNNNNNNNNNNNNNNNNNNNNNNNNNNNNNNNNNNNNNNNNNNNNNNNNNNNNNNNNNNNNNNNNNNNNNNNNNNNNNNNNNNNNNNNNNNNNNNNNNNNNNNNNNNNNNNNNNNNNNNNNNNNNNNNNNNNNNNNNNNNNNNNNNNNNNNNNNNNNNNNNNNNNNNNNNNNNNNNNNNNNNNNNNNNNNNNNNNNNNNNNNNNNNNNNNNNNNNNNNNNNNNNNNNNNNNNNNNNNNNNNNNNNNNNNNNNNNNNNNNNNNNNNNNNNNNNNNNNNNNNNNNNNNNNNNNNNNNNNNNNNNNNNNNNNNNNNNNNNNNNNNNNNNNNNNNNNNNNNNNNNNNNNNNNNNNNNNNNNNNNNNNNNNNNNNNNNNNNNNNNNNNNNNNNNNNNNNNNNNNNNNNNNNNNNNNNNNNNNNNNNNNNNNNNNNNNNNNNNNNNNNNNNNNNNNNNNNNNNNNNNNNNNNNNNNNNNNNNNNNNNNNNNNNNNNNNNNNNNNNNNNNNNNNNNNNNNNNNNNNNNNNNNNNNNNNNNNNNNNNNNNNNNNNNNNNNNNNNNNNNNNNNNNNNNNNNNNNNNNNNNNNNNNNNNNNNNNNNNNNNNNNNNNNNNNNNNNNNNNNNNNNNNNNNNNNNNNNNNNNNNNNNNNNNNNNNNNNNNNNNNNNNNNNNNNNNNNNNNNNNNNNNNNNNNNNNNNNNNNNNNNNNNNNNNNNNNNNNNNNNNNNNNNNNNNNNNNNNNNNNNNNNNNNNNNNNNNNNNNNNNNNNNNNNNNNNNNNNNNNNNNNNNNNNNNNNNNNNNNNNNNNNNNNNNNNNNNNNNNNNNNNNNNNNNNNNNNNNNNNNNNNNNNNNNNNNNNNNNNNNNNNNNNNNNNNNNNNNNNNNNNNNNNNNNNNNNNNNNNNNNNNNNNNNNNNNNNNNNNNNNNNNNNNNNNNNNNNNNNNNNNNNNNNNNNNNNNNNNNNNNNNNNNNNNNNNNNNNNNNNNNNNNNNNNNNNNNNNNNNNNNNNNNNNNNNNNNNNNNNNNNNNNNNNNNNNNNNNNNNNNNNNNNNNNNNNNNNNNNNNNNNNNNNNNNNNNNNNNNNNNNNNNNNNNNNNNNNNNNNNNNNNNNNNNNNNNNNNNNNNNNNNNNNNNNNNNNNNNNNNNNNNNNNNNNNNNNNNNNNNNNNNNNNNNNNNNNNNNNNNNNNNNNNNNNNNNNNNNNNNNNNNNNNNNNNNNNNNNNNNNNNNNNNNNNNNNNNNNNNNNNNNNNNNNNNNNNNNNNNNNNNNNNNNNNNNNNNNNNNNNNNNNNNNNNNNNNNNNNNNNNNNNNNNNNNNNNNNNNNNNNNNNNNNNNNNNNNNNNNNNNNNNNNNNNNNNNNNNNNNNNNNNNNNNNNNNNNNNNNNNNNNNNNNNNNNNNNNNNNNNNNNNNNNNNNNNNNNNNNNNNNNNNNNNNNNNNNNNNNNNNNNNNNNNNNNNNNNNNNNNNNNNNNNNNNNNNNNNNNNNNNNNNNNNNNNNNNNNNNNNNNNNNNNNNNNNNNNNNNNNNNNNNNNNNNNNNNNNNNNNNNNNNNNNNNNNNNNNNNNNNNNNNNNNNNNNNNNNNNNNNNNNNNNNNNNNNNNNNNNNNNNNNNNNNNNNNNNNNNNNNNNNNNNNNNNNNNNNNNNNNNNNNNNNNNNNNNNNNNNNNNNNNNNNNNNNNNNNNNNNNNNNNNNNNNNNNNNNNNNNNNNNNNNNNNNNNNNNNNNNNNNNNNNNNNNNNNNNNNNNNNNNNNNNNNNNNNNNNNNNNNNNNNNNNNNNNNNNNNNNNNNNNNNNNNNNNNNNNNNNNNNNNNNNNNNNNNNNNNNNNNNNNNNNNNNNNNNNNNNNNNNNNNNNNNNNNNNNNNNNNNNNNNNNNNNNNNNNNNNNNNNNNNNNNNNNNNNNNNNNNNNNNNNNNNNNNNNNNNNNNNNNNNNNNNNNNNNNNNNNNNNNNNNNNNNNNNNNNNNNNNNNNNNNNNNNNNNNNNNNNNNNNNNNNNNNNNNNNNNNNNNNNNNNNNNNNNNNNNNNNNNNNNNNNNNNNNNNNNNNNNNNNNNNNNNNNNNNNNNNNNNNNNNNNNNNNNNNNNNNNNNNNNNNNNNNNNNNNNNNNNNNNNNNNNNNNNNNNNNNNNNNNNNNNNNNNNNNNNNNNNNNNNNNNNNNNNNNNNNNNNNNNNNNNNNNNNNNNNNNNNNNNNNNNNNNNNNNNNNNNNNNNNNNNNNNNNNNNNNNNNNNNNNNNNNNNNNNNNNNNNNNNNNNNNNNNNNNNNNNNNNNNNNNNNNNNNNNNNNNNNNNNNNNNNNNNNNNNNNNNNNNNNNNNNNNNNNNNNNNNNNNNNNNNNNNNNNNNNNNNNNNNNNNNNNNNNNNNNNNNNNNNNNNNNNNNNNNNNNNNNNNNNNNNNNNNNNNNNNNNNNNNNNNNNNNNNNNNNNNNNNNNNNNNNNNNNNNNNNNNNNNNNNNNNNNNNNNNNNNNNNNNNNNNNNNNNNNNNNNNNNNNNNNNNNNNNNNNNNNNNNNNNNNNNNNNNNNNNNNNNNNNNNNNNNNNNNNNNNNNNNNNNNNNNNNNNNNNNNNNNNNNNNNNNNNNNNNNNNNNNNNNNNNNNNNNNNNNNNNNNNNNNNNNNNNNNNNNNNNNNNNNNNNNNNNNNNNNNNNNNNNNNNNNNNNNNNNNNNNNNNNNNNNNNNNNNNNNNNNNNNNNNNNNNNNNNNNNNNNNNNNNNNNNNNNNNNNNNNNNNNNNNNNNNNNNNNNNNNNNNNNNNNNNNNNNNNNNNNNNNNNNNNNNNNNNNNNNNNNNNNNNNNNNNNNNNNNNNNNNNNNNNNNNNNNNNNNNNNNNNNNNNNNNNNNNNNNNNNNNNNNNNNNNNNNNNNNNNNNNNNNNNNNNNNNNNNNNNNNNNNNNNNNNNNNNNNNNNNNNNNNNNNNNNNNNNNNNNNNNNNNNNNNNNNNNNNNNNNNNNNNNNNNNNNNNNNNNNNNNNNNNNNNNNNNNNNNNNNNNNNNNNNNNNNNNNNNNNNNNNNNNNNNNNNNNNNNNNNNNNNNNNNNNNNNNNNNNNNNNNNNNNNNNNNNNNNNNNNNNNNNNNNNNNNNNNNNNNNNNNNNNNNNNNNNNNNNNNNNNNNNNNNNNNNNNNNNNNNNNNNNNNNNNNNNNNNNNNNNNNNNNNNNNNNNNNNNNNNNNNNNNNNNNNNNNNNNNNNNNNNNNNNNNNNNNNNNNNNNNNNNNNNNNNNNNNNNNNNNNNNNNNNNNNNNNNNNNNNNNNNNNNNNNNNNNNNNNNNNNNNNNNNNNNNNNNNNNNNNNNNNNNNNNNNNNNNNNNNNNNNNNNNNNNNNNNNNNNNNNNNNNNNNNNNNNNNNNNNNNNNNNNNNNNNNNNNNNNNNNNNNNNNNNNNNNNNNNNNNNNNNNNNNNNNNNNNNNNNNNNNNNNNNNNNNNNNNNNNNNNNNNNNNNNNNNNNNNNNNNNNNNNNNNNNNNNNNNNNNNNNNNNNNNNNNNNNNNNNNNNNNNNNNNNNNNNNNNNNNNNNNNNNNNNNNNNNNNNNNNNNNNNNNNNNNNNNNNNNNNNNNNNNNNNNNNNNNNNNNNNNNNNNNNNNNNNNNNNNNNNNNNNNNNNNNNNNNNNNNNNNNNNNNNNNNNNNNNNNNNNNNNNNNNNNNNNNNNNNNNNNNNNNNNNNNNNNNNNNNNNNNNNNNNNNNNNNNNNNNNNNNNNNNNNNNNNNNNNNNNNNNNNNNNNNNNNNNNNNNNNNNNNNNNNNNNNNNNNNNNNNNNNNNNNNNNNNNNNNNNNNNNNNNNNNNNNNNNNNNNNNNNNNNNNNNNNNNNNNNNNNNNNNNNNNNNNNNNNNNNNNNNNNNNNNNNNNNNNNNNNNNNNNNNNNNNNNNNNNNNNNNNNNNNNNNNNNNNNNNNNNNNNNNNNNNNNNNNNNNNNNNNNNNNNNNNNNNNNNNNNNNNNNNNNNNNNNNNNNNNNNNNNNNNNNNNNNNNNNNNNNNNNNNNNNNNNNNNNNNNNNNNNNNNNNNNNNNNNNNNNNNNNNNNNNNNNNNNNNNNNNNNNNNNNNNNNNNNNNNNNNNNNNNNNNNNNNNNNNNNNNNNNNNNNNNNNNNNNNNNNNNNNNNNNNNNNNNNNNNNNNNNNNNNNNNNNNNNNNNNNNNNNNNNNNNNNNNNNNNNNNNNNNNNNNNNNNNNNNNNNNNNNNNNNNNNNNNNNNNNNNNNNNNNNNNNNNNNNNNNNNNNNNNNNNNNNNNNNNNNNNNNNNNNNNNNNNNNNNNNNNNNNNNNNNNNNNNNNNNNNNNNNNNNNNNNNNNNNNNNNNNNNNNNNNNNNNNNNNNNNNNNNNNNNNNNNNNNNNNNNNNNNNNNAAAAAAAAAAAAAAAAAAAAAAAAAAGACUUGGAUUCCAUAUUCUAUUUCUCUGAAAAGCUUUGCAUCAACAAAAGAAAAAUUCGUGCAGAGAAUAGUGACAGAAGAGAAAGCUACAUAACCAAAGCAAACUUAGAAUAUAUUAUUUACGGUAAAGAUGAUAUGAUCCAAGGUAUGACUGAUAGAUAGAAGACACCUAAUGAGAUUCUUCAUCAAAAGAACAGAUGAGAUAAACCACUUUUGGCAUCAUUUCUGGAAGUAAAUUAAAAGUUUAAAAGAAAAAAAAAAAAUCAAGAAUUAAACAAAUUAUGGUUGCCAUCAGAGUGUAAAACAUAAAUAAUGCUGCAUAGAAUUAGCAAAAGUGGUUUAUCUCAUCUGUUCUUUUGAUGAAGAAUCUCAUUAGGUGUCUUCUAUCUAUCAGUCAUACCUUGGAUUCCAUAUUCUAUUUCUCUGAAAAGCUUUGCAUCAACAAAAGAAAAAUUCGUGCAGAGAAUAGUGACAGAAGAGAAAGCUACAUAACCAAAGCAAACUUAGAAUAUAUUAUUUACGGUAAAGAUGAUAUGAUCCAAGGUAUGACUGAUAGAUAGAAGACACCUAAUGAGAUUCUUCAUCAAAAGAACAGAUGAGAUAAACCACUUUUGGCAUCAUUUCUGGAAGCAAAUUAAAAGUUUAAAAGAAAAAAAAAAUCAAGAAUUAAACAAAUUAUGGUUGCCAUCAGAGUGUAAAACAUAAAUAAUGCUGCAUAGAAUUAGCAAAGUCUAUAUAUAUAACUCUAAAACAUGAGUCUUUCUAGACUAGGUCUGAACAAAAAUAUCAUCAUGAUCUGUAAUCAAAAGAGGAAGUAACUUUGGUUCUUCCGGAAAGUUAUCUGAGCAUCUAAGGAAGCUCUAUUUUGAAGUCUUAAAAGAAUUUCCUGGUUCCUAACCCAUCUUGUGCUGCGAUCGAUUCGGUUUUCAAAGAACAUCACUUUGAGGGCUCUUGCUUUGGCAAUAACAAACCUGGCAAAGUUUAGCUCGCCCACCAGCCCUUCAUACGCUGUUAAUGUUACAGUCUUUAGAGGACAAUCAAGGGAAUCAAUGGUAUCUUGUGGCUCCCAGUAAUCUGAAACCUCAUAAUUUGCUGAAUUCAUGUGACAGCACUGCAACCCAAACAAAACAAAAAACAACAAAUAUUAAGCAGAUAUCAAGAUUCAGUUAAAUUACAGAGCGUGCAAAUUUAAGUCAUAUCAAAACUCUCAUGCAAGCAAAUACCAGAAUAUGGGAGGCAAGGAAAGCAUCUCAACAAGCCGGCGAGCACCUUCACUUGUUCAUGAACAGAGAAGUUUACUUCAAUAGUUAGGUUCUUAAGACUAAGCACCGGUGUACUCCAGCUAACUUGUGUUAUGUGAGGUAACAUCUGACAAUUCAGAGAUCCAGAGAAUUGGUGGAGGAAAUUAUUAACUAAAUAAAUGAAUUAGUUCAUGAAACAGUAGCUCUACACUACAAACAUUGGCUACAAGAGGCACAAGGGAAUAUUAAAGACGUACCUCGAAGACAGUGUUGCCGAGCUCGAGCUUUUCAAUCUGCGCUGUCAAAUAGUGCAAGAUCUCAAGCUUUGGCGCACUGAUAACCUUCAGCCACUGGCGCAAGGCCAAACGCCUCCCAAACAAACGUUCGAGAUUGGGUGCGUCCUCAAUGAACAGUUCUUUCAGGUCUUCGCAGUAUCUAACCUCCAACGUUUGAAGGCUCUGAGAGCGGACAUGGAUCCGGCGAAGUCUGGUUACGUGCGAAAGCGACAAGCUUUGCAGCGCGGUGCAGCAUGAUAACACGCUGCGCAAGGCACCGUCUGUUACUUCCGCUGUAUCAAGAAUCAGUUUGUGAAGGUUGAUAAGAUUCAAGCAAGCCUCGGUGGUGCAAGGAAACCGGCAAUUCACCAAUUCCAUGGUCCUCAGAGAUUCACAGGCAAGAAGGGAGGCUGGUAUGUCAGGCUCCUUAACAGGAUACACGUAGGGGAAAUGUAGCAUGAGCUCUUGAAUGUUCUUUUCGGCCAGGAUGCGGAACCAGCCGUCCACGCGGGAUUUUCGGCCUCGGAAGCAGGUGUGGGCUAGGCGGAAAGUGUCGAUGCAGCCGCGGUGGGAGGCGAGGAUGCGGCUGAUGGUCUGGACGCGCCGCCGGUCCUCAUCGCAGGUCGACGAUGAAGGGCCUGUGCCCCUGCCAAAUCUUCGGCGUUGGGAGGUAUUUGCACUGCAGAUGGAGGAGUCGUCGAGGUGGAGGGGGGACGUGCUCCAGAUGUGGCGCCACCGCGACGAGAGGAGGCUGGUCCUUGCCGCUUCUCCGGUUGGCAAGUAGGAUAUAAUGAUGGAAAGCAGGCAGUCUGGAAGCUCGUUGAUGCGAUUUGCGUCGUCAGAGGAUUCCAUCUCCCUACUAAUUCUCUCCUUCGUCACGUUCUCCUCCGCCAUGACGUUCUCCUCCGCCUUGAACCCUGAUACAGCCGUCAAUCCUAGCUAGUUAUACCUCUACUAUAUAUAUAUAUAUAUAUAUAUAUAUGCGUGUUUGGUUGGAAGCCGUAAUCGGAAUUGGAAUUGGAAUCGAACUGGAAUCCUAAUAGGAAUGUCUCGUUAUCUAAUUCUACUUGGUUCAUCAUUUGAAUCGGAAUCGGAAUCGGAAUAAAUCAUUUUCAUUAUCGAUAUUUGGUUCAGAUAAAUAUAAAAAACGUAAUCAGAUUGAUAUAUUAACUUUAUCUUUAUCUUUAUAAUAUAUUACUUUAAAUUUAAAUUAAUAUUAAAUAUUAAAAUUUUACAUCAAAUUUUGAAAUGAUGUUAAAGUUUUAAAUCUAUUUUUUUAAAAAAAAUUAAACUUUGAAGUUAGUGGAUAAUUUGAAAUAUAAAAAUAAAUUUCGAUUUAUUCAAAUUCAAAUUAAAUUAUAAUUUAAUUUUAAUUUGAAUUUUAAUUUAAUUUGUAAGUUUUAAAUAUAAUUUGGAAUCAAACUUAUAUAGUAUAUUUAUAUAUUAUAUAUAUAUAUAUAUAUUAUAUAUAUAUACAUAUAUAUAUAAUAUAGAUAUAUAUUUCUUUAAUUCAUUCCUCAUAUUUGUGAUAGUGUUCUAAGCUUAAUCCAUUCUUAAAUUUUGUACACGCUUUGCACCUAUAGAUGCUUCGUGCUUUCUAUGUUUUUGAUUUUGGUACACGUGGACCCGUCAUGGGUCUCAAAAGGAGAAAUUAUAUAAGUAUCUCUUAAAUGAGUGCAGUUUAAGAUAACAAGAAAAGAAACAGUGCAACAAGAAGAAAAACAGUGCAACAAGAGAAGAAUCCGAGAAGAAAAGAAAAGAAAAAAGCAAAAAAAACCUCUGUUCCUUUUCUUUCUCUCCCUUCAUUUUUUUCUCUCUUCUUUUCUUUUUUCUUCGCUAUAUUUUUCUCCUCCGCAGUGCUCGUCCUCCCCAUCGUCGCCACGACCUCUGCCUCGCCUGCACCUCGUGCUGCGCCGCCGACUCCGGCCGCCGCUUCUCGAGUGGCGCCGCCGACUCCGGCCGCCGCUUCUCCGACGACGCCCUCGCCGUCGCCCCCUCCUCCGCUGUCGACUCCGACGACGAGGUCCUCAGCGUCGGCGUCAUCGUCGUCGUCGUCGAGCACCCGCGUCCCCGCUGCGGCCCUCUCCUGCCGGAUAGGCAUAGCCCUAGAUAGGGCAGCACUGUCGUGGGCUGCGAGGCUUCACGGCGACACGCGCGAUACGGGACUGCGAAGCUCCCCGUCCGCGGCGCGGCCUCCACCGUCAUCGGAGAUGGUGGAGGAGAGUCGGAGAAGAAAAGAAAAGAAAAGAAAAAAGAAAAAAAAAUGUCGCGGCGCGGCCUCGGCGGGAUCGGAGGCGAGGAAGGUGGGGGAUGCGUGGGCGAGGGCGAGGGCGAGGGCGAGACCAUGAGGGUGAGAGGCCUCCGCCUCUGCCUUCGCUUUUUUUUCGGCGAAAAAAAAAGAACGAGAGAAACGAAGAGGAGAGAGAAAGAGGAAAGAGAAAAAAUAAUAAGGGUAUUUUGGUCAGUUUGCUGAAAAAGCGGACCGAAUUUGCAAAAAUAAAUAAAGUGAUCCGGUUUUGCAAAAGCCCAAAAUAAGUGAAUUUUUUAUGCAAAAAGGCCUUAUAAAUAUAAUAAUCCUAUAAAAUUCAACUUUUACAUAUUAUCUCUCUCCUAAUAUUUUUAAAUAUAUUCUUCUGAUUUGUUACCGCUAAAGUACUAUUUAUUUUAUAAGUGAAAUGACUUUUUUUUGUCAUCACAAAUAUGUUCCUUUAAAAAUUUCAACGGUUGAUUAAAGAGGGGUAAAAAGGUUAAUUCGAUUCAUUAAUUAACUAGGAUUAAGCAUUUUACAUAUAGUUAACUAGUUUUUUCUAAUGGAUCCUAAAGGUCGAAAUAUAUUUAAAAAAUUUCAGGACUUUUGCAGAGAUAAUAUAUGAAAGUUGAACUUUAUAGAGAUAUGUGUAUAAUUUACUAUAUUUGCAGGGUCUAUAUAUAUAUAAAAAAUUAAUCCAAAUAAAAAAGAAGGUGGGUUUUGUAUCCUUGAACGCACCAAGCAACGUCUGGUUUGGAUGUUUGGGCCGGGCCGGCCCAUAAUGAUCCGCGCCGUAACCGGCUCAUUUUUAAUUAUUUUGUUAUUUUUUAAAAUUUUAAAUCUUUUAAUCUUGUAUUUUAAAUGCUUUUAGUAUUAGUUUUGCAGAAUACAUUCAUCAAAAUAAGUCCCAACCAUGAGUGCAGUCGAGAUGUUGAGAUAUUCUCUUCUUUUAUCGGACCACCACUGUCUAGUGCAGUUGGUUGGUAGCUCUCUUGCCAAUCAAUAAAUUUCAACUAAAACUAAAAAAAAUAAAAUAAAAUAAAAGCUUCAUAAGGUGUUUGCGGCUAAUUUNCUCAUAUUGGUGAUCCACGUGUCAUCCUAAGCUUAAUCCAUUCUUAAAUUUUGUACACGCUUUGCACCUAUUGAUGCUUCGUGCUUUCUAUGUUUUUGAUUUUGGUACACGUGGAUCCGUCAUGGGUCUCAAAAGGAGAAAUUAUAUAAGUAUCUCUUAAAUGAGUGCAGUUUAAGAUAAAAAAUACUGUAACAAGAGGAGAAAUGGUACAAUAAGAAGAGAAACAGUGCAACAAGAAGAAAAACAGUGCAACAAGAGGAGAAUCCGAAAAGAAAAGAAAAGAAAAAAGCAAAAAAAACCUCUGUUCCUUUGCUUUCUCUCCCUUCAUUUUUUUCUCUCUUCUUUUCUUUUUUCUUCGCUAUAUUUUUCUCCUCCGCAGCGCUCGUCCUCCCCAUCGUCGCCAUGACCGCUGCCUCGCCUGCGCCUCGUGCUGCGCCGCCGACUCCGACCGCCGCUUCUCGGGUGGCGCCGCCGACUCCGGCCGCCGCUUCUCCGACGACGCCCUCGCCUUCGCCCCCUCCUCCGCUGUCGACUCCGACGACGAGGUCCUCAGCGUCGGCGUCGUCGUCGUCGAGCACCCGCGUCCCCGCCGCGGCGCUCUCCUGCAGGAUAGGCAUAGCCCUAGAUAGGGCGGCACUGUCAUGGGCUGCGAGGCUUCGCGGCGGCACGCGCGAUACGGGAUUGCGAAGCUCCCCGUCCGCGGCGCGGCCUCCACCGUCAUCGGAGACGGUGGAGGAGAGUCGGAGAAGAAAAGAAAAGAAAAAAGAAAAAAAAAUGUCGCGGCGCGGCCUCGGCGGGAUCGGAGGCGAGGAAGGUGGGGGAUGCGUGGGCGAGGGCGAGGGCGAGACCAUGAGGGUGAGAGGCUUCCGCCUCUGCCUUCGCUUUUUUUUCGGCGAAAAAAAAAGAACGAGAGAAACGAAGAGAAGAGAGAAAGAGGAAAGAGAAAAAAUAAUAAGGGUAUUUUGGUCACUUUGCUGAAAAAACGGACCGAAUCUGCAAAAAUAAAAAAAGUGAUCUGGUUUUGCAAAAGCCCAAAAUAAGUAGAUUUUUUAUGCAAAAAGGCCUUAUAAAUGUAAUAAUCCUAUAAAAUUCAACUUUUACAUAUUAUCUCUCUCCUAAUAUUUUUAAAUAUAUUCUUCUGAUUUGUUACCGCUAAAGUACUAUUUAUUUUAUAAGUGAAAUGACUUUUUUUGUCAUCACAAAUAUGUUCCUUUAAAAAUUUCAACGGUUAAUUAAAGAGGGAUAAAAAGGUUAAUUCAAUUCAUUAAUUACCUAGGAUUAAGCAUUUUACAUAUAGUUAAAGAUCCUAAAGGUCGAAAUAUAUUUAAAAAAUUGCAGGACUUUUGCAGAGAUAAUAUAUGAAAGUUGAACUUUAUAGAGAUAUGUGUAUAAUUCACUAUAUUUGCAGGGUCUAUAUAUAUAAAAUUAAUCCAAAUAAAAAAAGGUGGGUUUUGUAUCCUUGAACGCACCAAGCAACGUCUGGUUUGGAUGUUUGGGCCGGGUCGGCCCAUAAUGAUCCGCGCCGUAACCGGCUCAUUUUUAAUUAUUUUGUUAUUUUGUAAAAUUUUAAAUCUUUUAAUCUUGUAUUUUAAAUGCUUUUAGUAUUAGUUUUGCAGAAUACAUUCAUCAAAAUAAGUCCCAACCAUGAGUGCAAUCGAGAUGUUGAGAUAUUCUCUUCUUUUAUCGGACCACCACUGUCUAGUGCAGUUGGUUGGUAGCUCUCUUGCCAAUCAAUAAAUUUCAACUAAAACUAAAAAAAAUAAAAUAAAAUAAAAGCUUCAUAAGGUGUUUGCGGCUAAUUUCGACAAAAUUCGUACUUCUUUAGCUAAAACUAAGUAAAGUUCUUACAUUUGAGAGAAUCAAUCAAUGGUUUUUUUUUUUUUAAAUAAAAUUCCCAACUCAUUUGAGUAAAAUAGCUACAGACAAAAUAAAUAAAAGCUAAGGAGUAUCACUAAAAAAAAUUUUUAAAAAAAUGAAGGUCAGUAAAUCAAUUUCAAAAUGGCCUAAUAUGACAGCUAUUUUAAAAUAUGGGCCUGUUUGCCUAGCUUUUGAAAAAGUGUUUUUUGAAAAAGUGAUUUUGGUUUGGAGAAAUGAUUUUGGUUAAAAGUUGUAGAGCGUUUGACUGAGUUUAGAUAAAAGUGAUUUUUCUGAAGUGAUUUUGAAAAACUGUUUGGNAAAGGAUCAGGACAUUCGGCUCCUAACACAAUCCCCACUAAGCCCCUCACAAACACUCAAAUAGCAAACUGCACUAAAAACAGUUUACUGCACUACGUACCUGUACUCGAAUUGGAGUACCGGUACCCGGCACCCAGACUCGCAAAACCCGAGCCUCGAUCAAUUGGGUUAAUCGAGUUAAAAUUUAAAAUUUGAAAAAAAUUUAAAAUAAUUAUGAAAUUUAAAAUACCAAAUUUAAAAUUUAAAUUCAAAAAUAUAAAUAAUUAUGAAUUUUAAAAUAUAAAAUUUUAAUAUUUAAAAAUAUAAAUUUAAAUUUUAAAUUUUAAAUUUUAAAUUUAAAAUUUAAAAUUUGAAAUUUUAAAUUUAAAUAUUUACAUAUUUAAAAUUUAAUUUUUAAAAUUUUAUAAUUUGAAGAUUAAAUUUUAUCUUAAAUUUGAAAAUUUAAAAUUUAAAAUUUGAGAUUUGAAAUUUAAAUUUAAAAUUAAAAUUUUAAAAUUUAAAUUUUGAAAUCUAUUUUUUAAAAUUUAAAUUUUAAAGUUAAAAUUUUAAAAUUUAAAAUAAAUUUGAAAAUUAAAAUUUAAAAUUAAAUUUAAAUUUAAAUAUUUAACUUAAAAUUAAAAUAAAAAUUUGAAAUUUGAGUCGGAAAUUAGAAUCAGUUUUCAAGAAGCAGCUUUUUUCAGCUUCUGAUUCUGGGCCUUCAAAAUCAAUUUUCUGAUUCUGAGAAACAGAAUCAGAUUUUAGAAAUGAGGUUGUCAAACGCUCUAUUGGGCCGAAAAUCAUUUUUCAACUCAAAAGCGCUUUUUAAAAGAUAGGCCGAACACCCCUAUAACUUAGUGCUGUUAGUGGGUAUCACCAGAAUGAACUGUGAGAAAUAUUAGUGGGGAGCAGUGGUUUUAAUUAUUGUUAUCAGAAAAUUCCAAGGAUGGGUUACAUAAAUUAUGAAGCAAUCACCAAAAAUAUUUUAGUUGAAUAUUUUAAGUGAUUNUCAGACCCUUCAAUAUUUCUUCGAAAAUGUCAAAUCAAAUCCGACGGCCGAACAGAUCCGUGCCACCGUCAACAACUUCGCUGAUGACAUCUACAGCAUCGUCGGUUUGAUACUUUCGAAAGAAGAAGGGAGGGGAAUCUUUGAUUCCCCGUUUCUUCGGACCCUUCAAUAUUUCUUCGAAAAUGUCAAAUCAAAUUCAACGGCCGAACAGAUCCGUGCCACCGUCAACAACUUCGCCGACAACAUCUACAGCAUCGCCGGGAAAGUAUCGCCAGAAGAGGGGAGGGGAAUCUUUGAUUUCCCGUUUCUUCGGACCCCAAAUCGAAUUGGAAAAUCAAAUCCAAAUUGGAAUCAAAACGGGAAUUUCUUCGGACCCCAAAUCUAAUGGCAAAAUCAAUAGGGGAUUUCUUCGGACCCCAAAUCAAAUUGCAAAUCAAGUCUAUACACGAACUUAAACUGCAAAUUAAGUUCAUAUGCGAACCCAAAUUGCAAAUUAAGUUCACCUACAAACCCAAAUAAAAUCCGAACCCAUUCCACACAUAAAACCAAAACCCAAACCCAAAUAAAAUCCAAACCCAUUCCCCAAAUAAAACCAAAACCCAAACCCAAAUCAAACACAAACCCAACCCAAAUCAAGUCCACAAAUAAAAUCCGAACCCAUUCCACACAUAAAACCAAAACCCAAACCCAAAUAAAAUCCAAACCCACUCCACACAUAAAACUAAAACCCAAACCCAAAUCAAAUCCAAACCAAACCAAACCUAGCCCACAAAUAAACCCACAAAUAAACUCAAACUCGAACCCAAAUAAAUCCAAACCCAAACCAAACCUAGUCCACAAAUAAACCCACAAAUAAAUCCAAACUUGAACCCAAAUAAACCCAAACCUAAAUCAAGUCAAGUUCAAACCCAAACAAAACCCAAAACCCAAAUAAACCCAAACCUAAAUCAAGUCAAGUUCAAACCCAAACAAAACCCAAAAAUCCAAAUAAAUCCAAACCAAACCAAGUCCACAUACAAAGCCAAACGGCCCAAACCUAACCAAACUAAGUCCAAAUAAACAUCCAACCCAAAACUAAAAUAAACCGAAACCAAACCAAGUCCACAUAAAGAACCCCAAACCCAUUCCAGAAUCAAAUCCAAACCCAAACCAAACCAAGUCCACAUAUAAAACCAAACCUCAUGGACCAAAUCCCAUGAACCAAAACCAAACAUCAUGGACCAAAUCCCAUGAACCAAAACCAAAUCUCAUGGACCAAAUCCCAUGA
rnacentral:lncRNA from 1 species